rnacentral:lncRNA from 1 species
UUUUUUUUUUUUUUUUUUGUUAUUUUCAUAUUUUCCUUUGUAGUAUUUUUCCUUUUAAGCUAUUCUUUUAUUGUUUUUUCUUUGUCUGUUUAACCCAUAAUUCAGAGUAUUGUUAUUAAGUUAAAUAUUCAGUCACUUAGUCAUAAUAAUAAACUAGCAACGAAACAUAAGAGAGAACCAUUAUUACUUUCUAUAUAUUAUAUGAUUGAACUUGAAAGAGUAUUGACCAUAAUACUCCUAUAUAUAUAUAUAUAAAGAACAUGUAAUAGUCCCACAACAAAAUAAUAAUAACUCAAUACAUCAAAAUAAAAACUCCUACACAUCGAAAUUUUCCAUCCCAAAUAUUUAACCUAAUACUCAACAUUUUCAUCCAAAGCCACGUAAAAGUAUGUACUCUAAUAUUAUCUUCUUCUUCUUUUUUUUUCGUUUUUCUUUUUUAAAUACCACACAAUAUAAUAUGGAAUAAUAAUUGUAAACUUUUUGUAAACAUUGAUCUUUUACUUUCUUCUCAUAAUUUCAAAAAAAUUUGAACUUUAAUUGACUUGAUUUAUUUUUUAAAUUUGUUAUAGCUAUACCCUGUGAAAGUCAAGAUGCCAGAGGCAACCCUUUUUAUAAGCAAUUGACUUUGUACAAGAUAAAUUUCUAAUGAUAAGACACCAAAAUUGUUGUAUUUGACACCAUAUUUAGCCUAUAAUUGAAGUCUUUAUAUAGCUACCUCGAAUAAUACCUAUAUGGUAUAUUGAUAAGGGAGACUUGAUGAUUAAUUUUGUCCCUACAUUGCUUUAUCUUCUUGUUGAAAAAAUGAAAGAAAGAAUCUCCGUCAACUUUCCAACAGUUCGAAUGAACUAUGCUCGUAGAAUUCAACUUUGUGCAAGAAAUAUAAUUGAAAUUUGCAAAAUAAAAUAUUUUGAAGUUUUUAAUAAAACCAUAUAAACUUAAGAAUUGUUUUUCAAUAUAUUUGUUGGCUUCGAUGAUUUCCAGCAUGUAGGAGCGAGAAGAAAAAAACUGGAAAACCUGAAAAAACCAAACCAAUUCAAAUAAUCAGUUUAGUACAAAAUUGGAUAUAUUGAUUUGUAUUUAAAGAAAACCAAGAUUAUGGAUUCAUAGCGGUCUUUUAUUGGAAACACGAAUCCAAAUUUAGGAUAUAUACCAUUACAAAAUAAACACUGAUAACUUUUGAUAUAUUUUAAUAGGGCUAGUUGCAUAAAUGAGGAUAUUCAUGGCCAAAAGAAUAGAAUAUAUGUUGUCCAAAAGAUAAAAAUAAUCACAUAUAUAAAACCAAAAUUAAUUUAAAAAAUUAAAAACCCAUGCACCACCCACUAUUUUCACCGGCUUCUUCCCAAUAAUUUUAUCAAAUUGAAAGCUAUUAUCGUUAAUUUGCUAUCCUGAAUAACUUUCAUUAGUUGUUGGUAGUAUAAGUAACAAAUUACAGCUAUAAGUCGUAUUACCCAUAUCUUUAAUAUAUCACUAAUUAAUUAAUAUAUCCUUUAAGUCUAGUAUACUGAUAUCACUAACUUCUAUAUAUUAGUAGCUAUCAACCAUACUUUUGUCAGAAGCUUUCAUUCAUAGUAAUCAACAAUACUUUUAUAAGAAGGUUUCAUUGAUAGUUUCUAAAAGUGGUUAUCACUAACAAAACUUAAUUAACUUUUGUAUCAUUGAUAUCAUCAAUAUAUAUGUCUAAGUCAUAUCAUCGAUAACACUCAAUAUUAUUGAAAAACAUUACGCAAUAAAAAUAGAUAUAGAAGAUAGGUCUAUUAUCAAAGUUGAUUGCUGAAAUAUCCUUAUAGAAGUGCAUUCAAUAAAAUUCAUGCACUGAUUGAAGUCUGAUAAACUUCAAUAUUUAACUUAUAUAUAAUUUACCAGUGAAAUAUAAUUGUCAUUGAUGAACUUUAAUAUUUAACUAAAUUGUCUCACUUGAUAAAUGGAUAUCACUCAUGCUACCUAUCCAUGAUAUGUGUAUCACUACUUGAUAAAUGGAUAUCACUCAUGUAAUCAGUAAGCUCACCUAAUAUCAUGCUAUUAAUGAUGAUGGCUUCAAUGAUAUUACAUGCUAUUUAUGUACUUAACUUCUAUCACUAACAAUAUUUUAUCAGUAAGCUCACUCAUAUCAUGCUAUCCAUGAUAUCUUCCAUCACUGAAUUUAGAAAAAACUUGACCUUUUAUGUCAGUAAAAGAAAACAUGACACUACAACUUCUAUCUUCUAUCACUAAAAUUAAACAAUAUGCAAUAUGUGUAGCUUCUAUCAUUGAUGGUUUGCUAUUAGUGAUAUCACUCGACAACUUUCUUCAUCUAGUUAACCACGUUAAGAAAUUUGACUUAUUACUUUUGAAGUUAAUCACUCGACAACUUGCUUCAUAUAUAUUUUCUUCAUAUAAUAAGUGAUAUCGGUGAUAUACUUCUAUAAAUGGUUAUUAACUUUGAAAGAAAUCCAACUUAUCGAAAGAUUAAGCUACAGAAAACUAUGAGUACAUAUUAUUAAUAGUCUUUCGUUAGUGGCUAUGAACUCUGAGAGUUUAGUACUCAAAACUAUAUAUAUGAGAUACUAUUAUUGAUAAAUUUCUAUCAAGACUAUUAUUGAUAGACUCCUAUCAAUAAUAUCAUUGAUAUAUACUUAAGGCUAUGUUUACCGAUUUGCAAUUAAAAUUAUUGGUAUAAUCGUAAUGAAAUUUUAUUGAUAGAUUGAUCGUAAUGGAUUGCAAUUGCAAAUGUGAUUGAACUACUUUUCAUUACAUUUAUCUAGAAAGAUGAAUUUGUUAAAUUUAGCAUUGGUAUGGUUUGGAUUGGUAACAAUAACACUAAAUAUGUCAAAAUUAAUAAGUUUUUUUCUCUUCUAAAAGAGUAAUAAUAAUGGUAACCACAACCCAAACCCAAACCAUAACAGUAAUAGUAACUAUACAACGUAAUUUUUGGAUGCAAUAAGUGAUUGAUCACCCUCUACUUGUCAAGCAUACAUAUUGCAGUUUUUGUUUUAAUACAGAUUUGGAAAAGGGUCUCAUGUGUUAGUGUGAAUACAGAGAACACAAGUAAAGAACACCAAACGUAAUCACACGAGAUUUGUUGACGGAUAAAUUUUGUCUCCCAAAUUCAUGUUGAAUAAAUUACUGACAUACACACCAAGAACUAGUCCUAGCAACAAGUUUUGGUCAAACUUAGAGAGCAAGUAAAUUUCUAAAACAAAAUAAUUUUCUAAUCAAGGUAACCAAACGGGGGUUUCAAAGUUGGUUUCAAUUGCGAGAAAAUAAAUUGCGAAGUAGAGAAUAAAUUGUACAAAUCUAUGUAGAAAUUCUAUAUAAAAAAAUCUAGCUUUUGUCUAACCAAAUUUCCUAUUCAAUGCAUUCCAUCAUCUUCUUAUCAUUACCAAUUCUUUUGGAAACAUCAAUAUUGAAUUGUCCUAGGCAACUAAUCGAUAUCAAUUAAACCGAUGGGAAGCAUACAAAGUUCAACUAGCUAUCAACUCAUUAAUUAAGAUCAAAGAUUUGUUAGGUGAACAAUUAAUUUCCAUGCGUCCUGCUAAUUAUUGGAUGCUUCAAUUCUAAAAUGUUGAUUAGAACAAUGUGCACACAAAUUUUCUUGCAAGCUAAUCUAACCUAUUUCUUCAUUCAUUUAUCAUACAAUCAUGAGGAGUUAAAUCAAAAUUAAGUAUGCAUCAUAUAAUCUAAGCGUCCACCAUAUGAAUUUCAAUCAAUAUAAUCAGAAUUGAAUCCCUACAACAAGAUAAUUCAGUUCAAAUUAAACAUCACGAAUGCUCAUAAAAUUAAGAAAAAUCAUUAGCAACCCAAGCUAGAUAAAGGUACCCUAGUCCAUUCUCAACAUGUUGAGCAAUUGAAAAAUGAAAGAGUGUAAGGACGGAACUAAAAAGUAGAGAAAAUUUGAGAGAAUUCGUGCAAUGGUAAGAUAGUAAUGGCCCUCUCCUUAAUCCUAGCCGGCACAAUCCUCUUUUAUAAAAUUGGUGUAUAGCCGUAGUGUUGACGGAUCUUCGUGUGCAUCAGAACCUUGGAGCGUAUAUAGUGCUCUCUAAGAGAGCGCCUUGGCGUUAUGUGUUUAUUUUAGGCAGUACAACUACUUCCUUAAUGUGUCUUAAUGUGUCGUGAAUUCGGGAGUUUAGUUGUGUGUAGCGAAGGUGUUAGCACCCUACAACACCCACAAAAUGGUUAGCCAAUUUUAUCUUUUAAAUUAAAUAUAUGGGUUCACAAAACAAAGUUUUUAUUUAGAUUUUGUUUAAAUGUCCCAUGUUUAUCAAUUCAUAUCGAAUAAAGUAAAACCUAAGCAUGAAUUGAUAAUUAUGGGUGACAUAGGAGCCAUUAGAAAAAGGAAGUUUAUUUUUGUUUUAAAAUAUUUUUAUUCACCUUAAGAAUAUUAAGAUACCAAAACUUGAUAUUUUAAUCUCUAUCAUAGGUGUUUAAUGAGAAAUUUCAUAUAUCUAGAAUGAAAACACUACUCAGUCUCAUUUAAAAUAUGAAAUGUGUUUAUUUAAAAACAAUCUAUUAAUUAAAUUUCAAACGGAAAAAUUCCAUGUAUUCAUGGAUUUUAAAUUAUAAAAUUCAUAAAAAAACAAUAAAUUUCUUCAAUUUACAUUUUUAUAUUUCAAUUGGAAAAUAAAUAAUAACAAUGACAAAACAUUAUGAAAUUUGAAAAAUAUUUGAAGGGUAAUAUGUUGAGAUAAAAUAAAUACAAAAAACAUAUACAAGAUAAUGUAAGCAAUAUGCAAAAUGUACAAAAUGAUUAAUUACGUAGGAUGCAAAAUAAUUAAUUAAUACAACACAUGCAAGAUAAUUAAUUAAUGCAGAAUGAUGCAAAAUAAUUAAUUAAUUCAAAAAGAUGCAAAAUAAUUAAUUAAUGUAGAAACAGAAAUAGGCAAAAUAAUUAAUUAAUUCAGAAAUAUGAUCAAUAAUUAAUUAAUUCAGAAAUAUGCAAAAUAAUUAAUUAAUUCAUAAAUAUGCAAAAUAAUUAAUUAAUUCAGAAAUACGCAAAAUAAUUAAUCAGGCCAGACCAUAGUAAUGAAUAAUUAAACGAGGAUGUCAAAAUAAUAAUUAAGUGCAGAGUGCCAAAAUAGGUUUAAUGCAAGAUGCCAAUAAAUAAUCAUAGUAGCUAAAUGGAUGUCAAAUAAUUUUAGCAAUAUGAAUGCUGAUUAAUUAAUUAAUACAUAAUGCAAAUAAUUCGAAUGAGUAAUUGACAUAAUUCGAAUGAGUAAUUGACAUAAGAGGCCAAAUGAGUGCCAAAAUAAUUAACGAUGUGCAAAUAAUUAGCCUCCAAAAAUUAAAACUGUCAAAUACAUUGUGCUAAUUAAUUAACGUAUAAUUAAGAGAGUAUGUCGAAUGGAAUGGAUAAUUAUUAACGCAAGAUACCAAAUGGAUACACACAAUUAGCACAGAAUGUAAAACGAAAUUAACACACAAUGUAAAAUGGGUGCCUAGAUAAUUAAAAAGAUAGCAAAUAAUUAAAUCAAUUAACACAAAAUGGAAAAUGGGUGCCUAGAUAAUUAAAAGGAUAACAAAUAAUUAAAUCAGUAUGCCAAAUGGGUGUCAAAUGAGUACUAAAUAAUUAAGACAACAAUUAAAUAAUUAACACAUCAUUUAAUUAAUUAACCAAAUGAAAUAAUUAACAUAGCACCCAAAUGGAUGCCAAAUAAUUAAUCCAUAACACACUCAUUAAUUAAGUCAGUAGCCAAAUAGAUAUAGAUGCCAAAUAAUUAAACAGAUGCAAAACAACUAAUUAAUCAGCAAUCAAAUAGUCCAAUAAGUGUCAAAUUAAUUAAUUAGAUGCAGAACUCAACAAUCAAAAUAGUCAAAUGACCAAAUGAAUGUCAAAUAAUUGACUCAGAACGCCAAAAAUUAAAAAUGUCAAAUGACCGGUGCUAAUUAAUUAAUAGGCCAAAUGAAAAAUGGAUAUUGCCAAAUACUAAUUAAUCAUGCAUAAUUAUAAAUGCAGAAAUAGGUGUAAGUAAUUUACAGAAUGAAUGUGGGAUGAGUGUCAAUAAUUAAAAGGUAUCAAAUGGGUGACAAAUGAUUAAAAGGAUGCAAAUAAUUAAAAGAUGUCAAAUAGGUGCCAAAUGAUUAACACAACAGCUAAUUAAUGAGUGAUUUAAAUGAAUAAUUAAGACAGUACCCAAAUGGGUGCAAAAUAAUUAAACCAGUAUAUCGAGUAUGAAUUAAAAAAAAAAACCUCUUCCCAAAAAAAUUUCUUUUACGUCUCCCUCUUCUUUAUCAAAUAAUCCUCCCAGCCAAAAAAAUCUUUUCUCAAUUGAAUUUUCUCAUUCUCUUUUUAUAGGACAAUGUCUCAUUUUUUAGACAGAAGUGCAGUAGUUUUAGACAGUGAAGUGGGGUACAACAGAGAAAGGGGAAAAAAGUGGAAGAGUAGGAGAACUUGAGAGAUCGAGAGAAAGUGGGAGCGUGGUGACAUAGCAAAAUAGCAAAACAGGAGAUGGUUGAGAAAAAUAGGGGAAGGAAAAAAAAUCUUUACUUUUAAUUUUAAUUUUAAAUAUGUUUUUAUUUUUGUUUUUGUUUUAAAACAUAAAUUUAAAAAUUAAGAUUUAAAAUUAAAAUUUAAAUUCAAAUUCAAAUUCUUUUUUAAAAAAUAAUAAUAAAUAAAUAAAUAAAAUAAAAUAAAAAUAUCUACACACAUCGUACAAAUUUCUAACCAAAACUCACCAUUAGGCGUAUUAUUACCCCCACUAUCUAUAUUUUCACAUUUUAUUACUAUUAUUGUAAACAUGUGAAUUAAGCAUAAUAUCAAAUUAUAUAUUUUGUCAAACUAAGGAUAAGAUUAAAUAAAUUAUUGUUGGAGGGAAAUUAAAACUAUUUUAAAAAGAAAAGAAGAAAAAGAGUAAAUAGAAAAUAGACUUAUAUGAUUUAGUGAUUGAAAAACAUACAUUAGUUUAAUAUAAUAAAAUAUAACUAGUUGAUUGAUAUAUAUGGAUGACCAUCUCUAUUUCAAGAACUUCUAAAUUAUUAAUAUUUAUAAUAAAAAUGAAUCUUACUUUAGUUUCCAACUAUACACUAUAAGCUGGAAGCUUGGAAAAGAGGUAGGUAGUGGGAUAUAUAUUUGAUAUGGAUCAUAUAUAUAUAUAUAUAUAUAUAUAUAUAUAUAUAUAUAUAUGAGUGUAUCUUCAUAUUCAAAGCAUAUUCCUCCAUUAGCUAUCAUGAGACUUUUUUUUUUCUUUUCCAUUAUGUUUUUUUCAAACCAAGAGAAAACACAUCACGAUCCCUUGCCCACAAGAUGAUUUACUUUUGAGAGACUACUUUAUUGUAUGAUUUAAAUUUGCUACACCUUCACAUUUGGAAGCAUUUGGAAAAUUAUUGGAAAUCCAAAGAUGUAGUUUUAGAUAAGUUCAAAACUUUCUAAUUAUAUGACAAAUCUUAAUUCCUAAAUUAAAAUAUUAUUUGUUGUUAUACUUAUUUAAUAAUGUACACAUAUAUACAAAUGAAUUGGAACAUAAUUUAUGUGAUAUAUGGAAGUAUAUACAGAACUUUUAUUUAAUAAUGUUCCCAAUACUUGUAUACAUUUUCUGUUUGUAAUAGAAACAAAACCUCACUCUAAAACAUAAAAUAACAUACUCCAUCUUUGUUUUACAUUAGGAUUAUAAAUAUUACUUUUCAUCGAUCACUCUUUUUAACUUUUCCCUUUCACUAUUCCUCAUUCUUCAUUUCACUAUUUCUCACUAUCCAUCACUUUUUCCUUUCUCUAUUGUUUACCCUCUAUCUUUCCUACGUCACUAUUUCUUACUCCUCCCUUUUACUAUUACUAUAUAUAUAAAAUCUACACUCCAAACACGAACUAUAAUAACUUACAAUCUAUUAUAAUUUACAGAUUAAUGAUAACUAUAUUAUAUAAUAACUUAUUUCACACUCUUGUAAAAGAAUGUAUUUUUUUUAUAAGGGUUUAAUAAGCCUCCAUCUCUUAGUUAUUUAGUAGAUCACUGUUACAAUUGAUAUAUGCAGAUUUACUAUAGAUAAAGGGAAUAGCUUAUGGUAUAUAGACGACAUAGAUAUCCAUGGUUUUGAUAUCCUAAUUGAAAAGUAUAUUUAAAAGUAAAUGUUUAAUGAAAACGAUGUACUUGAUAAGAAUGUGAGGAGCAUGGUAUAUGAUAUACUUGAUAAGAAAAAGAUAAACAAAAAAUGUAAUAACUGGAAUUAUAUAGAACCCGUAAAUUUUAAGAUAAUUGUAAUUAAUUUACAACAUUUAUAAGAUUAAUAAUAUUUUUAGAUAAUUAUUUAUAUGUGUCAAAAUUUGUCAAUGAUCAAAACAAAAACCUAUAAUUAAGAAUAAAGAAUAACAGUCUAAAUUUAAAUUUAGUUACAUUUAUAAAUUCUUGUAUAUCUGCUAAUAUUUUUUUUUAUCAAUACCUAUUUAAUAAAUUUUAUGAACUCUGCUGCUAUAUCUAAUAGUAUGAAUUUCACAUUCAAAUGAGUUGAACACAAAACAAAAAAGUAAAGUAACUCAUUUAUCUGGUAGGAGGAGUGAUUUUUUCAAUAAUUUCUUUUCAAUUGCUUUAAUCCAUAGCAAUCAAUUGAAUUGUUUAAGUGGGUACAAUACAAUCACAACUUCAAGAAUACUAGUAUUAUAGAUAAUGAUUUAUAAGUGUGGCAAGCCACAAAUAGUGGUUCCAUUGAGGUUUUUUUUUUUUUUUAAAUUUAAAAAAUAAAUAUUAAAUGUUUAACAUAGAAGUUAAUUAGGAAGCCAAGUUUAAUUUUGGUUGUUGGAUAAUUACUUGUAAUCUCAUACACACACAUAUAUAUAUAUUAAUCACUAGUUAUCUAUAUACGAAGUUAAGUUAAUCCUACGGUCUACCCUAAUUUACUUUAUAUUUUGCCUUCAAAAAAUCCUAUUUUAUCAAUAUUAUAUCGUAUAUAUUUUAAAGUGUGAAUUAAUAAACAAUAUGUCUAGUUGAUAGAUUCAAAUCUCUAAACUUUUACUCAAAGUGUUCGGUCGAUGAGUUACACGUCUUUUUUAUCUUAUUAUAAACUUAAUUAUAAAAUCGUGUACCUAUAAAUCUUAAGUUUUAUAAUUAUUUAAUAUAGUUCAACGGAAUAUAUUGUCUAAAAAUGUGAAGUUUUCUAAACCUAACUCAACUUAUUAAAGCAUAUAUUAAAAGAAUAGAAAAGAAACACGUAUUAUGCAAAACAAAGUUUCUAGACACACUUAGUUGGAGUCGAGGAAAACAUAUUGUAUAUAGACAAUGCAAUUAUUAAGAUGUGUAUUAUAGAAAAGAAUGAAGAACAAAAUGGCUUUAUAUUAGAGGCUUUACAGCUGGAGAAUAUGAAGACCAGACACGUGGGAAAGUUGAAGAUGAGAAGAAGAAAAAAAGUUAAAAGGGUAGGCCACAAAGCUUGGGAAAGGGUCUCCACACACAGAGUAGUUGGAGAUCGGUAUCAUUGAGGAUUUGAUCAAUAGUCAAUAAAGGAAUAAUAUUAUACAUUUUCACAAAAAGUGAUUCACCAAUCAAUCUCUUAAUUAACACGCACAUAAAUUUAAUUAAUUAAAUUUAUUGUUAUCAAUUCCACCAUCAAACAUGAUUAAACAAAAAAAAAAGAUAAUAAAACUGUAAGAAUUCACACAAACAUGUAGAAAGUAAGUAUAUAAUGUGUAUUUUUUAAAAUUUUAAAACCAAAUUAAUAAGUAAAUACAAUAAAUACGUCUAACAUAAGCUUAGAUCAUUAAUAAUUGAUACGAGAAAGGAGACUCAAUCGUGUAUUUUAUAUAAAUACGAAUAAUUUAGUUAAGGAUUGUUGUUGUACUGAAAAUAAUAAAUAAGAAUAAGUUGGGUGGAGGGAUACACCCUCUAGACUCCAACUUGUGCUUGAUGAUUGGAGGAGUGAAACAUUUUGUAAGGAGAAUGGAUGAAAAGAAGGAAAAUGGGAACGGGGAAGAGGGUCCCAAAGGGAUUACUCAUAUCAUAUGGUAUGGAUUAAAAUAAUAUUAUAUUUUGAUUCGGAUGGAACUAAUUAGUGGAAGUUAUUAUUAAUUUUGUAUAUGUAUGUUUUGUGUUGAAUUAAUAUAAUAUACAUAUAUUGGGCGGUGGGCAUUUUGAUAGUUCCAUAUUCUUUGGUCUGUGGGUAUCUUGAUGAAGCCUACAUUUCAGGUGCAAUGCAUGUUUUUGGAUAUUCCACUAAGGCACGUGAGAAAGGCCACAACAUCACGUGGGUUUUCCCAACCCCACUUCACUGUACAAUUAUAUUCUCCUUCUUAAAUAUCCUUUCAAUUAUUCUUCAAUUUUGUUUUUCUUAAUUCAAAUAAAUAAUUGAGAUCAAUGUCAACUCUCUCGUAUGUCAACGGCUGGAACAUAUAUCAUUGCUCUUCUUACUACCUCCUUUCUUCAAUCCCACUUGGCUCAUCAAUUUCACAAAUAAUUAAUAUCUUAUCUCUACUUCAUACAACAUCAUUCAAAUUUGAAUCAUAUAUACGCUAGGUUUUUUAGGGGGUUUAGACUUGCUUCUACCAAGGUUUAAAGUCCAACAAACAAUUGCUAACCUUUCUAAAAAAACUAAAAAAUAAUAUGAAAGACUGCAUGUAUGUUAAAGAGAAGAGAAAAGUCAAACUUUCAAGUUUCAGCUAUCUACGCCAAAGAAAAAUAAUUAUACUGAUCGAGAUACAACGGUAUCAAGCUUUGAGCCUUGACAUGUUGCAACCCAUACUUGCAUUUUCUGCAUUAUACGUAACUACAUACCGAUAUUAGACAGAGAGUAUGACAAAUAGUCUCAUUCGACAAUGUCAAUUAGGAGAAGUGAAUAGAUUAAACUCAAAAGGAAAAUUCAUCUAAUAUGCUUAGUUAAACUAGUUGCAUUCCUUUAUAUUGGUCUAGACAUUGAAGUGUGAUUGGGCUCUCGACACCACACCAGUGUGAAUAUACUCUCAUAUAGAGUUAGUUUAAACAAGAGAAGCGAGUUGAUAAAGAGCAGACAAAGGCCUCACAAUCUAUGUUCCAUAGGCCAAAAAAAAUAUAUAUAUAUAUACUUAAUACAUUUCAGACUACACUCAUCUUUUUGCAACCAUCUCCCCUUUUCUCCACUUAUCAAAUAAAAAUUCAUGUUGAAGAUAUGUAAAAAUAAUAUAUUAUAGGGUAUCUUUUGAUAGAGAUUUAUUAUCUCACUGCAUUAAUUAUAUAAAGUGAUUGAUUAAUAUAUUAAUUUGUUGGAAACGUGUAUUGGAAUGAGAUGUUUCAUUGCCAUUUUUUGUUUCUGUCGGUGAUAUGUUAUGUGUAGUAGGGUAUUGGGUAGAUAUGAUUUUGAAAAGAGGUAAGGUUGCAGCCCAUGUGUAGCAUAUGAGAUAAGAAGUUUGAAUUAACAAAGGGUUAUUUUAUACUGACUUUAUAUUAUUUUAAAUUAUAUAUUCCAUAAGAAGCAUAUGAUAUAAAGUGACAAAUAUCUACAAGUUUGGGGGUUAAUUUUCCUAGAGAAGAUAUUUUAGUGAGAAAAAAGUGUAGUAUGUGAUAGGACCAAUUGAAAGGUAAAGUGUGACAACAAAUAAUAUGGUGGGGUGUGUGUAUAUAUAUUAUGAAGAGCUAGGCUAUAGGGGAGAAAAUGAUAUAAAGUCGGGCUAAAUGAAUGAAUAUAAUAUAAGUAUAUAUAUAAACAGAAAUAGGUAAAUUAAAACAAUCAUUUUUAGCUAGUUAAUAUUGAGGUUUAGAUUUGAGUUUUGUAUUUGGUUUAUCUUUAACAUUUCAAAUUGGACAGUUUCGAUAUUCAAAAUCAAGUGUAAUAAAACAUAACAAUUUUAGUUAUUAAGAUUCGGAUUCUACUUGGUGUGAUUAGAGUUUGAAAUAGACACUUUUAGACAUUGGAUUGGUUUGAAUUUAAGUUUUUAUUAGCUUUUAAGUUGUGCGUUGGUCCUUAUCUAAAUUAAUGAAGUGAAGUAACAUAUAUUCUACAUUACUAUUGAACCUUAUAUGUUAACGGUCCUUAGGUCCAAUUGUGUUAUCGAUUUCAAACUCGAUUGAAGAUGUUUCAUUAGAAGUCAAUGCUUAAAAAAAGUCUAACAGUGUUGUUGACAAAGAAUCUCUCAAUUAAUGGUGUUGUAACGGAUAAAGAAUUUCUCUCAUGCCUUUUGAACUUUUCUUAUAUGUUAAUUAUUGGAAGCUAAUGCUCAUGAAGUAAAUGUCUUGAUGUCAGUUUGCACAAACCUAUUAAAAAUAUCAGUGCUGACUAUUAAAUAGAGAUCAUAUCAGCUACGGUGCCAUCAAAAUUUCACAUUAACUAAGAAUGAAGUUUUUGAUACAAAAUCUAAAUUGUUUGUUUAUUAUGACGUAGCUAUUAUUGCUAAUUUAAUUGUUUUAUGGAUCUUUUACAUAUUUAUAUAGAAGAGUGAAACAGAAAAUAGAAAAUUACUUUCAUGUCAAUUGUUAAUAUAUAGUAUAUGAUAUUAAAAUCUAUAAAUAUCACAUAGGCAUUCGAUUCAAAAUUAAAUUUUAGUUUUAUUUUUUUGAAAAGAUUAUUAUGGCUGUAUUAUUAAAGUUCAUAUAAAGCUAGAAAAAGAUAUUUAGUAAAAAUAAAAAAAAACUGAAAAUGGCUCUAAGAUUGGUGAACAUAGAGAGCGACUAUAUUUUGAAGAGACACUACUAAUUCUCCUAUUGCAAAUCCAGUUUUGUUUGUUUCACUAGGGAUUAAGCAUGGUAUUAGAGUAAGAAGCUAUUGUGUAUGGAAACUUUUUAAAAUAAUAUUGUUUUCACCGGUUGGGUUGUGUCCACAAAUAAAUGUGAUUAACACUUUAGGAUUCGUUAUGAAAUGUAAUUGUAUUGCAAUGUUAUAAAAUAGAAAACUCAAAUUUAGACCAAGUGUUUUAGAUAUAGUUUGUAAUGAAUUAAUAUCAAACUCAUUCAUAAUCUCUUUGUUAUUAUUAUAUACUUCUACAUUUAAUGUAAUGGUUGUGAUAUAUUUGUUGUUUCCACGGUAAAAUAUUGUUGUUCUUAUCAUGAUUGCAUUAUAUUAUUUUUCUUCAAAACGGUCAACCGCCGAUACCAAACUCUAUACAAAUCAAAUAAUCAAUUAAACUUUUACUACCAUAUGUUAUUAGUUACCUCUUUUUUAUAUAGCAUCUAAGUUGAGUGCUUAAAAAAGAUUACUCUUAUUUGUAUAACUAAGAAAAAGAUAUAUCUAAAAGCUAGCCUAUCAAAACGUGUCUGAUUCAAAAACAUAUUCAUUCACAUUUUCUAUUUCUAUUUCUACUUUUUUUACUAGGGUAAAAGAACUUUCAUCAAUAAUUAGUCACCCUCUUGGUCAUGGUUAAAAGAAGGGACGACUUUUAUUCUAAUUGACCAAUCAAGUGAUUUUAAUUAGUUUGUUGGCCACAAUGAUUAAAAUAUGUAUUGAUAUCACACUACCAAAAUUCCAAUUUUACAUUAUAAUAACUAACUUCUUGCUUCAAAUACUUCCAGAGUAAUUUCCAACUUUGUCUUUGAUUAAUCAUAAGUUUUAACCUUUUAUCACGUUGUCUUGCUCUUAGGUUGGUCCCUUCUAUAUUUUACGUGGUUGUUAAACAUUCAAUUUUUUUUUUUUUAUAAAAAGAGUUUAUACAUUUUUUUUUCCAUUAGCCGAACAGACCUUAAGCAGUAUUUUACUUGUACAACAAGAGAAAGCAUACUUUAGCUAACUUUUUCUUCGGUUUUCGUAAAUAAAAAAUUUAUAAAAUUUAUUCAAAUUAACUAUAUAUAUCAAGUUAUAUUUUUAAGGGCAUUUUAAGGGAAAUUGCAAUUCAUCACCAUUUUAUGAAUAAUAAUUAAGGAUAUAACAACAUUUAAAAAAAAUUACAAAUAUAACAAAUUUAUCACUCAUAGACGUAUCACUAAUAGACUUUAUAUGGUCUAUUAGUGAUAGACCAAUAUUUGCAACAUGAUCUAUCGAUGAUAUACUUAUAUCAUUGAUAGAAUUUAACAAAUUUUAUUAUAUUUGCAAAUUUUUUAAAAUGAUGCUAUAUACUUAGUUAUUUUGAAUCUAAUUGCUAAAUUUGUAAUUAUCCCAAUUUUUAAAUAUAACAUAAAAAAUUAAAAUAUUUAUAAAAUAUAACAAAAAGAAUUCAAACCGAACUCCUGGAUCAUCUGUCAACUGCUCAAUCAAUUACUUCUUUCGAAUGCUAAAAAAAUCCUCGUGUCACCAGUUCAAAUCUUGACUUCUUAUUAGUGUAUAAAUAGACAUAAGAGUUUAUAACAUGAUAGAAUCUAUUUUUUUAUAUAUAUUUUAUAAAUAUUUUUAGCAAUUUUGAUAUUUACAAUAGUAUUCGGUUAACUUUCAUAAAUAAAACAAACGGAUAAAAUAUUUACGAUCCACGUAAGAAAUUCAAAAAGUCCACGAAAUUUACUUUUUUAAAAAAAAAUUCAGGUUUGUUCUUCCUUAUCAUCAUCUUUCUUCUCUCCUUUUGUGUCAUCUUUUUUCUUUUUUCUUUUUCUCUUCUUCAGCGAUUUUUUUUAAUAUGUCCAUUUGCCCUUCCUUUUCAUACUCUUUCUUCUGCAAUUUUUUUCGUUCUCAUCGUCUUUUUCUUCUCUUCUUUAGUUUUUUUCUUUUCUUUCUCAUCGUCUUUUUUUUUGUAAUUUUUUAUUUUAUUUUUUCAAACUGUUAUUUAGUUUUUGAAGAUCGUGUGUCAAAUAUAAAAGAUGGUGAAAAAAUCGUUUAGAUAUUGGAUUGUCAAAUGUAAAUGAUCGUGUACAAAAAUAGUAAAAUCUAAACGAUCGUGUUUCAAAUCUAAACAAUCGUGUACCAAAACAUCUUGAAAAAGAUCAUUAAGAUUUGAUUACCUAGAUUUAAACGAUUAAAUUAAAUGAUCGUGUGUCAAAUCUAAACGAUCGCGUAACAAAAAAAUCUUGAAAAGAAUCGUUUAGAUUUCAAAUCUAACUGUCUAAUAUAAACGAUAUGGAGAAGAAUAGUCAAAUCUAAACGAUUGUUUUUCAAAUAUAAUACGCACAUUGGAUGUCAAUUAACUUCAGUAUAUUUUUGGUAUUUUUUUAUUGUAGGCAUAUGAUCUUUUUUUUUUCAUUUUCAAAAUUGUUCCCGUAAAUAUUUGGCCGCUUUAUUAUACUUUUCUAAAAAUCCCAUAGUAUUUCUUGUUUUUUAUAUUAUUAUUCGUAAAUGUAUUCAUAUUCAUAUGAAAUUAAUAGAUGAUAGUUUUUAUGUUUUAUAUGUACUUAUAAAAAAUAUCCCAAAUAAUGAUUAAUUUUUAAUAUCAAUGUCAAAUCCUCCUAUUUAUGGAUAUGGAUCUACCCACUAAUAUUGUCGUUGAUGGUUUGCUCAAGGCAAAACCCAAUCCCAAGGUAUCUCAAGAGUAUGUCUAGUGGUUAAAUUUGUGCAUCUCCAAAUGGAAAAUCAAUCAAAACAUGAGUGUUUGGCCAGUCAUGCCAAAACUCCAUCUCUAUUACUAGUUAUUCUUCCCUUAUAAAUCCAUGUCUUUUUUGUUAUUUAAUUUUAACCGAUUUUAGAAAUUUAAUUGCAUUCUCACUCAACACUAACUUAAUUAUCAAAGGGUAUUUGGCUCAAUACCAUAACAAUGGAAAGUGCUAAUUGCCAUUGGUAUAUAGUCCUCAAGUGUUGGUUCACUCAUGUCAUACUUGACCCAAGCAUUAAAAAAAUAAUAUAAUAUGAGCCAAACUUAUUGACACAAAGCCUACAACCUUAAAGACUACAUCUAUAUACAUUGACAUGUAACACACUUAAUAUUGGUUAUAAUGUCCUAAGCAAAUGUCAAAAGAUGAUUCUAUAAAUAAUCUCAUCUACAUCAUUUAUGAUAACAAUUACUUGAGUGCUUAUUUAAACUUAACACUUUCUAUAUUAAUUCAUGCAUGUUCGGCUCGACAUACAAUGAUACAAAACCUAAAUGCAUUUGCAAGCUCAAAGGUGUAUCAUAUCAGUAGUCUAAGAUGUGAGUGCCAAAACUUUCUGACCUAUAUAAGUUGUCUUAAGUCUCAGAAAAGCAGUUAAAAAAAUAUAGUUUUGGCAAGAACCCCAAAAUAUUAUUAAACCAGCAUGAAUAAAUGUGUGUGUGUGGCACAUAUGUCCUCCACAAAAACAACUCAUCAAGAAAGACCAAUAAUAUGACUUCAACAGUGUUGAAAAGCAAGUUGAAAAGAACCACUACUUCUUCUUCUCUUAAUGAAAGACAAAAAGAAAGCAACCAAUGGAAGGGUCCAUCUGGGGUUUUUUGAGGGUCGAUGCGGAGAAAAUAGAGAGAAGAUUUGAAAGAAUUAUACUUAGUGGUGGGAUCAUAAUCCUUUUGCUUUUUCGACUAAUCCUUUGUGGGGUACCAAAAGCACUUCUAUGAAAAUUGGGUGGCUAUGUAAAGUUAUUCACAACCAGCCAUAAUAAUAAUAAUUCUGUCAAACAACGACCCUUCACAUAUCUAUACGAUAGCAUAAUAAAUAUUGUUUGCUUUAAAUAGAAGCUCUCGUGGUUUUAUUUUUUAUUUAUUUAAAAAAAUUAAUAUUAAAAAUGGUUUUUUUCAAAAUAGUUAAAAAUAGCAAAUUUGACAAAAUAUUUACAUCAACAUUAAUAUAUUUUUAUCAAUGACAUUUUUAUUUACUUUGCUAUUUUUUGAAAUGUUCGACGACCAUUUUUAUAGAGUUGUAAUGUUCUACUUAUAAUUAAUUUGAAGAUUCAUAUUCUCAAUAAAAAAUAAUAAUUAAUAAUAAUGUUAAGAUAUCAUAUUUUGGUUUAUAAUUUUAAAUUAGUUCUUUAAAGUAGAUUUUUACAAAUUCUAGAUAAAUCAAUAAUAUUAAUAAUUUUUAUAGAAGAAAUACAAGAGGUAAAGAAUACCAUUUUCAAAUUUUAUAGCAAUAAAAGAUGCUAAUGAAUAAUAACAACUGUGUGAGUGACGCUAAGACUAAUAGUUAAUAGUAAAGUAUAUAGCAAACAAUAUUAAAGAAUUACAAAUGUAGCAAAAAAAAUAUAUCAAUAAUAGUUAGGUUAAAUCAUUAGUAGACGUCACUAUUGUUUGAUAUACUCCUAUCACCUAGAAUGGUUUGUCUUAUAGAGUUUGAGAGUUAUAUAUCUUACACAAUUUUGUAUUAGUAUAUUUGUAAAUUGCAAGUAAGGUUGUAUUUUUGGAUUAAAAGUAAACAAAUUUGAAAAGGUAGGAACCAAAACUAAAACUAUUAUAAUCAUAUAAUAAUGUUUCCUUCCAAAACUCUCCCUCUUAUACUCUCCACAAAAACUAAAGGUGAGAAUUGAGAGAUGGAGAAACUAUAAGGUUAUAAUUUGCUAAUUUUGGGAGGCUCCAAUUGGUCUUUUGCUCUUCUUCCACAUUCCAAUCUUUUCCCUCAACCGACCUCUAUCCCCAAAACAUUUGCUUUUUCAAUAUAUAUUUCUUUUUCUUUUCUAUAUAUCAUUUAUCUUCUUUUCUUUUCCCCUUUCUUUUUCUGAUGAAUCAAUUUCCAUAUCUUCCUUCCACUCAUAAAUUAGGUGAAAAAACUUUUAGUGGGUUAUUAAGAUUUUAAGAUUGUAUCUAGUACUUAACUUAACUGGUAUAUUAGUCUUCAUAUUUGAAAAAUAUAUUAUGGUACUACAUAAUAGACUUUCAAACUUUUUAAAUUGUCAUAGUAGAACUCAAAAUUUUUCCCAACACCUUUCUUGGGCAAAUGUUUUAAUGGCUCAUUUUGUACAUUUUAAUUUUCUCGAGCUUUUCAGUCGAAUACCAACUAGGACAAAGACUAAGAUGGACUACUAAACUUUCCAAAAUCUUUUUUUAGUAUGCAUGAAACUUUCUCAAAUUCCCUAUCCAUAUAUUUUAAUCUCAAUCCCCAAUUCAGUAUUUGAUUCUCGUAGCUAUAGAUUCCUUCAGGUAUUUCUAUUUCAAUAUACAUUCAGAGAGAAGCUAUUAGACUUGUGUGGCCACCACUGAACAGCUUGGACUAUAUUAUAGGGAUUUGCUGGUAUUAAAGCGGGGAACGUCAAUUGAUUGGAAAUUUGGAUUAGGAAUAGAAAAUUUGGGGAAGAUCUCACCUACCAUAAUGUUUUUGGAAAAGCAUGCGUAAGAUUUUGGGGAAAACUGUGUACAAAUAAUCCCCAUCUUUAUAUGCUUUGUUUGUGAAGUUGAAGGGGUCUCACAUUUAGAGAAAGUAUGGUUUAUUAUUCCUUUUUAUCCAAUAAUCAAAGGAAAGAUAUCUCAUCAAAUUGACAUUGUAAUUAUGUAAAUUUGCGAAAGUAUGCGUUCAUGUAUUUGCAAAGCCUAAAUCUUGAAAAUUAUACAAAUUUCCAUUUUCUAUUAAGGAACAAGUUGUCGCAAAACUGAUCGCAUAGAAGAAGCAACACAGAAUCAUCAAAUGAUGAAACCAUAUAACGGAACUCGAGGAAAUAAAGAAGUGCAUGAUAAACCGCUGAGGAAGCAAGAAAAUGUCCGCUAGACAUUGAGAUUUAAUUUGAACGCAUACUGUGAAAUCCCACGAGACAUCAGAGUAUGGGUCCAAGUUAUUUAAUGUUGGUGCACCUGCAAAUACGAAAAUAGUAUGGAAAGACUCAGGACAGUGCAAAUAAUAUUCCUCCUUAACCAAGGAAAUGUGCUUUAUGGAGGACAAACAAAAAGAGGCCAUACUUAUUGAAGCUUAUAUAUACAUAGAUGCAUGCGCGAGCCAAAGAAGACAUGAAGAUCAAGAUCACAAGAAAGGAACCUUUGUCAAGGUUCGUCUAUCCCUUUUAUAGACCGUUCAUCUAAAAAUCAAAUAGAAAAGCAGUGCAUUGACCAUUGAACCCAAAGAGAACAAGAAAUUGUGAUCGGUAGCUCGACAUCAAUAUUAUCUUCCACUUUGUAUUUAUUUUGUGUUGUAUUAUUGAAUUAAGGAUUUGAGAAAUUCUCUAUAUUUUUCAAUAUGAACAAUAACACCAUCACUUCUAAAUUCAUUCGUCUUCUUCUCUGUCAUAUUGAGUAGCUAUCUCGCAUGUAAUGAGUUGAGAAGAUGGAUUAGUAUUUAGAAAAGGGCGUGCAUGAGUAUAUAAACUUUAGUCUGUUUAGCUGGAAAAUAGAUGUCAAUAAAACACUUAAGUGACUAUAGGUAGUUUACUAUUCGAAAGAAUAAGUGACUAAGACUUAGUUAAAUCAAAAGAAGAUGAAAGUAAUAUUAAAAAUAAUUAAGAAUAAGUUUGUUAAUUAAGAAUAAGUUUGUCGUGCAUAACUACAUCAUUAACAUUUGGAAAUAGAGUAUUUGAGGCAUUAAAGCGUAGAAAGGUAGCUUAUCUUAAUUAGCUAACAGUUUGACACAUCAACGUUACUAAUACAUAUGGCUUGAAAAGAAUGUUGGAAAACUUCUUUAACGAUAUUCAUUGCAUCACAUUCUUUCACUUUUUGUCUACUUUAUACUUGAUUGCUCAACACUUCUCUCUGCAUAUACUUGCAAAAACAUCGUUCAUGUCACUAAGGCAGAAAUUCAUUAGAGUAAAUAAUUGCUCAUAAAAUAUAUUUGUUAAUUAAAACUCUGAAUAUAAUUUAUUUUUGUUCUUUGCCAAAAGUUCAACUUAGACAUCAAUCAUAAACGCCAAAUCCCUCUCUUCGACUCUGGACUACCAAAAAAUCUAUUUUUAAGUUUAUAUACUUGAACUAAGAUAGAAAAACUUGUAACAUUAGUAUAUACUUCAUACUCUAAACCUCAUCCCAUUAUAGCUUAUCGUACAACAUUAUCCGACAAGCUUUAAAAGUUACGACAGAGUCCAAGCUGUACCAUUACAUUAAGGGGUUUUCAUACAAAACUUGAAGAAGCGUUUUAUUGUUGUGAAAAUGAUGAGAACUCAAAUUUAAGAAAAACUGAAGUUAAAACUGAAGAAUAAGUUAUCCACGUGAGUCACUGAAGAAGAAGUCUAUUGAAAAGACACUAUGAUCUGUGAUCUUCCACCAAAUAAGUUAUUGCACACUGUAUAUCUCUUUCUAUUUCUAUUUGUUUGUAAGUUGCCUACUUGACAUACGUAUUGUUUGUACCGUUGUCUAAAACUGAGUGUUGUUCGGUAAUAGAUAGCAAUAUGUAUGCAAGAGAAGAAAGUAAAAGUUAAGUUUUCAAAUUAGAAUGAACAAGGUGAUCAUAAUAAUCCCAAUGCAGAGGUCAUAUUCAAUAAUUUCCAACCACUAGAGAUGUUCCAUGUUAAAAAGCUUCAAAAGACUUAUAUUAGAAGACGCAAAGACUGAAUAAAUAAUAUAAUAAACAACCUUAUAAAUUACCCUAUAUGCUAUACAUAAAUAUAUUAUAUAAAAGAAAAAAUAGAAAGAGAGAUAGUAGAAGAAGAAAAGUUUGAAUGAGGGCCAGAAACUUCCACUAAAUGCUAUCAACCUAAUCCUUUGUUGCCUUUUAUCAACAACAAAAAACAGUACCCUUUCUGCCCUCUCUCCCCAACCUGCUUUUUGGAUUCCCUUUUUUUAAUUCUCUUAUUUCACAAUUCUUUGCCUAUAAAAACCACCCAACUUCUCCUCUUUUAUCAACAACACUCUCAUUUCAAACUUCCAAUAUUAACCAUUUUAAAACAAACUCCCAUCUCCUCUGUUACACACCCUUGCUUCUAUCUCACUGAGCACACAUCUUCUCCAUAUUUUUCAACCUUCAAAAAUGGUUGGUCUUUUUUUUCUUUUAACAAAAAAAUGACUCAAAUUUUAUUCUUUAGCUUCAUUUUGGUCUUAUUUUAAAUGGGUGUUUUUAAAAAUUUGAAUUUUUCUUUUUUGGGUCUAGGACGGGAAGAAGCUAAGUUGGACAGUAGCUGAUGCUGUGGAUUACAAAGGUUUUCCAGCAGAUAAAUCUAAGACUGGUGGUUGGAUUCCUGCUGCUCUUAUUUUAGGUAUCUUAAUUAUGUAUUAUUCAUUAUUACUUCAUUAGUCUAAUUUAAUACUCAAACCUAAACUAAGUAUCGCAAAUGAUUAAGUGCACUCUUGUCUCUGGUAUAUAGUAAAAAAUAAAAAUAAAAACAAGAACAAUUCAUAAAUAUAUACACACAUAUAUAUUAAAAAUUUACAAUCGUCUGUAGUGUACAAAGAUAAAUUAGCACAUGCAACUUCCAAGUCUUUUUUUCUUCUCAUCAAAGUGCGAUUGAUUCUUUUUAUAUUUUUUUCUGAUUCCAUAAAGGCCUUUCUUUUUUAUAUAUCUAUUUUGUUCAAAAAGAGAAUCAAGAAAAAGGUUCAACUUUUUCGCUUUGAACCUUCUUUAAUAAUUUAAUAAACACAACUAUGAUUAACAUCUUCAUAUUAUGCAUGCCAACUAACAAAUGAUAUUUCAAAUUACUCUCUCUCCUUUUAUUUCACAGAGUGAUAUAAAAACUGAGAAAUUUGAAAAAGCCUAGUGUUCUACGUAAUACAGUACUAUAAAAUUUUCUGGAUAUGUUUCUUUCUCGGCGUUUUUCCCUAAAAAAUAAUAGUGAUGAAAUUUUUUUGCUGAGGAAAUAGAAAGCAGGGAGAGGUUCGUUUAAGAUUGGUUUAGGGAGGUUUUUUUUUUUGGCUUUUCUAUGAAGGUUUUGAUCAGCAGAUUCUGUGCCAACAACAAAACUCCAAACUUAAAAAGGAGAAUAAUUGAGAGGGACGUACGUGCAUAGUAUAGAUAGGAGAUUAGUGACGUUUUUUUUAUCCUUCCUGUGAGUAUAUGGAAUUUAAUGACACAAUCUUAUGUCACUUCAUCACAAUCAAUAACUAUUCAAUGUCAUGUGGCCUUUUUGAUCACUUUGUUUUUGGUUGUAGAUUAAAUUAAUAAGUAAAUGUUUAAGAACCUGUUGUCAGGAUAAAUGAUUGAAUUACAUACCUUUAAAACAUGACUAUAUAAUCCUUUUUUUUUAAAAAUCUUAGAUCGCAGUUCUUUUAUUCUAAAAUUUAUAUAAACUAAGUAGUGUGCAUGUAAACUUAAGCAAAGAGAACUUAAGUUGUUUAGUUUUGAGAAUUGUUAAGAGAAUUAAUUAGAUAUGGAGUCGGAAGCACAAAAGAACUAAUAAAUUAUAAAAAUGGACGGUUUUUAUUUAUUUGUGGGACCUACAAAAUAUUUGGACCAAAGGGAGAGUGGAAUUACCCUUACUGUGUUCUUUUCUUUUAGGCCAACGUAAAGUACCUUUUUCUAAUUCUACUUUCCUGUUCUCAUUUCUACUAAAAAGAAAAAACUAAAACUCUUGCUUUGUAAUUUCUUUUCAAAAGGAAAAGUGACGGUAAUUAUUGGUUACAAAUAUUGAAUCAUAAGAAGUGUUAAGCUUUACAUAAAUUAGUUUUUAAUUUACAGGUAUUGAAAUAUGUGAAAGGCUAUCAACAAUGGGCAUAGCAGUGAAUCUUGUGACUUACUUGGGUGGGGUAAUGCAUUUGCCCAGUGCAGCUUCAGCCAACAUUGUUACAGAUUUCAUGGGAACUUGCUUUCUCCUCUGUUUGCUUGGUGGUUUUCUUGCUGAUUCUUUCCUUGGUCGAUAUUACACUAUUCUCAUCUCUGCCCUCAUUCAAACACUGGUAUAUGUUCAUCAAACUAAAAAUUCAAUUCAUGAACUUCACAUAUAAUUAAAGAUAGUAAGUAACAAUGGGUUAAAUUUUGGCACUUCAGGGGACUGCUGCACUUGCAGUUUCAACAAAACUACCACAGCUUCGUCCUCCACCAUGCGAUGGCACCAAAACCUGCAAGGAAGCAAAUGGAUUUCAAAUGGGAAUUUUGUAUCUAGCUCUGUAUCUCAUUGCUUUAGGGACUGGUGGCUUAAAAUCAAGCAUUUCGGGUUUUGGAACUGAUCAGUUUGAUGAUACAGAUGAGAAAGAAAAGGCUAAGAUGGCCUAUUUCUUUAACAGAUUCUUCUUCUUUAUCAGCACUGGAACUUUGAUGGCUGUCACGGUGUUGGUUUAUAUUCAAGAUGAAGUGGGUCGAAGUUGGGCGUACGGGAUUUGUUCCGUCUCGAUGCUUGGCGCGAUUUUGUUAUUCCUUUCGGGGACUAAGAGGUACAGAUACAAGAAGAGCAUGGGGAGCCCUGUAGUUCAUAUUUUACAAGUCAUUGCUGCUGCAAUCAAGAAGAGAAAAUUGGAGCUUCCUCAGAAUGUUGGUUUGCUUUAUGAGGAUUCUCCUGAUCAAGCUUCACGAAUUGAGCACACAAAACAAUUCCAGUAAGUUCAUUGAUCAUCUACAAUUUUCAAAUCAUUCAAUCAAUCUUGUCCAUAGUAUACAACAAACAUCAUGUGAAGUUCACGAAAUCAAUCUUUCCUAAAAAAAUUAUUUAAGUAAAUUGAUUGGUGAUUCCUUUUUGCAUAGAUUCUUGGACAAGGCUGCAAUUGUUGCAGAAGGCGAUUUCGAGAAACACGGUGCUGUUUCAGCUCUAAAUCCAUGGAAGCUAAGCUCAGUGACGAGAGUGGAGGAGGUGAAAAUGAUGGCAAGAUUGCUGCCAAUAUGGGCCACAACCAUUAUCUUCUGGACUACAUAUGCCCAAAUGAUCACAUUCUCAGUUCAACAAGCAUCCACAAUGGAAAGAUCAAUUGGAUCUUUCCAGAUUCCAGCAGGCUCUCUCACUGUCUUCUUUGUAGCAGCCAUAUUAAUAACUUUGGGUGUUUAUGAUCGUCUUAUCAUGCCUCUUUGGAAGAAAUGGAAAGGAAAACAAGGUAAAUUCAGAUCCAUCUAAAUACCGAUCUAUUUGUAUAGACAUUUCUUCAAAGAAUCCUGAAUAGUUAUCUUCCUAUGUUACAGGUUUCACAAACAUACAAAGAAUGGCCAUAGGCCUUGUCCUAUCAAUACUUGGAAUGGCAGCAGCGGCACUGGCUGAGAGUAAAAGGCUGGGAGUGGCAAAAGCAGUCGGCGGCGACACAACUACCCUACCGAUAAGUGUGUUCUUAUUGAUCCCACAAUUUUUCUUGGUGGGGGCAGGUGAAGCCUUCAUAUACACAGGGCAACUUGAUUUCUUCAUAACCAAAUCCCCCAAAGGGAUGAAAACUAUGAGUACCGGUCUCUUCCUCUCAACACUAUCCCUCGGGUUUUUCAUCAGUAGUUUCUUGGUUUCAGUUGUGAAAAGGGUGACAGGAAACGAUGGAGAAGGUUGGCUUGCAGACAAUGUAAAUUACGGCAGACUUGACUGCUUCUAUGGACUAUUGACCAUACUAAGCAUCAUAAACUUUGUUGCUUUUCUGGUAUGUGUUAUAUGGUACAUGCCACAAAAACGCAAAGACUUCCAAAAGAAUGGCAUAGUCAAUGGCAACUUGGCUGAAGAGAAAUGCUAAUGGGAAGUAUAGAAGAAAAACAAACCAAAGUGUUGUGUAAUGUUUUGACUUUCCUUUCGAUUUUCCCCUGCAUUCUAAAUUAUCAGCUGAAGUUUGGAUUGAGAGUGUAAGAUGCUUUAUGUAUAAAGUAUUACCAGUUUCACUCAUCACUACCACAAAUCUCAUUCUUUAGCAAUUCCAAUUUCCAUCAGAUUCAAACCCAACUUUUUUGGGGGGGUUAAGGGGUAAUCAAAUUCCAGACCAUGAAGUUAACUAUUAUGAUCUCAAUUAAUUUUAGAAUAUGAGACUAUUGGAUUGACAUGUCGACUCGCAAAUGAUUUUUAUAGUGUAGAAUUUUCAUAUCCUCAUAAACUAACAGGAAUCCGCAAGUUGGACCAAAUCACAAUAUGAAGAUUUUGGAGAAUAUUGAAUGGUCGUGCUGGAAAGUUGCAAAAUCCUUUUGGAACAUGGAAAAGGGGUUCCAAACAUUAUUCUCUAACUAAAAAGAAGAAUACAAUGGAUAAUAUAGAAGAAGAAGAAGAAUAUGCAAAUGUACAUACUGAAAAAGGACUAGCCGAAAUCGCAAUGUCAUCUCUGUAAAAUUUUUUUUGACAAUUGUUCUAUCUUCUCCGGCAAUCUCCUAGGUUCCUCGUCGGCAACAUUUUGGUGUAGAAUAGAAGGCCUAACUUAAGAAAUUAAUGACAAUUAUUUGGUGGACAAUUUGAAAAAGAAACACAAUUAACUUGAUGACUUAAGUUAAUGUGCUAAGACUAACAACAUAAGUAACAAACAAAGCCAAAAUAAUAAUCAAAACAUAAAAAACAGGCGAUCCAAUUCGAUGACACAACAUCUACAUCUGAGUGUCUUCGAUACAAAGAACGAGAUCAUAUAUUGCCUUAUAAAAUGAUUUAUGAGUACAUGAUAUUGAUCAACUGUACAAACCUCAACAUAGAAGACUUUCAUGUUGUACAUAGUGAAAUCUAGAAUACUCAUACAAUAUCUUGGAGGCAAUCGAUCUUCUCAUGUACAUCAAAAGCGUGCUCCCCUUGGCGUGAAUUGAGAGUAGUUUGUAGAGAGACAUGAUGAAUGUCAUACCUACCCUUGGCGUGAAUUCGUUAAGUGUUGUGUUUAUUAAAAGUUGAGUUGUAUUGUAUAUAAAUAUUGUAAAUUUGGUAUAUUAUUGUAAAUUAUGUACAUAUGACUUACUCUUGAAGAAUGAAAUUAUUGUUGGUGUUGGAGAGUUUAUUUUGUUGAUCAAUCUGCCUUUAUUGGAAUGAAUGUAAUAUAGAAAAUGGAAAAUGAUAAAUGCAAAAAAAGUCAAGUAUACUCUCUUAUUUGACACGAAAAUAACGUCAAGAAAUAUAAUACUUGAUGUUAUUUUAGCGUCAAGUAAUGAAACUAUAUACAUGACAGUCGAUUACUUGACGCUUUUUAAAACAUCAAGUAUAGAUUUACUUGACACUGAGUUGGUCAUGUAUUAAAACGUCAAGUAUAGAUUUACUUGACACUAAGUUGGUCAUGUAUUAAAACGUCAAGUAUAGAUUUACUUGACACUGAGUUGGUCAUGUAUUAAAAUGUCAAGUAUUAACGCUUUUUAAAACGUCAAGUAAUCCAAAUUUUGUAGUAGUGGUCAAUGAGAAGAAAUGUUUCAUUGGGCUCUCUUGAAUACAAUAUUUGAGCCAUUGGAUUUUGAGAAGAGGGGUAAAGGCGGACGGUGAAAAGGUGAAAGCAAUGGUCAAUUGGCUACAAUCGAGGGAUGUAUCUGAAUUGAGGGGAUUUUUUUGUUCUACCAGUUACUACAUAAGAUUUGUAAGAAGUUAUGGAGACAUUGUUGUACCUCUUACUAAACUACUACUACUACAAAAAAAAAAAAAAGGAUUUAAAUGGAGUGAAGAAGCAACUAAUGCCUUUGAACAGUUGAACCAGGCCAUGAUUUAUCUCCCCCCAUGUUAGCUCUUCCAGAUUUCUUAAUACCACUUACCAUUGAAACAAACGUUUCGGGGGUUAGGUUAGGUGUUGUAUUCAUCACUAGUAGAAAAAUGGUCUACGACGACAGUUAUUUACUGUCGCGAACAAAAUCCAUGACAGUUAUUUUCAGUCAUAGAAGCGGGAGUCAUGGAAAGUCCUUCCAUGACACUUUUCAAAAACUGUCGCAAUAACUUAUUUCAUGACAUAAAAUAAAUGUCGUUAGUUAGAAUUCUACGACAUCAAAUAACUGUCAUAUUUUAUUUUAUGACAAUAAAUAACUAUCAUCAUUUAUGUAUUAACGACAGUUAAAUAAAUGUCGCGAAUUCGUUUAUUGUGACAUGUUUUAAAUGUCACAGAUAUGUCAAUCGCGACGACAGUUUUUUUUAAAGAUAGGGCAAUCGUGACAAUUGAUUUUGUAAAAAAAACUGUCAUUGUUUUGGUAUUCACAACAAUUAAUAACUGUCACAAAUUCAUAUAUUACGACAUGUUUUUCCUGUUGCAAAUUACUCAAUUACUACAAUUUUUUUCUAUUCUCUUUGCCACUCCGCCAUUACACGAACCAUUUGAAUGACAAUAAUAUAGCUGACAAUGACAAUUUUGAAUUUAUAAUAUUGACACCCAUAUAGUAAAAAAUAGCCGACACUUUAAUAUAUAUACGCUAUAAUACAAUUUAUAAUAUUCGUACAUUUCCAAUCAACUUCCAACAAUUUACAAGUACGGAAUCCUAGCCCUUAAUCAAAAAAUAUUUUAAAUUGCAUCAGAAUACAUAUAACAAGAUUUUCUGCUAAAACAUAAACGACCAACCGAGAAUGUUCGUCUCUGAAAGUGUUCUUUGACAGUAAACUCAUGAAGUUGUCGACUCCAGUUGAACCUAAAAGAUAACAUGAAUAUAAGCAUCCAUCAUAGGACAAGAGAGUACAACUAGCUUUAUUAUUAUUUUUUUAAAUAUGACUUAGGAUUCAAAUGUGUUUUCAAAGAAGGUGAAAAGUGCACCAAAAAGUUGUGAUAAAAGAAGAACAAAAGGUAUAGAUAUAGAAAUAUAGUCACGAGAAGACACAAGAGUAUACAUGGAAAGAGGAAAGAAAACAUAGAAGAGUAAACAUGGGACGAUGAUGAAAGAAAACAUAAAAGAGUAAUCACGGGAAGAGGAAAGAAAACAUAGAAGCUACCCCAGGUUUUCAUAAUUGAAAAGAAUCAUGGGGGAAGGGGAGAAAAAGGUUGCUUAUGCAUACAAAAAUUGCAUAAGAACUGUCCUAACAAUCACCUAGUCAUUCCACAAAGAAUUAUCUCACAAAACUUCCUACCAAACAAUCCACAAGUGAAGAAUGGUGAAAAACUACAAUAAUGAAUGGUAGCAAACAAACAUAUCAACUAAACUAACGAUAUGCCAAGAGAACUCUAAAUGAAAGAAAUGAAGAUUUCACAAUUAACUUUAACUUAGCUGAAUGUCAAGCCAAGAAGAUUGUAGCCAAGAUUCUUAAUUAGUAAGGAUUUACAUCAAAUCAUCAUUACAUAAUUCCAUGAACAAAUGGAGGAAUGAGUUAAAAGCAUUGAUAAAAUUUGUUGAGUGAAGAAAGAGUUUUUAAGCAACAAUAUGCAUCACAGCCCAACAAAUAGUGGUAUUUGCUAAUAACAACCUAAUGAAUUCCUCCCCCUGCAUCCCAGCCCAACCAUAGAAAUUUUAUCUCAGAGCAAGUUUAAUCCAAAUAAAUACCUGCUUGAAUAUUAUUGGUAGAAUUGGAAGGUAGAAUUCAGUAACAAACUAGACAAGUUAAUGAGCGAAAAACAAAAAUCCGGGGAUUAUUUGAGAAAAUCGUACCUGAUACGACCAUCUGAAUCGUAACUUUAACUUAGGUGAAGCAUAUCCAACCUAUAAAUUCAGGAAAACAACAUAACAAUUAAAUCAUAAAACCUAAAGAACACAUAAAUUACUGCAAAAAAAAAAAUCAGCAUAAGCAAAAAUAUUGAUGACAGAAGGAAUGACUACAAACAAUAAACUAUGCAUGCUUUCUCUCACAUGUACAAGAAAGAAUAAUUGAUGCCACACAUAAAGUCAAAGAAUUACAAGUUAAUUAAAUUUCUAAAACGACAUGUCGUGGAGGAGAUACAAGUGGUUGUUUCGACAUGACAUAAAGAAAUCAACAACACUGGUGUGAUUAAGAAUCACGAGUCAAUUCAUCUGAAUCAGAAUCACUAGCAUUAUAGUCUAUCGCAAUCAAUGUUAGCUUAUGAAGUUGCCAAGAUAUGUUGAAAGAGGAUGGAUAAGAUAAGGAAAAGACAUUAACAAAUAAGAGAUUUAUAUUGUAACAAUCAACCUGAAUGUUUAGCACUAACUUUCCAGACCGACGAUCGACUUCUUGAUGCUUUUGUCAUCUGAAUUCUUCCCCAAAAUCAAAAUACAUCAAAAUACACUUGACACCUUUAAAAUUAGCUUGCUGUAAAAUAAAGUAAUACAAAAGAAACAGGAAAAAAAAGAAAGCAAUGUCACAACCACAUAUCUAUACAACUACAAACAAUAGAAAUAAUGAAACUUUGGUUGAAUACGUUCAUAUUGUUUCUAUAUAUUUUUUUUUAUUGAAUAUGAAGCUAACCUAAACAGUAAAAUGUAAAGAGCAAGAUGGAAAACGUGGAAGCUUUAAGAGCCCAUUCAAUAACAUUUGCCUUUUUAUUCUUCUGUUCUAAAAGACUCCUCCAGUUGACACUGAUUUUUCUCUACUUUCGAAUUAAUUUCAACGAUAAGAUUUUUUAAUAAUAUCUCAUAUAAGCAAGCACAAAGCAAACACAAACAAUAUUUAUCAACUAAAUUUCUAAAAAAAAAUAAAACAAACAAAAUUGAGGAACAUGACUAAGAAGUAAAGUAGAGGAAAAGUAGAAUACGUUGGAGGUUACAACAAGAUUUGAAUAACGGUGCUUCCAUUACCACAACCCAACCUUCAAAACUUUACAAUACUUCUUACAAGAAACCAGUUCACGGGGAAUUCCUUCAACAAAUACUGCCUUUCCUGAACCCCAAAUAUAAAAUACUCAAAUUACAACCAAACUAAGAGAAACAACAAAGUUAGGUUGCUACGAAUACAAAAAUGUUCAAAUACUAAGGAAAACAAAAAUAUGAUGUAGAUAAAAAUUGAGAACAAGGAAGGAACAACAUUCUUCAAAGAAAAAAAAUUAAAACCAAAGUAAAAAAAUAUUACAAGAAAGAACUUACCCAAAAUUUUCCGUUCAAUCAAACACUAAACAAAAGUCAUUUUCUACAUCUUUAAAAUCCACUUUAUUAUGUUCAUGAAUGAUAAUUUUUAUGUGAUAGAAAUUUGAGUAGUUCAAAUGUAAACAAAACAAGAUUAAUGUUACCUUCCCCAGCAGGUUGAUCAUCCUAGCAAUUUAAAAUCAGCCCAGUGGCUUCAUGAAAUUCUCAUGAAAUUCAUAAAUAGAAGUGUUGAAGUCAUUUUUAGGGAUAUAAGCAUUUAAGAAUACCUCCAUCUCCAUUUUUUAUGAAGUUAAUCUUGCCACAACAACUGCAGCAGCCUCUUGGCCUUGGAUUCAUGAUCUUCUACGUUCUUUCCCUCCAUUAUCUCCAAGCUUCUUCCUUCAUCAUUGGAGUUGAAAUAAUCCAGUAGUGGAACUAUCUGUUGGAUGUCUUUGGUUAUGGCAUUGGCAUUAGCAUUGAAGAAACAGCCAUGAUUCUUGGCAUCCAUAACCAACUCUUCCCAAACCGAGUUACUCUUUGACAGUGUUUUGAUGUUUCCCAAUAUCCACAAACAGUACCUACUCUUAAGUCAAAGAAAAGGACUAGUUUUCAAAUACAUUAUAAUGGUCAAUCGAAAGGAAAAAAUCAUAAAUUAGAAAAACAUCAUAUGAUGAUUAAUUUUGAAAAUUGUUUUCAUUUAGUUAAUGAGCUAAAAGCUCCUUUCACUCCAAAUAAACAACUUGAAACUCACCCUGCGUUUAAUUUAAUUUGAAUUAUACAUGUUGAAGUAAAGGAACAAAAAAAGAGUAAGCAUACAGAAACUAGAAAGCAGCUACCUAGCUCUUGUAAGUGCGACAUUUGUUCUUUGAUUACUCGACAAAAACCCGAUGGACGAUCCUGUAUUACACCAAACAGUGGAAAUAAUAAUGAUAUCUUCCACCCCUCCUUGAAAGCCAUCAACUGAACUCACCUUCACAUUAAAUCCAUUACAAUUGUACUUCUUCCCAAUUUUGCGUUGAAUGGUAACGACUUGAGCUGAAUAUGGGGACACUACACCAAUGCUCAUCUUUCCUUUUGAGUCAACACAUGCUACAAACAUAUAUUAUAUUAAAAAAUAUAUAUGUAUUAAAGAUUCGACAUGAAACAAGAUGACACGCCAUGGGCACAACAUGGACAUGCAUGUUUUUAGAAGACAUACUGUUUUACAGAUGAAAAAUUAUAGUCUAUGAGUUCUGCAAUUUAACAAUAUAUUUCAAAUUUUACUUUGACACACCAUGUAUUUCACUCUCUAGUUUUGCUAUUUUAUCUACGGUCUAUUUAGUACGAAAUAAGCAUUAAAUAUAUGUCUAACAUAUUUUAGUACUAUUUUGAUUUCCUACAACUACUGUGAGAUAAAAUCUUUUCCACCAACAAGGGUCUUAUACAUUUAGGCUUUAGUAUCUUAGGGUCAAACGCAGUAGGAAAACUAAAGUAUUCGAUAUGUAUGGUACACACAUGUGAAAGACACACUAACGAAGUUGAAAUGCUUUCAUGCUUCUAAGAAAACGAAAGAGAUUUACAUAAAAAUAGCAAAAUAAUAAUGUAUAUAACAAUUUGAGAAAAUUUCACCUGACACAUAAGUAACCAAACUGAAAACAAAGAUCAAAUAGAGAAAAUAUUAUACCUUGAGACAAAGAAUGAACAAUUUUGAGCACAACAUCAACCUCUACCAUGUUUUUCAAACUGUGUCCAAUUUCAUCCUUUUCUUCUCGUGCACCAUUUAUGUUUAUGAAAGAAUACGAAUCGAACAUCGGUCCGGGAAGAAACGUCUUUUCAUAGGCUUUAGCUUUGACAUUAGGACCAUCUGAGAUCUGACUUGAGUAGAAUUUUGAGUUUGGGAAAAGGCUUAUGGAUGGAUGCAUUCUUUAUUGCACAUUGAGAAGAUGUUUUGGAUGCCCCAAUGAGCUUAGCCUCUCAAAUAGGGUAUGAGAAUUUUAAGUCUAUGAAAUGUUUAGGUUAUCCAUAUGUGUACGUGAGUGUUCAAAAGGUAUUUAUCAUGUUUAACAAAUGUGUAUCGAAGUGUCAAUAUAUGUUAAAACAAAUAUGAUUAAAUAAAGGGAGAAACUUUCUUACAUUGCUCUAAACCAAUGCUGGCAAUUGGCACUCAUCACCUAUGAGGAUUGCAUGCUUUAUGUCAGCCCGUUGCAUUGGAAUAACACACUCACACUCUUUCAACUGUGCUGCUUCAUCAAUCACCAAAGCCUUCAAUGGCUCUAAUGACUUCAAAUACAACUUAAACGUACCUGAAACCGUGCAAAAGAACAAUGAAGCAUUCUGAAAAUAGAAAUUCACAAUGGUUCUUUUAUUUGUAGUUUGUGGAAGACCAAGCAAAUCCAUGGAUUGUUGAACAGAUUUCAAAACUACAAUGCAAUUAUUUCUUCUCAUCAAAAGCUCCUCAUAUUUGUUAAAUAAUGAUCCACACACAUUGGAUGCAAUUACCCUCUCAAGCUCCUCAGAUUGUUAUCGUUAAUCACACUUGUUAGAUUCUCUAAUUUUUAUAGAUUUAAACUAUAACAAAAUCUUGUGUUGUUUCACAAGUGCAAAUCUCUACCAACCUACACAAAUUCUUGAAAACAAAGAAAAGAAUUCUGAAGAUUGCAAAGAAAUCGGCACUAACAAACAAUUGGAAUGACACCAUCAAAAAUAAUUAUAAAAAUUUUGGUGAAGAUUUUACAAUCAAAGAAUUUCAUGGCUUAAUAUGGACUGGUGUUCAUCUCUUUGGGAAAACAAAAUCUACCCUAAAAAAAUUCAAUCAAAACUAGUGUUCCUCAACAAAUAAGUUUUAAUACAGAGACAAAAAAACAAAAAGAAAGAAAUGGAAAGGAAGAAGAAGAAGAAUCAGAGACAGUAACAAAACCUAACCUUAGUAAAUGUCUCCAACGUCGACGGCGGGCGUUUGGUUCCAAAGAUGGACAGUGGGCGACGAUUUGCAGUGAUAGACAACGUUGGGAGACGGUCGACGACAUUUUCAGAGAUCGACGGUGGUUGUUCGUCUGAUGGUCUGGUCGGCGGAGUGAGGGUUGAAGAGGAAGACGGUUUAGAGAAGGGCGUGUGAGUUUUCUCUUUUUUGGAAUAUAAAAUUAAGUUAUAUUUUAAUAAAUUUAAAUAAAUCAAUUACUUUAAUGACAUCAAAUAACUAUCACAGAAAGGUAGAAUCCGAAAACAACGUUUUAUCCUGCCAAAAACGCGUGUUUUGACAUUCUACGACAGUUUUUUCUUCCCUCUCUUUAAUUUGGAUUGCAUUGAACUGUCAUAGAAGCUAGUUUUUCUUCUAGUGAUUAUCACAAGAGAAUGCUCCACCAAUUGCUUAUUUUAGUCUGAAAUUGUCUCCACGUGUGCAAGCCAAGUCCAUAUAUGAGAGAGAAUUGAUGGCAGUAUAGAAAUGAAGACAAUAUUUAUUGAGCAGAAAAUUCACUAUAUUUUCAUACCAAAAAGUUUUAAAAUUCUUAAUAAAACAAAGGGAAGUCCAACCCCAAUUUUAGAGGUGGUUGAUUAAACUCCUUGGGUAUGACUCUGAAAUCUUGAAUCAAUUCGAGUUGUAAAACAAGGUCGUUGAUGCUCUAUCCCAAAUAAAGCACGAAGUGGAGCUAAAUACAAUGACUGCCCAAGGGCUAGUUGAUAUUGAGAUGGUUAUGGAAGGAGGUGGAAAAAGAUGAGGAACUCUAAAACGUAAUCAACACUUUCUAAAGCCGAGGUUUUAGAAAGCACUAACCUUCCUUUAUAAAGCAAGCAACCAACCACUGAUUUAUAAUUAGCUUUCCCUUCCAGAUCGAUUUGGAAGGGAAAGCUAAUUAUAAAUCAGUGGUUGGUUGCUUGCUUUAUAAAGAAGGUUAGUGCUUUCUAAAACCUCGGCUUUAAUUCCAUCACUACUUCAUACUUUUCAUGACUCUAUUUUAGGGGCCAUUUAGGAUUCCUUCAAACUUACAAGAGAAUGAAUGGAGAAAUUCAUUUGGUUGGUAAGAAAAAUGAUGUAAAAAGGUAUGUAAAAUAGUGUGAAUUGUGACAAAGGAACAAAACUGAUGCUCUUUUAUCGACUGAACUUUUACUACCCUUAUCUCUACCCAACUUAAUCCUUGAAGAUUGGAUGAUGGACUUUAUAGUUGGACUUCCAAAGCUAGGGGAAUUUGAUACAAUCACGGUGGUAGUAGAUCAUUUGAGUAAAAUGACUCAUUUUAUCACCCUUUUAAGCAUCAAUUUACACUAAAGAAACUUGCUAAAAAAAUCAUUGAAGAAGUGAUUAGUAAGCAUUGGAUCCUGAACUCAAUCAUCAUAGAUCGUGAAAAAAAAUUUCUACGUAAUUUUUGGAAGGAAUUAUUUUUGGCCAUGGUUACGUCUCUAAAAAGAAGUUCCACAUUUCAUCCCGAAACGAAUGGCCAAACUGAGCGAGUAAAUCAUUGUCUCGAGAUUUAACUACGCUUUUUUUGCAAUGAGCAACCCAACAAAUGGCACAAGUGUAUGUCAUGAGGCAAGUUAUGGUAUUAUACCACUUUUCAUUCAUCUACUAGAAUAACCCCAUUCCAAGUAGUUUAUGGAAGGCCCCCACCCCCACUAGUUUUAUAUGCACUAGAGGAAAUUUUAGUUACAAUAGCAUAAAAAAAUGUUAUCAUAGACUUUCGAUAACAUUUUCGAAAUACUACCGUAGUCCAUGUUAUUGAGAGUUCAUGACUUUUCCAUUGCGUUUUUACAAUAUUAUAAAAACGCUAUAAAAAGUUUGUUGUGAUAGAACAUAUUCUAUAAAGGCUUUUCAUAAAGCGAAAUGAAAAUGCUAUUAAAAAGUUUUGAUAGCAUUUUUAUUUCGAUGAAAAAGCGCUAUCAAAGCUUUUCAAUAGCAUUAAAAAUGAUAUGGAAGAAAUGCUAUAAAAUUGUUUUUAUAGCAUUUUAUACAUGUUGUCGUUGUAGUAUUUGACUUUCCAUAACAUUUUUGUAGAGAUAUUAAUAGCACCAUAGAAAAUUGAUAUAUGAUAGUUUUAAUUCAAUGGUGAUAGAAACAUUUCAUUAUAUUUUAAAAUGUACUAUAAAAGUUUUAUAGCAAUCAAAAAACAUUAUAAAAGAUAUUCUAUAGCUAUUUUAGAUCCAUUAUUGAAAGCCUCUUGUUUUUACUAGAGCACUAUUCAUCGUAACAAUGAUGGAUUUUAAUGUUAACGAACUUUUUUUAUUUAAAUUUUCUUUUGCAAAUAAUAUUGCAAAAUCAUAUUAUAACCAUCAUACAUACUUAUAGAAGUCGUUUGCCUAGGCGAAAAAAAGAUGUAAUUCACAUUUCAACAAUAUUUACCACAAUAAUUAUAAUGAAAAUCUUCAUAUUUACAUCAUACAAAAGAAAUAAAGCACUCUAGUCAUUCAAAAUGUUUGAUAUAAUCAUCAAAAUUAAAGCACGUUCCAACUUUCGUACGAUUCUUUUCCUUUUCUAGCUUUGGAUUUUUAUUUGGAGAGAUUUCAACUACAUUCACAAGUUCAGAAUUCCAUUAGUGUUUGUCAUCAAGGCCUUCAAUGAUAAAACAUAUAAAUGGUAAAUAAAUAAAAAGUCAUAGCUUUCGGUAAGUAUUCAUAACAAGCAACAGACAAUCCAAUCCGUGGAUGGCUCAACCAGUAUCCUAAACAACAAGAAAACGAAAAUCUCUAAACUUCACCUAAAAACCAAUUUUAGUCCUUGUAAAUAUUCAAGCAAGAAGGGUUUGACAUUUUGUCAAUAGAGGUUAUUUUGGGUCAGGUUGCACGCACAUGACAAGGUCACGACACAAUCGAGCAGCAAGGCGCGCGCUGAGGCUACACGCAUGACACUGUCGUAAGAGGUUAGCGCAAUGCACGGUGGGCGAAGAGCACCAAAUGUGAGGGGCACUGGGUAAGCGAAAAACAUGUGUGCAACACCUCUUGCAAGGCUAGCACAUGUUUUCAAUCUCUACAGGCAAUAGUUUGGGAGUAACACCACAAUUUCUAAAUGAUAUUGUUAAACAUGAUUUCAGGCUCUACAAGCAAUAGCUUGUGAAUAACAUCAUGAUUUCCAAAGUAUUUUUUGAACAAUAAUUUCAAGCUUUACAAGUAAAAUGUUUUGUUAAACAUGAUCUCAAAUUAUUAUACAAACCAUGUUAUUGAUCAAUGUUUAUUGAAAUCAUAUUUCAGGUUACAUUAUGAUUUCAUGAAUUCAAGGAAAUAUUUUAAAUACUUUCAGGAAAAUAUUUCAUGUUUUCAAAUAUAUUUGUGUCAUGCCCGAAUAUUCCAUGAGACCUAUUAUAUACAUGUGAUUAACUUCAUACUCAUGGUAUGGUUGACGAACCUAUUUUUAACUAUGGGUCAUCAUGAAGGGUAUAUUGUUAUGCCUUAAAUGAGGAGGGUUAGCUAAUCAUCGACUAUUCCGUCUUCGAACAAAUGGGUAAAUAUUGUCUGUGGCUAUGGAGGACUGUCUUCGAAAAACUAUGCCAAUAUUAUAAGUUUCAUGUUAUGAUUGUUUACUUAUAACUGUAUUCAAGCUUCAAUUUUAUAAUAAAACGUUUAUGAAAACUUGUUCUAUAAAACCAUUGCUCACUAAGUUUUUCAAAUUACCCUUUCAAAAUGUUUUUCCAAUUUGUAGGUACAAAUUGUGGAUCUUCGUGUGCUGAAUCUACGAUUGUCAGACUAACUUAGUUUUCAUUAAACAAGUAUAUUGUUUUGUUUCAAAAUAGUUAUGUGAUUGUCUAAAUACUUAUACAUUGUUCUUUAUCCAUGCUACGUUAUUUUAUAAAAGAUUUCAAGUGGGUUGCACUACGGUUUUAAAGUAUUUCAAGUUAGUUAAAAGACUUUUGAUGUCGAAUGUUUCAUGUUUUAAAGUCAUGUGUCAAUUGAGGUUGUUCCGAAGACAAACGACAUCAGCUGACAUCACACCGCGUCUGGAGCCAAGCAAGCCGAUGCUUGGGGUGGAGUGUGACAGUUGGGUUAUUAAUUUGGAUUAACAAAGACUAGCCAAGAAACAGCUGCACUUUAGGACCCAAGAAACAGCUACAAUUUAGGACCCAAGAAACAGCUACAGGAAGAAAUAUAAGAAAGCUCUCAAGAAAUGUAGCCAAAACUUCCCACCUCAAGAUUACACAAAAAGAUGUGUAGAGGCCGAAAGCGAGUACAAAACAAAUCAUGAAAAUUUCGUUUAAUUUUAUUAAAAGAAUCUCUAAAGGCUCACGUCUGUUUCUCUCUUUGGCAAAAAUAAGCUCAUUGUUUCAAUUAUUCUUCAGCACUUGGAUUUUCUUUCCAAUUUAGUUCUUUUUAUAGAUUAGUGCACUACCACUAGUUUUUCUUCUUUCAAUGAAAUCAUUAAUUCACCACCCACAAUCUUUCUUAAAUGUUAAGUAAAAAACAAGGAAUUGACUUAGUAAUUCAUAAACCAAAAACUUGUUACACUGUGGAGAGCAAAUUUACCUAAACCAAUGGCACAAGUUUAUUGGAUAUAUCAGUCCUCCUGUCGAAGUUCCUUUCUUGUAAUAUUGGCUUACAGAUUGACCUUCGAGGCUUCAUUAUUUGAUUCUUUAUAUCUAAUAUAUUCAUGUUAGUAGAUUCUUCUUCUAUCUUUACAUGUAAUUUUAGUAUACAAAUACAUUCUAAGUAGAUUCUAAAAACCUCAAAACUGAACUUUAUUAUAAGUUAAAUUUUGAAGUAAUCUUGAAUUCCAACGAGGUCUUUUGGAAUUAUCUUGUGCAUUUUAGAUUUUUGUUGAAUGUGUGCUUGGAAACUUUUGGUAUCCUUUUGAUUACAGUUUCUAAUUAUAGGUUCUAUUUUUCUGUGUUAAAAAUUAGUUCUUAUUGUACUGCAUCCCCUUUUCUUUUUUUGAAAUUUUAACUUAUUUUCAAGAUUCAUCGAACAAUUGGGUGCUAACAUCUUAAAUUAGAAUUAGGUCUUUGGUAGUUUCUAUACUUUGUUCUUUAGUUACUCUUUACGUUGGAAUUCUUUCCUUUUUUGUCUAGGCUUUUUCCUUGUUAGAAUCUUAGAAUAAUUAUGGAAAGAUUAUGGGAAUGUAUUCUUUAUUUUCCUAAAUCUUUUCCUUUUUUAUUCCAUUGUGUACUAUAUUUAUUCUCCCCUGUACCUAUUGUUUUAUUCAUUGGAAAAUAAUAACAACAAACAAUCGUGGUUUUUCUUCCGUUAUUCGGGUUUCCACGUAAAUUGGUGUGAACUCGUUGUCUCUCUCUUCAAUAUGGUAUCAGAGCGGGACAAUGAAAACACCCUAGAAACCCAAAAAAACCAAACCACUUAUGAAAAUCAAACAUAAGGGACAGCCAUCAAUUUUAGUGCUGCCGUAGCUGCUGCCAUCGAUGCUCGGAUGAGUGCUGCCAUGGACGAAUUAUUAAGCCAACUACAGAAAACGUCAGAAAAUAAUUUUUCGUCAUUACCGCAGUCGUCCGCGCCGUCACCGGACCACCACGCGCCUGGUUUUCUUCCUCAGACGGUGCCGACCAUCCCAUCUGUCCAACCCUUUUCUUCGUCCGCGGCCUAUAUUGCUCCCCACGCCCCGAUUUAUGUUCUGCCAUCUAAUUCCAAUCGGCUACCACCGCUUCUGCCGUCAAAUCUGUAUGGCCAGCCACUCAAUGAUCCUAGAUACCAUCCCGAUGUUAAAAACUCUCAAAUUCACUCAACAUUUGAGGUUGGUGAAUCUUCGGCAUAUUCCAACCGUAACGUGCAAGCUUCCUCGGGAAUAGUUCAUCAACAAUUGGAAGGGCUUCGACAACAGAUAGCAGCACUUGAGGCUACCUUAGGGACGACAUCCACUCUACCGAUGUAUUCUGAGAAUCCGGUAAACUCGUUCCCUAAUGUAUCCUCUCCUUAUGUGACUAAUACGGUGACUCAGUCUUCCAUGUAUCAUCUUUCAGGAGAAAAGUUGAAUGGCAACAACUAUUUCUCAUGGUCUCAGUCAGUAAAGAUGGUCCUCGAAGGACGACAAAAAUUUAGCUUUCUGACAGGGGAAAUACCUCGCCCCCUACCGGGCGACCCACAUGAACGAUAUUGGAAGGCAGAAGACUCUAUUCUUCGAUCCAUAUUGAUCAAUAGUAUGGAACCUCAAAUUGGCAAGCCGUUAUUGUUUGCUGCAACAGCCAAGGAUAUUUGGGACACAGCCCAGACACUUUACUCAAAACGUCAGAAUGCCUCUCGUCUAUACACGCUGAGAAAGCAAGUUCAUGAAUGCAAGCAAGGAACCAUAGAUGUCACAUCAUUUUUCAAUAAGCUUUCUCUUAUAUGGCAAGAAAUGGAUCUAUGCAGAGAACUAGUCUGGCGUGAUCUCACUGAUGGUGUACAAUACUCGAGAAUUGAAGAGAAUGACAGGAUUUAUGACUUUCUUGCUGGUCUUAAUCCUAAGUUUGAUGUAGUUCGAGGGCGUAUACUAGGUCAAAGACCGAUUCCCUCCCUGAUGGAAGUUUGCUCUGAAAUCCGCCUCGAGGAAGAUCGCACAAGUGCUAUGAAUAUUUCCGCAACCCCUACUAUUGACUCUACUGCUUUUAGUGCAAGAUCUUCUAACAGUAGCAGUGACAAGCAUAAUGGAAAACCAAUUCCUGUCUGCGAGCAUUGCAAAAAACAAUGGCAUACCAAAGAACAAUGUUGGAAGUUACAUGGUCGUCCCCCAGGAAGUAAGAAACGCCCUUCCAACGACAAACAGAACACAGGGCGGGCGUAUGUGAGUGAGUCUGCUGAACCUCCUCAACAAUCCGAUCCACACAAAAACCAAACUGAUCUCAGUCUUGCCACUUUAGGUGCCAUUGUCCAAUCAGGUAUACCUCAUUCCUUCGGUCUUGUUAGUAUUGAUGGGAAGAACCCCUGGAUUCUGGAUUCUGGUGCCACAGAUCAUUUGAUUGGGUCCUCUGAACAUUUUGUAUCUUACAUUCCUUGUGUUGGGAACGAGACAAUUAGAAUUGCAGAUGGCUCCUUGGCCCCCAUUGCUGGAAAGGGGAAGAUUUCUCCUUGUGCAGGGCUCUCCUUACAUAAUGUUUUGCAUGUGCCCAAACUAUCUUAUAAUUUGCUUUCGAUAAGCAAGAUCACUCAUGAGUUAAACUGCAAAGCAAUAUUCUUACCUGAUUCUGUCUCUUUUCAGGACUUGAGCUCGGGAGGAUGAUUGGCACUGCCCGGCAUAGUAGGGGACUCUACCUCCUUGAUGACGAUACCUCUUCUAGUAGCAUUCCUAGGACUAGUCUCUUAUCUUCCUAUUUCACUACUUCUGAACAAGAUUGUAUGUUGUGGCAUUUUCGUUUAGGCCACCCUAAUUUUCAAUAUAUGAAACAUUUAUUUCCACAUCUCUUCUCUAAAGUUGAGAUGACUACCUAAUUUUCAAUAUAUGUUCUUAUCAAAUGGCUUCUCAGACCAAACUUCGACUUCUGCGUUAGCAAGUUGGGCCUCAUUGAUAUUUACGUCCCAACUUGAGGGGGAGUGUUGGAAUUCUUUCCUUUUUUUUCUAGGCUUUUUCCUUGUUAGAAUCCUAGAAUUAUGGAAAGAUUAUGGGAAUGUAUUCCUCAUUUUCCUAAAUCUUUUCCUUUUUUAUUCCAUUGUGUACUCUAUUUAUUCUCCCAUGUACCUAUUGUUUUAUUCAUUAGAAAAUAAUAACAACAAACAAUCGUGGUUUUUCUCCCGGUACUCGGGUUUCCACGUAAAUUGGUGUGAACUCGUUGUCUCUCUUUUCAAUAUUUUACAUCAACUUUUAAGUGUGAUUAGAAUUGUGAACCAAUAUACAAAUUGAGCUCAACGAAGGAUGUAUUGAGACAUUCAUACGUUUCAUAUCCUUGAAAGUUGAAAAUAAAAUAUUAAUGAUAAUUGAAUCCUUGUAUGUUGUAGAGCUUCUCAAUGGAAAAAUGGCAUGGUAAGAAAUGCAUAAUGCUUGGAGUGGGGUGAUACCUCUAACUAUUAUCAUUGGCAAUGCCGUCCUUAUUCGAGGUUAAAAAAUAUACGAGAUUCAAGCAAAAUAUAUUCUAAACCUUUUCUUUUCCCUCUUAAUUCUAAAUCUUUGCCCUUCUAAAAUAUGGGUGCGUGAAUCAGGUUUGAAGAAGGGCUGUGCUUUUCAAUGUGUGGUGGCUUGAAAUAUGUGGAAGAAUACGUUGCACAAUGUUAUUCUAUAAAACAACUUAUACAGCUUACUUUGUACUGUUCCAGAUGGGCACCUUGCUUUACUUAUCGAUUCUGUGACAUUGGAAAUGCUUGAAGUGUUUGUUUGGACCCUUAUUUGGAUAAUCCUCGAGGGUUGCACUGUCAAGCAUCGUUCAUCAUGAUGCAGCCUCAAUAUAAAAACAUGGUAGGGUUAAAGCGAUUAAUUAGUUACCUCUUUGAGUAAGAUAUGUCUUUCUCUGGAUUAUCAUCUAAUUAUUGUGAUAAAUAUUCAUUAAUCUUAGAAAUCUAUUAUGCAUGCUUUGUAGUUAUUAUUAUGGAGAGAACUCAUUAUUGGCAAUGGAGAUUGUGUCUUGAAUUCGUAGUUUUUAUCCUCGUGUUGAGGAGGUUUUUUUCUUCACAUCCACGUUAAAAUUGCUUAUGCUCAAUGGUAGAUUAUCAUUAUUAUUGUUUCAAACUCUUGAGCAAUUUCUUAUCAAAUAUGAGAUAAAUAUUGAUCCUAAGAAUAUGGUGUUUAUAUAUUUCAAACAAGCUGGAGUGCACAUCUUGAGAAUGAAAGUAUAUAUAUAAAUAGUGUUUAAAACGUUCAUUUUUCUCUAUAUAAAAAGCACUAAUGAGAGAAACGCCAUAACAAAAUAAAUCCUUAUCCAAGCAAAUUAGGCAACAUUUAGAUUUGUAAAUGCAAUAAAAGAGAGAACCGUAACACAUUAUAAUCAAAUUUAUUUGGAUGCACCAAUUCCUUUUACAUCCUUUCUUGUUUUGAAUCUAUCUCUCUUGAUUCACUCUGCAAAUUUGACAAUCUUUUUUCCAAUAUUAUCACCUUUAAACAACCCGAUGAAAGCAGAAGGAAUAUUCUCAACCCCAACUGAUAUGUCUUCAAGGGGUUCAAUUUCGCCAGAAUGAAGGUAUUGAGAAACCUUAGAGACAAAAUUUGGAAACACAUCUAAGAAAUCUCCUGCUAAAAAGCCUUGAACAUUGAUUCUUUUGUACACCAAAUCAACCAUGUUUGGCACUGCCUUUUUGGAAUUAGUGUAUUCAGAAAUAACCCCACAAACUGCUACUCUUCCAAAGGGUUUCAUGUUGGCUAUGGCUGCUUCUAGCAUUUCACCUCCCACGUUGUCAAAAUAAACAUCAAUCCCAUCUGGGAAAUACCUAUAAUUUAUAUACACAUAUUUACUUGGUUAAACUCAAAAGUUUGAAUUGUUUAAACUCAGUUUGAUAAUAAUGAUUUUGUUCUCGUUUUUGACAACAAUUUAGUUUAUCUUCUUUUAAUUUUUUAAAUUAACUCUAUAAAUGCCCAUCUUCUACCUCUAUAAAAUUUCUUGAGUUUGUUGUUUUUUUUUUCUUUUAACAGUGGUUAGUGCUAAAUUUUGAAAAGUUAAAAAGAAAAAAAAAAGAGUAUCUUUCUAAAGUUUUGUUUUUGUUUUUGAAAUAUGAACAAGAGUUUCAUCCGUGUACUUGAAGAAAAAAUGCACGUCAUUGUAAGAAAUUGGGAGAAGAAAAACAUUUAGCUUUAAAAAUAAAACAACAAAUGUUACCAAAAAUGAGAAAGUUUAUAUAUAUAUAAUUUAUGUUUAUUUUCUCUCAACUUUGUUUCCAUGGGGUGUUCCAAGGAAACAAUUAAAUUUGAAUGGAUUUUUUAAAUAAAUGGAUAAAACUAUUUACUAGCUAUAAAAAAAAAGAAUUUACAACUCUUACAAUGUAGAUAAAAAUUGAUAGAUUUCUAUCAACGACGCUCCGUAGUUGAAACUGAUAUAAGUAUAUCAACUACAAACGUAGAUAGAAGUUGUUGGUUAUCCAUAAUAGAAAAAUUGAUAGAAGUCUAUGGUUUUUUCUUUCUUUUUAUUUCGCAUCUUUAUAUCUUGAGAAAAUUUCUAAAUUUGACUGGUUUUUAAGUUGAUUUUUUUCCUUUUUCCAAAUUCUAAAACUUUAUAAUAAAAAAAAUGUUUUUUAAAAUCCUUUUUUUUUGUUUUCAAAUUUUGUAGAAAAUCAAAUUUAUAUAAAAUUACAUAUGGAAAUAACUUUAAAAAUCAAAUGAUUAUUGUUCACACAAGGUUUCGAGAAAUGUUUUUCGUGGAGUUGAACUAAUAUUUAUGUUGUAUUUUGUGUUGAUUUGAUAUGAUGUAGUUCGAUCUCUAUUAGUUGUUCCUUUGAUUCUCUCUCGAUUGAAUGUGUUCGCUUGAUGUAUGAAAGCGAAGCGCUUGAUGUUCUUGAAGUCGUAGUCUUACUCUUGAUGUAUGAAAGUGGAGCACUUCAUGUUCUUGAAGUCGUAGUCUUUGAAGAAUAUUUGUAUCUCCAAAAAACUUGAGUUUCAGGGAGUUGUCUUCUAAUUGUUUGAGAAAAUUCCUUUAGGCCUCUAUGGGGUAAGAUUUUUUGAAGCCCCAUCAACGAAGAGAACUCGUAUAUUUAUAGAGUUCUCUUGUGAAUUUUAUGGGCAUGACUAGUCCAUGGAUCAUAUCCUCUAGGCCCAACCAUAUGGAUUUGGACCUUAUUUAGUAUUUAGAGUAAAUUAAACUUAUUCUUUUUUGCUCAAAUAAAUAUUAUUAAGGGAAAUUUCAUUAAAUGACAAAAACAUUUAGAAAAAAACAGCUUAUGACGCCUAUUUUUUGCAUAUCGUGAAUAUGACAAAAUUAGUGAUAUCAGACAACUAUUAAAUGGUAAUCAUAGGGUUGUCGACUUUUAAAUUUGUUACUUUUGCAAUUAUAAAAUGUAAUGACUUGAACCCUAUUAUCAUAAACUUUUUUGCUAUUUUUGCAAGGCUCUAUUAUUUAAUUGGACCAGAAUAAUUAAUUUGAUUCAAUGGUCAUUAUGAAAAUAUGUGGCGUUAUCAGAAUUGGUUAAUUUGUAUCUUCAAUUUCAAUUUAAGACACAUGUCAACUUUUAGUUAGUCCCAAAUUCAUUUAUUUUUUGUCAUUAAGAUGGUAAAUGACGUGACAAUUUGUGAUUGGUUCAAAAUUUAUGUAUUUAUGUCCAGAAGCAACUUUCUCUUCAUGAGUAAUGGGAUACAACUGUGAAUCUUAUCGUCACCGUUUUCUUCAUAAAAUUAUUUUUCCUUUAUAGUUUUCAUCUCCCUUUCAUGUUGAUCGCUUAUCAUCUUUAGGCAAUCAAAAGUAGAUAUUGAAGGUUGAUUUUUUUUUUUUAUGUAGAGAUAGUUAGUCUUUUGAAACCUGAAGUUUGAAUGGAAUGAAGUAGAUGUUGGACAUUGGUUUUCUUGUUCUUUUGUGGCUAUACUUUGUUUUUGAAAGACGAUCAAGCAAUUGGAAUAGAAGUCAUUUGCUUGAUUUCCUUCGAUUUUUUUACUUCUUUAAACGAUGCAUGAUUGUUGUCGACUUCUACUUGCUGACAACAUGAUAUGGAAUGACUUCUAAUACUUCAUCUAGAUUACCAUAAAAAAAGUUCCUUGGGAGGGGCUCUAAACAGUCAUUAGUCAUUGAGGUUGGGAAAGAUCAUCAUCUUAUACUCUUGCAUUGGCUUAGGCUUUUACGUCUUUUUGUUUCUUCUUUUCCUUCCUUUUAUGAAGAUUGCUUCUUUUUCCAAGCUUUUGAUGGUAGUGCAACUUCUUUUAAAUGAUAUUUGAUUGUCUCCAUUUUUGACGAGUCAAGACUAACCAUCAUCUUCAAUAGGCUUUUCUUUGUUUUGGAAGUCUGUUGUGAUCACUUUUUUUUUUUUUGCUGAAAUCAGACAACUAUAGGUUUGAAAGUCCCAAACUAAAUCAAACUUUUUCUUUGAUCAUAGAGUGGAGUUUAUGGUAGAACACUUGAAAUCAUAUCUCAAUUGCAACACAAUUCAUCUGAGCUACUUCAUCAAUAUCUAGCUCGAUCUUCUUUUCAGGAGUCAAUUUUAGAAUCAACUCUUUGAGCAUGAAACAUUUUUUUUAACAAGGUGACUAAUGACCCGAUGAUACUUGUAAUAGUUAGGAUCAUCUACUUUUUCUACUUGUUCUAGUCGUUUGCAUUUGAUCAGCGCUUGAAUAAGUUCUUCUCUAUCAAUUGCUCUAGCAUGUUUGCAACAUCAGAGUUAGAAAAUGGACAAAGUUUUUUUGUCUUUCUCUAAGAGUUGAGCGUCGUUUUUCGUCGACGCAAUGCUUUCUUUCAACUUUAAUUUGUUUCUUUUCUUUUAGAGAAAGAUUUCAAUGGAAUUGCAUGAACGACCAUAGGCUCUUUUAUGACACUAUUCAUGAUCUUUUUAGUAUCACCGACUUCAUCCAUGUCAUUUUUCAUUUUCGAAACUAAGAAAUUCUUUGCUCCCUUGCUCGCAAUACUCAAUUGAUCUCUAUCAUGGCCGCAAGUUGCCAACUCUUCAAACGUGUGAAUUUUUAUUCCCUACAAAAUAAGAAGCUACUAGUGCAUGCCUUGGGUGCACAUCUCCACUGUAGAUAGUGCUAUGAGCUUGUCUUUAAAAUCCAAUCUUAGAGAUUUCCAUUAGUUUAUGUAGUUGAUGACUGGAUUUCCUUUCUGCUGCUUGGUGUUUGUCAGCUCCAUCAUGUUAACGACACACUAGAAGUGAUUGAGGAACUCUUUUUCCAGUUGUUCCUCAACUAUUAUUCACUUUUGAAACCAUAUCAAUAUACCACUCAAAAGAUUUCCUUUCAAGCUUCAAACAAACUGUCUAACCAGUUGGUUUACUCUACUUUCUACAUUCACAUACUUUAAUAAAAUGAGUAGUGUGUUGUUUUGGAUUGCCCCUCCCAUUGAACUUUUGGAACUUUGGACGUUGGUACCCAACAAGCAUUCUUAGAUUGUUGAUUAUCUUGGUAUAUGACUUGGAGUACAUAAAAGAAGUUUGUGACGGUCCUCCAUAAUAAGCUCUUAUGGAGCUUGUGAUCAUAUCAUGCAGCUGUUUGAUUGAUAGGAAAGCGAUAGAGAAUUGACUAUUGUAUCUAGUUUUCCUGCAACAAAACUUUUUCUUUAUCGUCAACUUUGGGAGUCAAAAGUUAGCUCCAAUCAGCAAUUUCACGAGCCUUCAUAUGAUCUUUCAAGGUGGCGAUUCCUUGGUCUUGCUCCUCAACAUCUUUCAUUAGAAGAUUUAUUUUCCUCUCCAUCUUUGUCAUGGUUGCCUCGGUUGUUACAUCUACCAUCAUGACAGACACUACUUCAAGGUGUGAUUCUUUCUUUGACAGAUCAAAAGAAAUAGCAAAGUUGUCGAACAAAGAAUUCUCUCUAAUGAUAAUUCACCUUUAGGAGAUUCUACUAGUUGCUCCCCAACUCUUUUAUUUUGAAAGGACAAAACUUUGUUCUUGUUCUUGGAUGAUCUUUUUGAAUGACUGCGAGUGAGUACAGUUCUCAUGUAAGCGUCACUUACAUCAAAAGAUUUUGAUGCAACUUUCUUUCAUGUCAUUGGUUUGCUUGUAGAUUUAGUUUGCUUGUAGAUUUAGAUAGCUAGCGAUCAAGAAAGAGAUGAAAGGUAGACAGGUCCCAUUGGACGUGCCAAUUUGUUCGCAUGAGGUUUUCAAAGAAACAUGUUACGUGUUAUGUGUUACGUGGACUUGAACUUGUGUUUAUGUUGUAUUCGUGUUAAUUUGUUGCAAUGUGGUUUGAUUUCUAAUACUUGAUCUUCUGAUUUUCUCUUGGUUGAAUGUGUAUGAUUAAUGUUCUUGAAGUCGAAGUCUUGGAAGAAUAUUUGUAUCUCCAAAGAAGUUGAGCCUCAAGGAGUGGUUCAACCUUUAGGAGUUAGAGUCUUGUGAUUGUUUGAUAGAAUUCAUUUUAGGUCUUUUAGAGUAAAAUUUUUUUGAAGCCCCACCAAUGAAGAGAACUUUAUUUAUAGAGUUUUUUUGGGGGUUUUAUGGACUUGGGCUUGGCUAGUCCAUUGAUCAGACCCUCUAGGCCUAACCAUAUGGAUUUGAGAAUUAUUUAGCAUUUGAGCUAAAUUAAACUUAUUUUUUAGGUUAAAUUGGACUUUAGCGCAAAUAAAUAAUAUUUAAUUGGACAAGAAUAAUUAACUUGAUCUAGAUGAAAAUAAUUUGACCAAUUUGUGUUUUCAAUUUCAAUUUAUAACACAUGUCAACUUUUAAUUAGUCACAAAUUCUUUUAUUUGUAUUUUUCUUAAUUAAUUUGAUAAAUGACAUAAAAAUUUAUGAUUGGUUCAAUAUUUUUCAUUUAUUUGUUAUAACUCUAUAUUUCAAUAAUUUUAACAUUUUUUUAUAUUUAUUUGGAUAAUACUCACUUCUCUAAAGUUGUUGUCAAAUCCUUUUCUUGCUUGUAAUUGAAUGCAUCAUCAAAUCCAAGCUUUUCUUUGAGCAAUGUCACCUACAAUUCCACAUGUAUUAGACAGAGUGACCCAACCCAAAUACAAAUUAUAAACAACAUAAAUAUAUCAUAUUAUGUAACAAAGAUUAGCCAUGGCUAGCCUUAUUAAAUAUUAGAUGUAUAUAUGAUAUUAAAUUCUCAUUCAUUUGUUGACUUUUUAAUUUUUUUUCAUGAAUUCGACAUUGAUAUCACAAAUUAAUCGACAUUUUCGUUACAUCAUAAUUAGAAAUCCAUAAAAGUACACAAAUAAAAUAUAUGUAUUUUAAAAAUCAAUUACAUCAAAAUAUGUUAAUAAUCUAAAUGUAAUAAGAAUAAUAAAAUUUUUAAUUAACUUAAUUAUUUUAAAAAAUUUAUAUCUACUUGUUUAAAUUUAUUAGUUUAUUAUAUUUUUAUUUUUAUUUUAUAAAUAUCUAUCCAUUCAAUAUUUCUAUUUUUCAGACUAACAUUUUUUUUUUUUUUUUUGUUACGUCUCCAUUUUAAACUUUUGACAAAAUAUAGCUUAUAAAAAACAUUAUUCAUAUAUGAACAACUUUUGUAUAUACAAUAGUUUUCUUUCUCAUCUAUGCAAUAGUUUCUUUAAUAUAAAUUGGAGGUGAGAUUUGCAUUCGAGAUCUAGUCCUUAGAUACAUAUAAAUGUCAGAUAGUCCUUAGAUACAUAUAAAUGUUUGAUAGUUUAACCAAAUUCUUGUCGGCAUAGAAUGCAAUACCUAGAUAUUACAAAAUAUGUAUUAGCCUCGUAAGAUUUUUCUUUGAAAGCUUAGGCUUAAAACUAUACAAAUUCUGUCAUCACUUCAUAUAGCGUGUAUGGGUUUGAUUAAAUAGUUAGAUGAUCUUAAUAAUGUUUCCUCUCCAAUGAUCUUUCCUCUCCAGUUUUUCCUCAAUCACUUCUAACCGAUCAUUGACCAAAUAGAAAAUAAGUUUUAUUUACCGUGUAACUAGAAGAAUGUAUCAUUGGUAAAUAAUCAACACGAUAACAAUAGACAUAAAUUUAAGAAGUUUAGAUGAAAGUGUAAGAGACAAAACAUAAAAUUUUUAAAACUAUCGAGACAAAAUAAAGCUCUCUAAAACCGAUGAUAUCAAAAUUGAAAAUUAAGCAACAAUUUAAUAUGUAUAAACCAUUAAAAAUUAGGUAAAUGAUUAAAAAUAUUAACAACCCAUAUAAUAAUAUAUUAGAGUUUAGAGGAGAAACCUUUUGAUCAGAACCGGCACAACCAACAACAUAGCAACCAUGCAAUUUUGCUAAUUGUCCAACCAAACUUCCAACAGAGCCAGAAGCAGCAGACACGAAUACUCUCUCUCCUUCCUUUAUCUUUGCUACUUCAAACAAACCAGCAUAUGCUGAUAGCCCACUAAACCCUAAUCAAAACCACACAUUAAAUUUAAUUGUUUUUUUCUUUAUCUCACAUGGAAACAGAAGAUUAUUAGUUGAUGAAUGUUUGAUUUCAAAUUACCUAAAACGCCAAGAUGGUGAGUCAAUGGAAAUCCCAAAGUGUCCAAUUUUCUAAGUAAGUUGGUUUGAGCUUUUACCACACUGUAUUCAGCCCAAUUUAUGAGCCCUAUUACUAUAUCACCCUCCUUAAACUCAGGGUUUCCUGAGGCCAAUACUUCUCCCACUCCCAAAGCAUCUAUAGGCUGUCUCAAAAGAAUAUAUAUAUUUUCAAGGAAGUUGUUGUUACAAUAAUAUAGCCAACGGUUAAAUUUAGUUUAAUUUUCUUUUUAUUUCUCUUAGUAACUAUUAAAUGUAACCAAAGCUGGGAAUUAUUUGAUGAAGUCGUAACAAUGAUAUGAUGACUAAGAAUUAAAGGUUGACACUUUCCUCAUUAAACAGCCCAUAGAUUUUUUACUUUUGCAUGCAUAUAUGUAUCGGUCAUGAUUUUACCCUUUUUUUUUAUGCUUUGACAAAUAUAAGAUGUUCAGUAGCAUAUAAGCUUUGAAUUAAAACAUUAGUUUCAAACCCCUAUUUUCUCAUGGUAAUAAAUAAACAAUUUUUUGAGAUAAAACAUAAAAUCAGAACUCCCGAUCUUAACUAUUUGGUUUAUUAGAACUAAGCUUAUAAGUUUAUUUUCUACUAAUUUUUAAAAAUCAAAAAGAAGUUUUUUUUUUUUUUUUUUUUAAUUUGUCUACAAAUUCAAGUGAAACCCAUAAUUAAAAAAUAAUAAUAAAAAAAAAGGAAUAAAUUUUAAAUUUUUAAAAAAUAAUAAAAAAUCAUUACUCAAUAGAGUAUAAGUUCAGAAGCUUAUUACAAUAAUAUUUCGCUCUAAAUAUUUUCCUAGCAAUGGAAAACUAAUUAGACAAACGGUAAAAGAAUUCAAGAGUACACUUAUAAAUUACUAUUUUGGAUGAAGCAGUGAUGAUCAGUGAUGAUCAUAUAUGAUAUUACUUUCCACAUCUUUUAAAUUAGAAAAAAAAGUUGUUAAAGAAUCGAAAAAUCAGAGAUAGACAAAAAAAUGUAAAGAAAAGACCAUUGAUCUAUACAUAGAUUAUUUACAAUAUGUUAGUUAGCUACAUUCAAAUAGAUGAAAGAAUUAACAUAUGUUUAGUCAUUCAAAGAAGCAAAAAUCAGAUUCAAGACAUUCCAACGUAAGAGAGAUUUGAAUUUACCUGAAAAGGAAUGACGGGAGCCGCAAAACUAGAAGUUUUAUGGGAAGAACUAAAGCUUUUCAUACGGUUAAUUUGAUAUGGAUCAAUUGAAACAUAAAGGUUUUUAACAAUAAUAUCGUCACUCCCAUGUUUCACUAACACAACAAAAUCUUCGCAUUUCACCUCAAAAUCUGAUUCAACUGGAAAUUCAUCAAUCCCUUUUCUGGUAGUCACAAUUCUAUUUCUCACUUCCAUUUUUUUUCCAACUAAUUAAAAAUAUGUCUGAUUUCACUAAUCAAAAUCCUUGGAAACAUAUAGUUAUUAUAUACUAAAAAGGGAGUAUAUAUAUAAGAAUGAUUCCUAAAAGGAAGUGACAAAAUUUUGGAAUACCCAAUAACAAGAAAAGACAACUCUUGGCCGGCCAGGGCAAUGUUGUAGUUGCACUUGAUAAAUGCCACUGACAUUGACACGAUAAGGUCACAUUAUUGCUUACAUUUCAACCCAACGAAGAGGGAUAUUGUCUUUGUUCAUUUUUUUUUUCUGUUUCUAGAAAAUGUUAAGCUAAGAAUUUAGGGCCAAUUGGAAUUUACUUUCACCAAGUCACUUGUGAGGUAGGAAACACAACCAUACAAAGAGCUUGAAUAUUGAAUAUCGUCGACCACACUGCUCCAAAUACCACAUAGUUUUGUCAUACUAAUACAUAUAUAUAUCAUUUUUCAUUGAUUGUUAAAUACUAUUUUUAAAAGUUGAAAAGGUUUUCCAAAAUAAAGGAAGGAAUUAGGUGAGAGUAGUGAUUAACUUAAACUUAAUGGGGCAUAGUGAUAGAGAUUAAACAUGCACCGCACAACAAAGAUGGAGAUUUUCCUCUAGAUACAAAAGAUUUAACAAAGAACUCUAAAUCGAAAAAAGUUUGAAAUUAAGAUUUUUCAAGAAAACUUAUAUUUGUUGAAGCUCUGAUGGUUGCUUGGACCACCACUAGGACUAACCUACUAUCCUCCAGAGUCAGAAUCGGGUUAUGGAAACUGUUGGAUGAAGGUAACUGGGAGAGAGAACAAAGAUGGAAAUGGUUUUAUGGAAUUGGGUUGGGCGAGAAAAACUUUAUUUUGGUUAAAAUUACACAAAAAGAAAAAUAGCUCAAAUUUUGUCUUUAAAAAGUCCAACCCCCUUCCAGAAGACCCAAGAGUCCAAUGCAAGCUCAUGGGCCAACAACACAUAACCCACUAAGCAUUAGUGGGUUUAAUGUCUUCAUAGUGUGGUAACACCUAGCCCACUAUAAUUAGUGAGAUUAUCCAAUAAGAUGUUAGAUUUUUCCACUACCUUUGGUCAAAGUGCAAAAUUGUCAUUUGGUCAAAGUCAAACUUUAGGGCAUUUGGGGCAUAGAAUGAGUUAUUAUAAUUUGUGGUUAUUAUAGUGUGUGGAUUAUAAUAGUUUGUAUGUUAUUAUAGUCUGUGUUUGGGAUGCAGAUUAUUAUAGUUUUAGUUAUUAUAAUCUAUGUUUGAAGAAGUGAAAAAUAGUGAAAUGGGGGAGUGAGGAAUAGUAACAUAUAGGAGAGAUAGGGGACGAUGAAUAGUGAAUGGGGGAGUGAAAAAUAAUGAGAAAUAGUGAAAGGAGGGAGUGGGGAAUAUGAGAAAUAAGGAAAAAAAAAAUAGAAUAGUCCUAAUCUUAGGAUUAUGAUAAUCCUUGAGGCAAACAUGGGGUGAGCUAAACUCCUUCAUAAUUUGAGGACCAAACUGCCCCUAACUAUUUAAACAAAAAAGUCAACAUUUUGACUUUUCACAAUUUUGUUCGUCUUGACUAAUUAUCAAGAUUCAAAUCACAUUUGAAUAUAUUGUCUGUUAAAGUUUGACUUUUCAAAGUAAAAAAAUCAACAUUUUGACAUUUUACAACUUUGACUAUUUUCAUCAUUUUCAAGCUUCUGAGUAUGAAUCUGCAUGCAUAUUUUAAUGUGCAAAUCUCAUUUAAACAUAAAGUUUUAUCUCUAAUAUGAAAUUUGUCAGCAACAUCACAUAUACUUGUUAGUUUCUCUCUCCUCACCUAAUUUGAACAAUUUGACUUAUUCCAUCAUAUGAUUCUAAAUUAAUUCUAUAUGAGCUAGUAGGAGAACCUAAUGAACCUAUAGAUCAUGGGCUCCAACGAACCGAGAUUAACUAAUUAAACUGUUUUAGACUGAGUUAAUAAACAUUUGUUAAUUAAUAGGUCAUUCCGCUAAGGUCUCGUAGUUGAACUUCUCUUAUUAUAAGUAUAUUUGUGUCCAUUUGAUAUAACAUAUUGAUCAGUAAGUUAAUACUUCCCAAGUUGUUCGUUACUUCGGCUGAGUCAAAAUACCGUGUUUUCCUGAGACUAUAUCUUGUUCCUUAAGUUCCACUGAUGAACAAUUGGUUUUAGGUCCAACCUACGAACUAAAUCUCUCUCGGGUCAUUAUUUUUCAACCGAUACAAUAUAUUUGUACAUAUUAAAAAUGAUGCAGGAUAUCACAGAUUCACGGAUAUAGUGUAUUUGCAAACUGUUUAGUUUUGAAAAAUCUUAACUAAAUUUCUUUUUUCGGUCUGGAUAAAAUUGCACCAACAUCCCCUAUGUUUAUGUUUCCAAUUUAUACCCGUUUUUCAUAUUUUUAGGUUUCAAAUCAAUUGAAUAACAAUUUAUUUAUAUAAUUCAUAACAUAUAUUUAGUAAUAACUAUUUGAAUUCAAUUUUUUUCAUACCCCUGAAAUGAUGGCUAAUAUAAUUUUAUCACUCUAUGUUUCAUAAAGUUCUACAUAAUAUUUAUUUAUAUUUUAUUAUAUAAUACAUAAUUAAUAUUUGUCCUAUUUCGAAUUUGAAUCUUAUAUUUUAUAACAAUUUUGAAUUCUUUUAGACGAUCCUAUCAUAUAGAAACAUAAAUUCAAAAUUUAAGAAUUAUUUAUUUUCUUUAAAAAAUUAUAAAAAUACGAAUCGUUAAUAAUAAUUUGAAUUUAAAACUUUAUCAUCCCUAAAAUUGUGUUAUUUAGUUGAUAUUCCUAAAAUAAUGACAAAUAACAAUUUGAAAUUUGAAACUAAAAUUUUAUUAAUUUUGGUAUUUUUUCAUAUGUUUGAUAUAGGAAAAUCUUUUAUUAGUUUUAAUUUGUUUCAACAAUUUUCAAAUUUAUUUAUUUAUUAACAAAAAAAAUUUAAUAAUUUCGAUUUAAUCUAAAAUAUUUCAUUGAAGCUUCUUAAAAGAAUUUAUGGUUAGUUAAUAAAUAUAUUUCAUUAACCUACUUAAAAAUAUUUACUACUACAAAAAUUGGUUGACUUUACGUUAAUACAAUGUCAAGUAAAAUGUAUACUUGACAUUUUUAAAAGCGUCAAGUAAUCGACAGUCAAGUAUAGUCACAUUACUUGACAAUAAAAAAUCGUCAAGUAUACAUUUAUUUGACACAGUUUUAACGUCAAGUAAUCUAUCACAUUUGACGUUUAUUAUGUCAUGUAAAGUCGUAUACUUGACGAUUUUUGCACAUCAAGUAAGAUUGUAUACUUGACACUAUUUAGACGUAAAAUAAGAUAAUAUACUUGACAUUAUUUACCCAUCAAGUAAAAUAAUAUACUUGACACUAUUUACAUGACAAGUAAAAUUGUAAAAUUGACACUAUUUAUCCGUCAAGUAAAAUAAUAUAUUUGAUUCAAGUAAGAUAGUAUAUUUGACAUGUAUUUAGCGUCAUGUAUACCAUUUAUUAAUAUAUUAAAUAUACAAAAAAAUUAUUUCUUGUUUCCUCCAUUAUUCGUUUCAAUAAAACAUAUUCAUUAACAAAAUAAACUCUUCAACUAGUAGUUACACAACAAAAAUAUGACAAAUAAUUUAGUAUAACUAGUAAACUAACAAUAAUUUUAUUACUCUAAGCAAUGUCAUCAACAAUUACACAAUUCCAAUCCAAUAUAGUCAACUAAAAUUUCCUAUACGUGGCCUAUUCUAAAAUAAAAAAUAAUAAUAACUAUCUUAUAUAACCAAAAAAACAUGUGUGAUAUGCCAAAACUAAAAUCAAUCCCCUUACAUCUAUUGUCUAACGUAAUAAGCAUAAUGGCUAUAAACAAAACAUUUACAAAAAAAAAAAAAAAGUUAUGGGCAUUUCCAUGUGUUUAGUCAUUUUCAAAAUUAACAAGAGCAUAUUUAAGUGUGUCUAUCAUAUAUAUUGAGCUAAAAAUUCAGCUCACUCCGCUUGUACUUCAUCCAAUUCAAGUUGUGAGUACAAACUUCUCGUAUCAAUCUAUAAAACAUAAAAAGUCGAGUAGACACUUUGAUAAAAAUAAAAAUUAGUCAUAUUAUACUAUAUAUAAUGUUUCAGACAUAUUGCAUACAAGAUUAAAUGAGCAAAAAAAGUAAAUUGAGCACCUAAGAAAAUCCUAGAAUAUAAUUUGCAAAGUAGAUCUCACAUACUUGAGAUUAUUACAAACUAGUAUUUCUAAUUAGAUAAGUAGAUAUUUUCAUAAACAUGCCACAGUCAACGAUCAAUACUUGAAUAAGUCAAUAUAAUAAAUAGAACAAUGGGUUUAGGUGUAUAGAGAGUAUGCUUAUCGUACUAACUGCUAAAAAUGUGUCACAUGCUAGAAGAACCCACGGCUAAAACAAAAACACACAACUGAAACUCACCUGAAAAUCGCUCUAAUCUGUCACCAAAAACAACACUCUCAAUAUCUCAAUCUAGCUGUUUAAGACACAAAAAAGAGAAUAUUGUAGAGUGAUCUCUAGAGGAUUGAAAACCAUUUUUGAAUAGUACAAAUUAUUUCAUAAGAACCCAGAAGCAGAUAAUUAUCCAAAAUCAAUCGAUCCUACAAGAACAAUAUCUCAACUUUUAUAACUAAUUGAACAAACCUUAGUUUUAGGAACCAAAUGACCUUUGUUCUCAUCUUUCAUGUCGACUGUAGAAGUAAAACUUUUGUUUCAUAACAAAACUAAAACGAAUAUGAAUUGGGACGAACAAUAGAGAGAUAUAAAUCAACAACUUGGAUAUGAAGCAACAAAGUAACAUUAAACAUAUCGAUAAAAACUCAUAAGAGUAACAUUAAACAUAUCAAUAACUUGUUGUAAAAAGAAUCUCAUAAUUGUUGUGUAAAUGUAAUCACUAACUUGGUAGUUUCACCAUUAUAGUAGAUCAUAUUCGUGCAAAACCUAAUAAAAACGUAAUUUACACUUUGUAAACUACUGUAGCCACCUAAUUUUAUUCUACAUAUUUUUAUCAUUUUCUUAAAAAAAAAAGAAUUUUUUAUAAUAUUUGUUAUUUCUUUUAAGAAACAAAAAGGAAAAUCACUUUAGUAAUACCACAUUUAACUUAUUUAUAUUCAUUUUCUUAAAAAAAAGAAAUUAAUAAACUCUCCUUAACUCAUUUUUAAAAUAAAUAAAUAAAUAAAGUCUUCUUUUUAACUCAUUUUAGGAAAAAAGAAAUUAAUUUGUUUUAAGUAAAUUCUUUUAUUUUAGGCAAAAAAAAAAAUCAUUUUACUUUUACACAAUCUGAUGAUACUUCAUUUUAGGAAAAAGUAAAAUUUACUUUAUUAAUAUAAUAACAAAAUUUGAUUUUAUUCUUAUUAUAUUUUCCUAAUUUGUGGUACAUCCGACUCUAUAAAUAGGAACCCUUGUCAUUUGAAGAGAGGCAAGAAAAUUUUCUUACAAAGAGUGUCUAGAGGAAGUGUUAAAGAGAAAUUUUUUUAGAGAAUCUCUCCCAUCUGGAAGGAAAAAAAAAACUUAGAUAUUUUUAUUUAUUUAUUUAUUCUUACUCUCUUUUACUUUGAUUGUUAUUAUUUUUUUUAAAAAAAUUAAUCUUAAUCUUUUUCAUCUCCCUAAAAAGUAGGGAAAAAAAAAGACAUGAGACUUUUUUUCUUUUGAUCUUUACUUUAUUAUGUUUAAAAACAUAUAUAUAUAUAUAUAUAUAUAUAAAAUUUCAUUUACUUAUUAUUUAUUAAUAUAUUUUUAUUUGUUGUCAACGUUUUUUUAUUACUGUUUUUUUAAAAAAAUUCUGUUUUUCUUCUUUUUAACUUUAUUACAGUUUUUUUAACUUCCGUUUUUGUUCAUUUUAACUUUAUUAUUAUAACUAUGGCUUUCUAUAUAUUUAAAACUUAUUAUUGAUUUAUUUAUAUAAUUACUAUUUAUUUAAUUAAUUAUUUUUUAAUAAUAAUUAUUAUUAUUAUGAUGGGUGGCGGGAAGUACACCUUUUUGUUUAAAAAAAAGUUUUUCUUUCUCUUCUAUUUCUUCUUCCUUUUAUUUCUUUAUUUCUUCCUUCCUUUUUCAUUAUUUAUUUCUUUCUUUCUUUCAUUUAUUUAUUUCUUCUUUCUUUUUAUUCAUUUUCACUAUUUAUCGUUUCUGUUUUCUUUUUAUUUAUUUUAACUUAUUUUCCUUGCAUGCAUAAUAAUUAUUGUUAUGUAGUAUUAAACUUAUGAAUAUUUUGUGCACUUUGCAAUGUUAUGGUAUUUUAUAUCAAUUUUUUUUCUUCUUAUAUCAUAUUUAUCUUUACUUUUUAUCAUUCUAAAAAAAAAAAUCCGACGAUGGAAUUAGAAAUAAUCAGUUGUUUUGGAGUCCAAGAUCGAUUCCCAAUAGUUUUUUAAAAAAUAAAAUUUUAUCUUACUUGCUUAAUCCGUCGUGUGAUAUAUUUGAUUUCAUUGUUCAUUAUUUCCUAUUGACCUAAAUUUGAAGUCUUUCUUAAAUUUUCUUUUUUAACCGUUUAGAAACUUUUACUUUAAAACUAUCCUUUUUAUUUUUUUAAAAAAAGUUUAAAAUAUAAAUCUAUAUUUCAUAAGUUUUCCUAAUCAACUUUUUUUUAAAUAACUCACUUCUAUUUCGCUAAAAAAAAUCCUAAGAUGGAAUAUAGAACUUUAUCUGAGACCGUUAUUUCUAGAUUCUUGAGGUGAGGGAUGAUAUCUUUGGGAGUCCAAGAUUUGAUCCCAAGAAAAAAAAAUGAAUUUAAUAAUAUUUUAAAAAAUAUAUAUUUGAAGACUAUUCUAUGAUAGACUUUGAGAAAUAGUAAUAAUUUCUCAUUUUCUUGAGGUGAAGAAUUUUCCUCAAUAUAGUCUAAUUAAUGGAAUAUUAUUCCACUUAUUUUAUGGAAUCAUUGCUUCAAAUAUGGGAGUGAUGAGCAAGGAAAUAAGACAUAAAAUUUUUUUUUAAUAAAUUUUAUUCAAGACUUUAAGUUUGGCUACUGUUUUCUAGACGAGUGUUACGAGGUGCUAAUACAUUUUCCGUACGCAAAUGACUUACGAACCCAACUCUAUUUUUUGCAGACCAUUUAAAAUAAAAAAACUUAUUUACUUUAUUUUGGUGUCAAAUUACACCCUAAAAAAAGGAUUGGUGGCGACUGCUAUUUUUCAUAAAAAAAAUAAAGAAACUCUUUUGAGGACCUCGUCUCGGACACGUGGCGAUAGUUUGGCGACUCCACUAGAGAUUUAAGAUUUCACCUUGAGAGUUUGGCCUUUUCUUUUGUCUUGAAUUUUUUUUUAUGUUUAUUAUUAUUUUUUUGUUUUAUUUUCUUGUUGUAGCAUGUUGUUUAUUUUUGUUUCACACACAAUCACAUGCCUCCUGCCAAGGCUCUACCCUUUAAGAUUAGAAACGAGGAUGGAGUAGUGUUGACCUUCAAUGUGCUCCCGUGCAGGCACACGAAAAGUUCUCACUUAAUUUGGUUGUGUGAUCAAGUGUGAUUAUACAUCAUUUUGAGGACCUUUAUCAUAUAGGACAUUAGCAUUAACUUCACUGAAUUUCGUGGGUUUUUUUUUUUUUUUUUGCAUUUUCUCUUUCACUUAUUUCAUGUCACAUUCAUACUCUUCUUUUAUUCAACCUUAGGAUGAUAGGCACUCAUUCGCCCAAUCUAGUUGCCCAAAAUUUCCCUAGUGAAGACUCAUGGGAAGGCAUGACCCAAUGGUUAGAGAAGCUGCAGCAAGAGACAGAUACAAUUUGGCCCAAAAGUAUAGAACUUUCGCUUCCUCAGACAUGUCGCUUAGAGAUUGUCAACAACAGCAUGGAAGGUCUGAAGAGCCUAUGGGAGAGUUUGACUAAGGAGCAUAGAAUAGAGUUUGUAAAGGCAUACAGGAAUAUAACUGACCUCAAAUAUACUAGCAUUAAUGCACAUGCUCUACAAGCAUUGGUACAAUUUUGGGAUCCUGUGUUAAAAUGUUUCACAUUCAACACAUUUGAUUGAACUCCUACUCUAGAAGAAUAUCAAGCAUUUAUUAGCAUACUACAUUUCAUCUGAAGUAAGGUCUAUGUGCAUGAUAAAAAAUUAACACUGCAAAGGUCUUUAUCCAAGUUCAUGGGUAAUGUUCAUGCAUCUGGUAUAAAGGAGCGAAUGAAGACCAAGGAAGGAAGAAAUUGUAUCCCUAUUGAUCAUUUAAUUAACCUCGCUCGUGAUUGUUUACCAUGGAAGAAAGGUUUGUCCCUUUUGGCCCUUUGUAUUUAUGGUACAGUUAUCUUCCCAAGAAUCAAGGGAUACGUAGAAGAAGAAGUGGUUAAAUUCUUUGUUGGAAUGGAAAGAGGAGCUAAUCCAAUCAUCUCGAUCCUAACAGAAACCUUCAGAUCAUUGAGCUAUUGUUGAAUCCAAGGCAAAGGGAAAUUCUUCGGUUGCGCUCCAAUGCUUUUCAUAUGGAUUUCCAGUCAUUUGAAAUACCCAAGUGAGUUUGGGUGUCCUCGGAUAGAGUUUAGUAGCCCUUGGAAUACUACGAGGAAUACUGUUAAGGACUUCAAUGUUGUGCGAUGGAAUCCUAAAACUUUGGACCUUUCGUCAUGGAUGCGUUUCUUUGGUCAUGUAACAAUGGAAGAAAUAGUCUGGAGAGCACCGUGGGUGCCAACAAGUCCUUUAAACAUAUCGUUGCGGACAAUUGCUAUUUAUUCCACUUUUAGGCUUAUGGGGAAGGAUUGCCUAUUCUCCUUUAUUGGUAUUGCGACAUACAUGGUCUAAACAAUUUGCACUUCAUACGAGGCUGACGAGAUGAUUGUCAAGGUACAAGAAGCGGUAGAAGCAUGGAAGGUUGUAAGAAGAAUGAAAAGUCUGCGACAUUGUGAGGGUACUACAAAUCAGUACAACAUUUGGAGAGCCGCUAGAAAUGGAUUUGAAUUUGCUACUACUCCACAAUAUUCAGACCCCAUCAAUUUUAGGGUAAGUCAUGAUAAUCAGGAAAAGGAGUAGAAGCAGUUGAGAGAAAUGAGUCAUGUCCUAGCAACAGAGAAUGAAGGACUGAGGAAAGAAGUCAAACGAUGGGUGCAAAAAGCUACAACUUCUGAAAGGCAACUUGAAGAAGCGCAACGACAUCUUCAAAGACAGUCAGAGUUGGAAAAAGACAUGAAUUCUUUAAACAUUGAAGCUAUUCAAAUUAGAAAGAAAAACAAAAGAUUACUGAGAGAUAUUGCUACUAUGCAUAGUGAAGCUGAAGCUCAAAAAGUGUGCAUUAGAGAAUUGAAGCAGGAAUUAGAAAGAGUGAGUAAGGUUGUUAUAGAUUUCCAAAGUGCAUUAGACGAGCAAGCCACAUCAUCUCAAAGAAUCACUACAAAAAUGGAGGCUCUAGAUAAUUUGGCUAAAGAGUAUAAAAUAUGACUUGCAUAAGAAGAGUGCAAAAAUACACUUCUACAGGAGACUGUUACAAGUUUUGAACACCAGCUGUUGAUUUGUCGCAAUGCACGAAAGGUGGUAACAGAAGAUCAUGCUCGAUUAUUGAACGAGCACAAAGAAGUGUUAGGAGAUUUUGCAAUUUGGAGAGAUGACUAUAACAUUAUGAGACACAGAUAUGAGGUUGUUAGAAGACAAAUUGAACAAGGAACGAAAAAGCUAAGGCAUAUGGCAAGAAUGUCAUAUCAGCUCUCAACACGAGCUAUAGUCCUUCAGGAAAACAUUGUACCAACACAACGAGGCGAUCGAGAGUUGUCCCACUUUCUAGAGAUUAUAGGGCAUUAUCUUGGGCGUUUUGGGUGCUACCAUUAGAGUCUUAAACAUAUAGUUCGUCGUAACUUUCUAGAUUUUCAUAUGUAAUAGUAGUAGACUUUCAAGGUUUAUUUGUCAUCUUAUUUUGUGAUAUUUUGGAAUGAAAAGACUAGUUUUUAUCACCUUUUUUUCUCCAUAUUUUUUUUAAAAAAUUAAUUAAAUCGUUAUUUCUUUCUUUUAUAAAAGGAAGAAAAGUCAAAAGGUUAAAAGAUACAAAAUAGCUCGGGAUUCACUUCCCCAUCAUCAUUACUGGACAAGAAGAAAGGCAAGGAUAAUGGAUGAUCAAGUUAAUGAUCAAGUUCAGGCAGUACGUCAAAACGUGGAGGAAUUGAAAGAUCAGAUGGCAAAAAUUCUAGAAUUACUCACUGCCGAGAGGGGGAAGGGCAUUGCGGGGACAUCUUUAUAUGUGGAGAUCAGUUUGAAUCAAAUAGAUGACACACCUGCAUUCCCUUCUGGGUUUACUCUACAAAUGAUGGCAAGUGCACCGUAUCCUCCAUCAUUUCCUGCACCAGAGUCAAAUCAAACCUCGCAACAAGUAGCUCAAACAAGGGAUCCAGUAUUCACCCCUGUCAUGGAGGGUGGUAGGAAGGUUUUAGAGGAUCAAGGUAGCAAAAGAAGACUAGAGUUCUUAGAGGAAAGGUUGCGAGCUAUUGAGGGUGCGGAUGUUUACAGGGAUGUUGAUGCGGCGCGAUUAUGUCUCAUCGCGGACGUAGUAAUCCCUCCAUAGUUCAAGACUCCAUUUUUCGAGAAGUAUAAUGGGACCACGUGUCCAAAGAGUCACUUGGUGAUGUACUGUCGAAAAAUGUCAGCUUACACUCAUAAUGAUAAAUUGUUGAUUCAUUGCUUCCAAGAUAGCCUAGUUGGCCCGGCUUCUCACUAGUACAUGUAUUUGGAUGGAUCACAAGUGCAUAGGUGGAAGGAUCUUGCUGACUCAUUCCUAAAACAAUAUAAGUAUAACAUUGAUAUGGCACCCGAUCAUCUAGAUCUUCAAAGGAUGGAAAAAAGGAGUGUUGAAACUUUUAAAGAGUAUGCACAACGAUGGAGAGAGUUAGCUGCACAAGUACAACCUCCCCUAACCGAUAAAAAAUUGAUAACCAUGUUAAUAAAUACUCUUCGGGGCCCAAACUAUGAUAGAAUGGUUGGAAGUGCCUCAACUAAUUUCUCGGAUGUCAUAAGAAUGGAAGAAUUACAGAUUUUGCUUCAGAAUCAAGAAAAAUAAUGACACCAAAGAAGAAGGAAGGAGAGGUGCAUGAGAUGAACUCGACUCAAAGAACUGCUACAUGAAUGUCAUCACCGAUAGUUGGACAAACAAAUUACUCUUCUAAUCCCCAUGGUGGUGACAUAGUCAGCCAAAUAGUAGUUUUGUAAAGAAUAAUUGGCGGCAAACUCACUUCGACCCCAUACUCAUGUCAUAUACUGAUUUGUUGCCACAACUACUGAAGAGUCAUCAGGUUGCUUUGGUGCCUCAAUAGCCUUUACAACCACACUACCCCAAGUGGUAUGACCCUAGUGCAAAAUGUGAGUAUCAUGCUGGAGCAGUGGGGCAUUCUACGAAAAAUUGUUUUCCAUUGAAAGCAAAGGUACAAAGUUUGGUAAAGGCUGGCUGGUUGAAAUUUCAGAAGACUGGGAAGGAGCCAAAUGUCAAUCAAAACCCUCUCCCAAACCAUGAAAAUCCUGUCAUAAACGUCGUUGUUACAUUAGUAAAGCAUUACAAGAGUGAUGUAUAUAAGGUAACUACAUCAAUGAGGAUCCUCUUUCAGAUUCUUCAUGAAGUUGGAUAUAUACCACUAAGCGCUGAUGAUGGCAAUGUAGGUUUGAAGUGCAAAAAUUGAUGGACGCAAAAAUUUUAAUAGUGAGUCAGACGAACAUACAAGAGGCUGAGAUUGAUGUGAUUUUUGAUGCGACAUCAUCUGUACAAGAACCACUAAUCAUCCAAUAUGAGGAAAAGCCGGAUAGCACAACAUGCAUUCAGAUGCAUAAGACAAUAACUGUAGAAGUACUAGGUCCUUUUCCUUAUAAGAACAAUCAAGUUGUACCAUGGAAAUAUGAAUGCCAAUUGAUAACAAAUAAUGUUGCCUCUGUAACAACGGGAGGGAUAACUCGUAGUGGAAGAUGUUAUACACCAUAUGUUUUAAAAGAUAUCUCCAAAGAGGAUGAAGUUCGACGACGUAAGGGCAAAGCUAUGGAGAUGAUAGGUGGGGAUGAUUUAAGUGAUCUAAGCAAGGUUUUUACUGCGAAAACCACAUUAGCUGAGAAAAAGAUAAAUCAGGAAGUUGUCUCCAAAAAGGAGUCACUUGAAUUUUUGAAAUUGAUUAAGCGGAGCGAGUACAAAGUGAUUGAGCAAUUACAUCGUACCCCAGCUCGUAUAUCGAUUUUAUCAUUAUUCAUGUACUCUGAGCCACACCGUAAGGUCUUGCUAGAUAUUUUAAAUCGAGCCCAUGUGGGGCAUGACAUUUCAGUGAAUGCACUUAGCGAAAUUGUGGAAAACAUAACCGCUAUAAAUUGCAUCUCCUUUAUAGAUGAAGAAAUCCCCCCCUGAAGGUACUGGACAUACUAAGGCAUUGCAUAUAUUCGUGAAGUGUAAGGAUCAUCAUGUGGCGAGGGUCCUAGUGGAUAAUAGAUCAUCUUUAAAUAUAAUGUCAAGCUCCACUUUGAUGAAACUUCCCAAAGAUCCAUCGUACCUAAGACCAAGUACUAUGGUCGUUAAAGCCUUCGACGGUGCUCGUAGGGAAGUAAUCGGAGAUAUAGAUGUCCCUUUCAAAACUGAACCUUCCACUUUCAAUGUUCCAUUUCAGGUAAUGGUUGUAAACUCCUCAUACAGUUGUCUACACGAACGACCUUAGAUUCAUUCAGCAGGGGCAGUUCUGUCUUCAUUGCAUCAAAAAUUGAAGUUUAGUGUAGAAGGUGGUCAAGCUAUUGUCUACGGAGAAGAGGACAUGUUUGUAACAAAAACAUCAGUACUUCCUUAUGUUGAAGCAACAGAAGAAGCUCUGAAAUGUUCUUACAGAUCAUUCGAAAUUGCUAAUGCUACUAUCUUUCCAACUGAAGGUUUGGAUAUCGAUCGUUAUAUGUCUAAAACAUCCUUGAUCAUUGCAAAGACAAUGAUAAAAAAUGGUUUUCAAAUGACCAAGGGUUUAGGAAAGAAUAAUCAAGGAGGUUCUUAAUUGUGGAAAGAAUAAUCAAGGAGGUUCUUAAUUGUUCUCUCUUCCUAAAGCCAAUGAGAGGUUCGGGUUGGGCUUUAAGCCAACGGCUUCUGAUUGGGAGAAGGUUCGAGCAGAAAAAAAAAGAAAAAAGAAGCGCACGACUUGAGGGACGUGAAAUGAAGAAGGAAAUAAUGUACAUACCUCAUCUAUUCGAGACAUUUAGACUUGGAGAAAGGUUAUUCAAUACAAGCCAAAGAAAGGGACGUAACGAAGAUUCUGAGACCCCAAUUGUUGUUAUCUCUGAGAAUGUUAUUUCACAUCAUCCAUUGGUUUAUCAGUGUCCACCAGAUUUUGAGUUGAACAAUUGAAAGAUCAAGAAGACGCUAAAUGUCACUAAGGGAUCACAAAAGGGCAUCAGGGUUGAAAGCGACAUCAGUGACGUUGUUGAUUUUGAGGUUCCAAUAUGUAAUCUUGAGCAAAAUAUUGAAAGCGACGAAUCUGAUGUAUCUCCUGAAUUACUAAGAAUGAUAGAGCAAGAGGAAAAGAAAACUUUACCAUAUCAAGAGACUUUGAAAGUUAUCAAUUUGGGAGCACGAGAAGAAGUGAAGAAAGUACAAAUUGGCACUUUGCCUUCAAAGCAGGAUCAAUCAGAUUUGGUAACCCUACUUCACGAGUUCAAAGAUAUAUUUGCAUGGUCCUACCAAGAUAUGCCCAAUUUGGAUACAGAAAUUGUAACUCAUCGAUUGCCUCGUAAACCAGAAUGUAAGCCUAUACGACAAAAGCUUCGUAAAUUGAAACCUGAGAUGUUGAUUAAAAUUAAAGAAGAGGUUAAGAAGCAGUUUGAUGUUGGUUUCUUAGUAGUGGCAAAAUACCCAGAUUGGGUAGCAAAUAUAGUCUCAAUCCCAAAGAAAUAUGGAAAGGUUAGAAGAUCAAGAAAAAACAACAUUCAUCACUUUGUGGGGAACGUUCUGCUAUAAAGUAAUGUCUUUUGGUUUAAAAAAUGCAGGAGCAACUUAUCAGAGAGCAAUGGUUACACUAUUCCAUUACUUAAUGCAUAAAGAAAUUGAAGUUUAUGUUGAUGAUAUGAUUGCCAAGUCUAGACCUGAAGAAAAGCAUGUAGUUACCCUUCGUAAGCUUUUUAAACGAUUGUGGAAAUUUCAAUUAAAGUUGAAUCCGGCUAAAUGCAUAUUUGGAGUUUCUUCGGAAAAGUUAUUGGGUUUCAUUGUUAGCCAGGAAGGCAUCAAGGUGGAUCCAGACAAAUUAAGGUGAUAGUAGGCUUAAAGCCACCAAAAACACAAAAGGAGGUUAGAAGUUUUCUAGGGAGGUUGAAUUACAUUGCACGAUUCAUUUCACACCUCACUCAAACUUGCGAACCAAUUUUAAAACUCCUUCGCAAAAGUGAGAUUUGUCACUGGAAUGAAGAUUGUCAAAGAGCUUUUGAUAAAAUCAAAGACUACUUGCAAAGUCCUCCUAUCCUUGUCCCGCCAACUCCAGGACGACCAUUAAUCUUAUACUUGACAGUGAAAGAUGGGUCAAUGGGAUGUGUGCUAGGGCAACAUGAUUCUACUGGAAGGAAGAAACGAGUUGUCUAUUAUUUAAGCAAGAAGUUCACGAAUUAUGAAUCAAAGUACUCACUGUUGGAAAAGACGUGUUGCGCCCUGACAUGGACAACUUAGAGAUUAAGACAGUAUAUGAUGUACUAUACUACGUGGCUCAUUUCGAAGAUGGAUCCUAUAAAGUAUAUUUUUGAAAAGCCAUCUCUGUCUGGAAGAAUGGCUAAAUGGAAAGUAUUGCUAUCCGAGUAUGACAUCAUCUGUGUUAAAAGAAAGACAGUAAAAGGAAGUGCAAUUGCUGAUUGUCUAGCUCAUUUGUCAGUUGAAGACUAUGAACCAAUGAAAUUUGAAUUUUCAGAUGAGGACGUCAUGACAGUAUCAGAGACACCGCAGGAUACAGAAACAUGGACGAUGUUGUUUGAUGGAGCCACAAAUGAAGUAGGACAUGGUGUGGGAGCUAUUCUAAUGUUUCCUGAUGGAGGAUCAUAUCCUCUAACUGCUAAGUUGUACUUUAAUUGCACGAAUAACAUGGCGGAGUAUGAAGCAUGCAGUAUGGGAGUUCAAAUGGCCUAUGACAUGAAGAUUAAGAAGUUACAAGUUUAUGGAGAUUCUCUCUUGGUAAUACAUCAACUCAAUGGGGAGUAGGAAACCAGAGACUCUAAAUUGAUUCCAUAUAACAAGUACAUUCGAGAAUUGGCUCAAACGUUUGAGUCGAUUACAUUCAAGCAUGUCCCACGUGAAAGUAAUCAAAUAACAGAUGUAUUGGCUACUCUAUCUGUCAUGUUUAAUGUGGCAUAGAAUGAGAAAAUUCAACCUAUAAGAAUUGAAAAGUGUGAAGCACCGAUGUAUUGCAUGAACGAUGAGCAAGAGUUUGACGAAAAACCAUGGUACCACGACAUUAAGCAUUACAUUACAUGUCGAGAAUAUCCUUUAGGAGCAUCUGGCAAUAGUAGACGUACCCUUAGAAAGUUGGCUAUGAACUUCUUUCUUACUCUAAUACUAUCUUAAAUUUAGUAUAGAUUAUUAUAAUUAUUAUAAUUCAUCAACUAUAAUAAUCAACUCAAUGCUUCAAACACAUUAUAGUUUGUCGUAUAUACUAAUAUGUGCAACUACCACAAAAUAUGUCUUGUACCAACUUGACACUUGCAAUUUGUACCUACUUGACAUCUUUUUAUAAAAAAUGUCAAAUAAUGAGUACUAUUGAAAGUAGAGAAAGAGAACACACACAUUUACGUGGAAAUUCGAGUAUCAGACGAAAAACUACGAUAUUUUUCUUCUUAGUAUUUUAUGAUAAAAUACAACGGGUACAAGAGGGGAAUAAAUAGAAAAAUACAAAGAGAUUACAAGAUUACAAAAUGCAUUGAAAAAUAUUUCCCAAUGUUCUCUUCAACAACAGGAAGGACGUCAGAAAUAUUAUGUUGGGAGACCCAUUCCCGACGCAACACAAAGAUGCUUCUGGAUUGACUUUUCCCCGACGUGCAUUUGGUCGAGAGGUCAAGGUGUCGGGGUAACCUUAUAUGACUCCCCUGACAUUCACGAGGACGUCAGGAGAAGGUGUUUCCCGAAGCUACAUCAUGUAAACUAUUUUCGAUGUCCUUACAUUGGUCACGAAAAGACCUAUUUUCCGAUGCAAUAUGUGCAUCAGGAAUAAUAAUUUGAGUUUUUUUAUUUUAAUUUUAAAUUUUAAAUUUUUUGUUCGAUUAUAGUUUUUAUUUGAUUUCAAUUCGAUUUAAUUUAAACAAAAACUGAACAACCAAAGUAGUAAAUAAUAUGUCCAAAUCAAAAUUGUAUUAUAAUUAAAUAAAUGUUUCUCACAAGAACACAAUUUCAAAUUUGUUAAAAGAAAUUACAUGAAAAAGAAAAUUAAAAUAAUUUAGCCGCAGACACCAUACUUCAACAGGUCCACACCUUCAACGACAAAAAAUUAAAUUUAGAUAUAUAUAAUGCUAAUAUCACUAAUAAUGCAAAAUAAACAAUGUUAAAGUUCAAAAAUACAUACCUCGGGUUCUCCACUCACGAUCCUCUCUGGGUCCGACUUAUUUCUUCAAUCUUCUUCAUCAUUUCUUCCAUUUGUUUAGAUUGCAGCUCAGGCAUCCUUCUCUGCUCUUUAAUCAUUUGUUUAGCUUCUUGAACCUUGAGUUUUUACUGCUCAAUGAGGACUACAUUAGCUUGUUUUCCUGUCGUAGAAUGCAAACAUGUGGUCGAAGAACUGCUAGAAGGACUCUUGUGGGACUUGGAUCUAGGUCCCCAAUCAAGACCUUUUGAGUAGCCUAGAUGCUUAGCCAAAACGAUCUAGAAAAUAUCAUCCUCAGAGAGGGGCUGAGAUCCCUUUGGUUAGGUUGGGACUGAAGUUCCAGCAUUUGACUCUACAACAAAUUAAAUUUUAUGUAAGUUAUGAAUUGGAGAAGUAUAAGUACAAAAUUAAGACAAAAUCAAAUUCAAACUUACAUGCGCAUCAGCAGCCGCCUGCGAAAUGAAUUGUCCACUCCGAGCGUAGGUUUCUCUGAAUAAUUCCAGUUGGUCGACUAACAGACCGUUCUUCAGCGAGGUCAUACUGUAGUUGUCGAAACGACUUCGACCUGCUACUAUGAUUGUAAGGUUGCUUCUGUCUAGCGGCCUUGCUCCUACAUGAAAAUGUUUAUUAAAAGUACACAUGCGUUGAGAAAAUUAAGUGAAAUAACACAUACCAUUGCAAUUUAUAGAUCUCACCUGAAAUGCAUGGCUCAUUUAGUGAUCGCAUAGGAAGUGUCAAUCUUCCAUACGGCCCACCAAUAUGCUAGAUGGGUUGGCACGUGCCUGUUUUGGGUCGUUGUAUUGUUUGAAAUGUCUGUGACAAUCACUCCUAAACUCUUUGAAAGAUGUGAGCAUUUAAUGUUCAACAAAUCUAGUAAGUGUUUGAUCGUUGAAAUCAAACACAAAAAAGCGCUAGAAAGAAAAAAAAUCACAUGUUAACUUUGUUUAUAUAAUGAUGUGUAUGUCUCUACAGAAAAACUAAUGCACUCUUGAUUUUACCUGUAGAUUGCCCUUAACGACCUCAAUGUAUUCUCUCCCAACAUCGGUCCACUUAAGGCAGCAAACUGAAAAUGUAUUUCUCACACACACGUUAAUGGUGUUGCUAAACCAUACAACAUGUGGAGAUAUUGGCUUUUCCGCUCCUUGAGCUAUGAUAAUUAGAAUUUUACCAUUCUUCUUAACGUACCACUCCAACUCCAAGUUUCAAGAUUGUUGACGUCUUCUGGGAGUCGAAGUGGGUUGAGACACUUCUGUUGUAGAAAUCAAGUCAUGUUAGAAACAAAUUGUGACUAAAUGUAAUUGUUUGCACUUAAAUCACCGAGGACGUCGUCGGUCCUACAUUGUUUAACUCAUCGUCAAACUUGAGAAAUAGAGCAUCUGUGUCAUUGAAAGUAUUCAGGAAUGAAGACAUGGUACCUUUAGACAUAUGACCCAAAAUUAAUUAAACAAAUAUGAGUACAUGAAACUGAAUGCGUAUAAUGAAAUAUGUGAGUAUGUGGUUUUUCAAUAUCAUUCAUCAUCACUUAUUCACCUUAAUGGGACAAUCGGUCAUCCUCAUCGUCUAUGAAGUCGUCAGCAACGUUUGAACACCGAUGUUCGCCUACUUCUCCACCAAACAUGGUUCUUAGAAAGAUAACGUCGAUGUCCCAUGAAAGAUAUUUUUUCUCUUAUCCCGAAGCACGAUCUAUCUCUCAUGCAUAUAGGACAUGUUUGAUACUCUUUUGUACUUCACCCCAAUAAGUCACUAUACGUCAGAAACUCAUUAUCGUCCACAACAAUGUUGCAUACAAUUGAAAGAAAUUACUGGUAAGGGAAUCAUACGUACGCACCCCAAAAGUCCAUAACUAUUUAAGUUCCUUAAUCAAUGGUCUAGGGUAAACAUCAAUUUCCCUACCAGUAGAUUUUGGAUCGAGAAUUAGCAAUGUCGUGAAAAAGUUGACUCUUUCAUGCAUUUUUAGGGUGGCAAAUUGUAAGGAAUUAACACCACAAACCACAUACUGUACGAGGUACUCAUAUGACCGAACGGAUUAAACCAUCUGAAGCUAACCUCAGACGAACGUUCCGUGCAUUUGUAGCAAAAUCAGAGAAUUCAGAAUCAAAAUGUUUCCAUCCAUCCACAUCGAUUGAAUUUCUCAAUACAUCAUCUGUUUGAACACGUUUGUCAUGGUGUCAUCUCAUGUUAGAGGAUCUUUCUUACAAAAUAAAUAAGUGUUGUAAUCUCGGUAUCAAAGGAAAGCGACCCAAUACCUUAUACGAAAUAUUUUUCCUCUGUUAUUGGGAUUGACCUUGUACCAAGACUCACCACAAGUUGAAUAAAACUGCAAAUCCUCAAACUCUUUCCAAUAUAGGACACAGUCGUACUUACAAGCAUGGAUAGUCUCAUAUCCCAACCCUAAGUCACGCAAUUUUCAUUUGGCUUAGUAGAAUGAACUAGGAACAUUGGUACUACACAUUGGAAACACAGUUUUUAUUAAGUCUAACAUCAUGUCAAAUGAUUUAUUACUCCAACAGUUUAAAACAUUUACAUGCAUCAUCUUAACCAAAAACUUCAGGGAAGAGUAUUUAAAACAACCAGGGUAUAACUCACUACAAGCUUCAUUCAAUAAGUCCUGAAAUAUGUUUGUUGUUUCUUCUUCUAUAUCUAACUCAAUAUUGAAAGGCAUCUCAUUCUUCAAACCUUCCUUUAUUUCUCAUUCAUGUUUAAUCAGAGUUUGUAAAUCAUUAAGCAUACCAAACAUUUCAUCUUCUUCAUCAAAAGGGUUACUAUUGGUUCUUUCAUCAAAGUGGUUACUACUGGUUCCUUCAUCAAACCUUUCAAUACCUCUAUAGAAGUUCACUACAUCUCCAUGAUACAAUCAUUUUGUGUAGGAGGAAAAUAUUCUAAUGGUGAAUAGAUGUAGCUCCACACCCUCUAAUGAGUACCAAUUUGAGUUCAUACAUCUCUAACUUACAUGAACACCUUAUUCGUUUGUAAGCAUCGACGUGGAACUUGGCAAUCUCUAAAAAUUGGGACACUCUCUCUGUACUCAACCGAUAACUUAUUCGUAACUUUCAUCCAACCCUUGUCCAUCGUUAAGUUAAAGACCUAAAACAUAAAUAUGUUUGAUCAUUAGUCCUAUAUUCCUCCUAUCAAACCCUAUAAACUUAAUUACUCCAUGAAUAAGCUAUGUCAAAUCCUCUCAAUCUUUUAAUUGUCUUUUAAUUGAAUCUAAGUUCAAACUACAAAGACUACAAUAACUGCAGAAUAGCCAGAAUAAACUAAUCAAAUACUCUAUUAUAUCUAAUUAAUUCUAAACCAAGUUUGUACGGAAGAGAAGAGACUACUAUAAUUAAUUGCAGGAUAGCCAUAAGAAAUCAACAAAAAAAAUUCCUAGUAGUUCUAACAAAUGAAACUAUUAAAAAAUAAACAACAAUAAAACUACAACCCCCCCCCCCCCCCAUUAAACCCUUCCCCACACCUAAAAAGUUCAAUUAAACCCCCUCUCUUCACCCCCCCCCCCCCCCCCAAUUAAUUUUUUGUUCGCCCUCUCUAAUUUUUAAUUCAACACCCCCUCCUUAAAAACAAAACAUAAUUUCUAAUUCAAAUCAUAAUUUCUGCAUAAUUUCCAUUCUAAAUAAAAAUAAAUUACAUCAAAAUUAAUAUAAAAGAAAUCUACUUACUUAUAUGCAAUGACGAGUGGUGGAAGACGACAAUGAAACGGUGACGAGUGGCAGAGACCGACAGUGAGGUGAGAAAUAUCCUCUUCUCCUUCUCGAUCUCCCUCUCUCUCAUUUUCUUUCUCUUUUCUCUUUUAAUUCUGUAAAACAGAAUGUCGAAAUAGCCAACAUAUUCCUAGCGCAUCACUAAUGACAUCGGGAAUAGGUACCAUUUUCCCGAUGUUUCUGAUGUUGCGUCAGAGGAAGGCCAACGGUACAAUUAAUGCUUUGCCCCUUACCCGACGCGACAUUGUAGAUGUCGGGAGAGCCUACAUAUUCCUGACGUCAUUAGUGAUGCGUAGAGAAUAUGUAUAUCCUUUUUUUUUUUGAAGUUUCUGACGUCACGUUGGAGAAAAUUUAAUGGUAUAAUUAAUUAUUCCAAGCAGUCCGGACGUGAGUUAACAUGCGUCUGAAAAAAGCUCCUCCCUCGACGUCAAAUUUGGUGCGUCAGAAGAAACCCCCCUUCUACAUACAUUUGGUUUCCCGACGAAUUUUUGUGCGUUGAAAAAAUUCGAUUUCUUGUAGUGUAAACUAGGUUGUUAGCAAUAUUAAUAGCGGCUUUAUUAUCACAAAAAAAGCUUCAUUGGUGUCUCACGCUCCUAAUGAAGAUUAGAUAGGACUUUCUGAAGCCAAAUUUCUCACAUAUUCCCAAAUUCAUAGCUCGGUAUUCAGUCUUGGUGUUGCUCUGGCCACAACAAUUACUUUGCUUCUUACUCCUCCAACUUUUUAUACCUAAUUAACAUAUCCAUGCAUACAUGGCCUAUAUGGUCGACAUUUUUUGCAUUCCCAAAGGUGACAUGGUCUACAUUAAUAUUCUUGAUGUGAUAAUUUAAUAUGUGAUCAUGAAGAAUUUGUUUUAAUCCUAGUCUAGUUUUUUUUUUUUUUUGUCAUGAGGCUCUUAUUUUUAUCACUAGUCCUUGACACCAUGUCGCUGCGAUGACCUUUGUUUUAUCCCUGGCAUCGAACCUUUUUUUUUUUUUGUCAUGAGGCAGUUGUUUUAUCUCUGGCCCUUGACACCAUAUGUUGUUGCGAUGGCGCUUGUUUUAUUUUUGGUCACCAACUUAUUUAUUUUUUUGUUAUGAGAUGCUUGUUUUAUAUAUUUCUGGCCCUUGACACCGUGUCGCUGCAAUAACGCUUGUUUUAUCUCUGACCUCCAGCUUACUUAUUUUUUUUGUUAUGAAGCACUUGUUUUAUCUCUUGCCCUUGAGUACACCAUGUUGUUGUAAUGACACUUGUUUUAUCCCUGACCUCCAACUUAUUUAUCCAUUUGUCUUGAAAUUAUAGUAAUUUAAGAGAUUAUAAAUUAAAAGUUUAUGUUUUUAUCGAUCGCUGGCCUCCAGCUUAUUUUUUUUUGGAAGCUUAACCAUAAUGGCAUUAACAUUGUUGAUCAUCUCCAGCAUUGUAUGCCUUACAUGUUCCCUGCUUAUCUUUUUAUUCAUUAUAUAUUUGCUUGGCAAUUUUGAAACAACAUUUUAGAGGCUUUUGGAUGGUCUAGUGCUCACUCCAACAAUAUUUAUGACAUCCUAAGCUCUUUAAGGGUGAGACACCCAUUCUUUAGUUGCAAGAAGAUUAUUUGGUUGGCUAUUCUUCGCCUUACUUUUAGAAUUUAUGGGGCAUGCGUAGUAGGCAUUUCAUUCGGAUUCUGCUUUCUAUUGUACUUUCUUUUGCAUUGUAUUGUCCACGUUUAUUUAUUGGUGUAAAAUUGACUGUAAAAUUGAGCACCCAUUUAACAGCUUUAGCUUUUCUGUCUACUUUCCAAUUGGUGCUCUUUUGUAAUUACCUCUAGGUGCUUGGGGUUUCCCUUUAUUUCAUUUUUACCAAUGAAAUGGUUCUAAUGAAAAAAUGCUUAGAAAACCUUAAAAUACAUUUCAUACAAUGUAUUGUUGAAUCACUCUUUGGUCUAUUGUGAACAUCAUUCAGCUUUGUAUAGCUAACCCAAGUACUGUUACAAGUCUUUUAAGUGAGAAAUCAUUCUUUUAGAAAAAAAAAAUAUUCUUUUGUAUAUAUUUUUCCAAUGCAAUUGAAGAUGUAUAGAGGCAAAUACGACCUGAGCAAGAAUAUACUUUUUUUAUACAUCUAAAUAUUACUCUCUUCAUUAUUUUUAUAAGAGGAAUAAACUCUUGGAACUUGGAAGCAAAUAAUUCCAUUUUCAGAACCUACAUUUUGAAUCAUAUGUAACAUCAAAUUACUCUCAAAGCAGUCUCUCUCGUAUUGUUGCGACUCUCUUAACUAUCCAUUCAAAAUGCAAGUCAACUUUGUUUUUGGUGUUUACUUUAUUGAUACUCUCAAGUUUACUAAAUUGCCAUUCAAUCCUUCUCUCCUCUCUCGUAGCCAACAAAAAUAAAUUAAAAAAAAAACAAAAAAACAUAAGCUUUCUUCCAAUAAAACAAUAGCCAAAUUGAUUCCUGUAAAUACACUUAAAUAUCCCUUUCAGGAUACAACUUUCAGAGUUUACAAACAGAUACAUUUUUUCCUUAAAUAAAAGUAGAAGUUCCAAGAAGGGAAUCUAAGAAAUUUAGGCUUGGACAGAGAUGGUGGGUAUAAAUAACCCAUUAGAGCUGUACAAAAGAAAAAUAGCAUUACUAUGGUAAGACAAGCAAGUGUCGUCAUCGUGUUUGUCGCUGUCAUUGCUGUUGUCAUCAUGACAGUAUCAAACGAAGAAUUUCUCCGGAGUGCUUAAAAGAUUUUUCAGUUUCCUCAAGGCAAUGGUUCUUCUCCUCCCUACUCCAGCUCUGGUAUAAGAACAAAUAGUAAUCAACAUUGUGUUUAGUAUAGCUUUAUCGAAAAAAAUGGUUUGGUAGAACGGAAAUUACAAAAGGACAUUCUAGGAAGGAAGAGAGUGACUUACUUCGGCGACUUUGUUCAGCUUCUCCCUUACGUUCUGCAAUAUUUGGGAAAGGUCACCGUCCCAUUUAUAAAAUUCCAACUCCUUGUUGUCGAGUAUCUUUUCUGCUACCUGAAGUAGAUGAACGUAGAAGUGUGUGAGACCAAGUCAAAUUAUAGUUGCAAGGGAAGAACUAACACAGCUUGAAGACAGGAAAGGAUUACGUGGAAACGUAGAUUAUAUGAUAGUUAUGUACAUGACUGUGAAAUUCCAACAAAUAUAACGUUUUGACACUUUUAAAUAGUUCGUUGCAACUUUAGGACAAGUAACAAUAGCCAGCUGAAUUAUGCUCAAAACAAAUACUUUCAAUCUUUAUAUGGUAGAUUAUACAAUAGUUCUGUGUAGGGAGCACAUCAUAACUAAAAAUCGUUCACUUUAAGUCUUUUACUAUCAACUCAUGGCAGUCAACUCAAAACCAAUCAUGUAACAAGAAGAACGAAUAUGAACAUAUGGUGAAUGUGAAUAUGCAUACAUAUAUAUACAAAGCUCAGAAAGAGAUUUUCAAGAAAAUGUUUGUUUACCUUUCGCCCAAUCAUUCUACCACCAGCAGUGUGGGCAAAGUAUAUAUUGUAAAAAUGGCAAAUAAAUGCUUGAGGAUCCUUUUCCGACAGCUCUUCGAGAUAACGAGCAUAGGUGACUCCAGGAGAAGAAGGUUCUGGAAUGGCAUAGCCUUGUUCUUUGAACCACUCCAAAUCUUUUGCCAAUGGUUCAGACCUUUCCAAUCCUGUGCUACUGAACUCUGCAUCUAUUACCACAUACAAAAGCCUUUAUCAAUUUCCCACAAUAAGCUUUCCUACGAAACUUUAGUGUGAACUUGAAGAAGAAUCAUGCACAAAGCUUAAGUGUCAUAAAGAUUACUAAACAAAAUUUAAAUAAGCCUUCAAAUCAUAAUCAAGCAGAUCUAACUUAACAAUAUAACAACAGAUCCUAAUUUCUCCACCCACAUAUAUCUUGGAAAGGUCUUGCCAAUAACCUUCAACAUAAUUUGAGUAGUAGCCAGUGUAUCCAUAGAUGAUUUUCUACUUGAUAAAAGAAAACGAGAGAGAGGGUACAACAAAGUCGCUUACUUUAUCCAAACUUGGAAAGACCAUCAAUGUCAGAAAUCAAAAAGAAAUUAUGGGUUUUGAUGUUUAAAGGAUCAAGAUCGAUAACUGAAAAGAAGAUCAAUUGGUGCAGAUUCAUGUAUGCAAAGGACUAACAUUCAGACGACUUCGCAGUAAUAAACUCAUAAUCAAUUCAGUUACUCACAUAUGUCAUUCAUAGAGCUUUAUGUUGUCUCCUGUAACUUAUCAACCAAACCACCACUAAUACCCCCAACCCUCUUUCUCAACACUAGCAUAAACAAAAUACAUGUGAUUUUUCAUGGAAGAGAAGGCCGGUUAGGAGAAUCAGAAGCUCGCGAAGCUAUUGGAAGUUAUUUUAUCUUCAAAGAAAAAUAAAUUAACUGCACAAUAGUGCACAUCUUUCUCUUUUUCGUUUUAAUGAGACAACAGUGCACCGAUUCAAAAAAAAAAAAAAAAAAAAAGCUCAUGCAGCAAAAUCAAAUCACUGUAACCCCCAAAAUUCAAACUAGAAAAGUUCAUAAUAAAAUAUUCAGCGAAGGAAUAUACUGAAUAAGACAAACAUGAGCAUUAUAAGUAAAAACUGGAACAACAUUUGCUACGGCCAGAGUGAAUCCAAGAAAUCAGGAAACAAAAAAUUUGAGGAAACAAGGAAAUCAGCAAAAACAACUUACAGGAAGGAAACGCAGCCUUGGCCAUGAUUCUAUCCAGAGUAUCGUAAACAAGUUUACUAUCCACAAGAAACUUCAAAUACCCUUCAACAGUCGGCUCCCAUUUAGCAACAGGCCCUUCUUGGGGUUCUUUAGUAACUUUCUCACCUUCUUUCGCUUGAUCCCUAGUAUGCAAUUUCAUCGCCACAAACCUCAUCUCCUCAACAAACCCUUUAGAUUCACCAGGGUACCUCUUCUGCGGCUUCUCCGCAGUAGUAGCCGAAACAAAGGGCACAGUCCUCAUUCGAACUGUUGAAAUCCCAACUGGAUUCUUCUGAAAUCGAAGGGAAAAAGGAACCCGUUUGUUGGGUAAGAAACAGGAAUCGAAAUUUGGGUUCGAAAAAGAAGUGGGAAUUACGAAAAGGGUAUUUUUGAGAAGGGAUUGAGAAGGGGAAAGUGAGUUAAUGGAAGCCAUAAUCGAAGAAACUGAGUAGUGGGUAAGUAGAUUGAAGAGUGUAAGAAAGAGUCGAAAGAAAGAAAGAAAGAAGGAAGAAAAGAGAGAGAUGGCUUGAACAAGGGGUUCACGUAAUCUUGAAGAAAAAGCUAUGGAAGAGGAAACUAAAGAAAACUGAUGGUACCAAAUAAUUUGAAGAUGACGGGGGAACGGAGAAGCAAGGUUAAGGAAUGGAGAUUCAGUCGCUGCUGGAUAACUCCAACCAACGUGUGUUUAUUUAAAGCGCAUUUUUUCCUUAAUUAUUUUUUUCUUUUAGACAAAAUUAAAUUGGAAAAAGUAUAAUUUUUUUAUUAUUAAAAAACUGUUCCAUUUAACACAAAUUUGGAACUAACUAAAUUGUUCUUAAAAUAACAUUUACCAUUUCUGUUAAAGUAUUUAUUAUUUCCUUUUCAAUUCAAAUUGAUUUGUAUAUUAUUUUUCUGGUAAGAAAUUAUUUCUUAAAUUUAAAUUUCAUCAGUUGUAUCCACUUUAUCAAAUUCUGCCUUAAACUUAGAUGAACUUUGUAAAGUUCACAAAAAAAAGUAAUAAUAAUAAACAUGGUUUUAAAAAAAUUCUUAAUUUCAAUGAUUUAUAAAAUUAAAUGUCGAUAAAUUAUUAUGAAUUUUCAUACGAAGCUUAUAAAUUUGAGGAUUAACCAUGCCUUCAUCAAUUUUUACUCAAACUAACAAGUUUUGAGAGAUUUUUACUGUUCCUUAAAAAUGAAAAGAAAAUUAUCAAAAAUAAAACAAUAUUUGACAAAAUAUUUUUAGUGAUUAAUUUUGUUGGAUAAAUAAUUUAUCUUUUUAUUUUUGAAAAAAUCUCUUACAAAAGCUACAUUCUUAUUUUUAAAAUCCAAUAACAAAAAUGGACAAGAAUGAUUGAAAUUUCUCCUUCAUGCCUAUUAUGUUUUUUGUUGUUUAUUUUUUUAAUUUAACUGUACAAUUAUAAAUUCUACCUCUAAUUUAAAUGUGUUGAUUUCAAUCUUAAAAGAAUUGUGUUAGACACGAAUUAUCUUGAAAUCAACGUUUUGAGACAGAAAAAACAAGUUUUAUAGUCCAAGAAAAUAUCACUUUUGUAGGAAAGUAUUCGUGGACCGAAUAAAAACAAUCUAAAAUGAAAAUUUUAAUAGCUUCCUAAAGAAAAGACUAAUGCCACAUCAUUUUAAUGUCAAACAUAUCACUACAUAAAAUAUCAUAAAAAUAAUAAAAUUAUAUAUAUAUAAAAUAAUCUUGAUGUCUUGGGUGAUUCAUAUCACUAUUUUAAAAAUAAAAAAACUAUUAGUUUUCAAGCUUCAUAUUUUAAAGGCUAAGCUAUAAAAUAGUUUUUUUACAAAAUAAAGAAAUCUCAAUAUAAACUUAAACAUUUGUUAAGUUAUUUGAUAUUAAACUUUUUCUUUUUAUAUAAUAGAAACAUCAACUCAAAAUAUAAAAAUAUCAUUACAGAUAGAAAUCUAAUAGCAUCCAUGAUACUAAACUCGCUUGCUGAACCUUUUUAAAAAAUUAAAAUUAUAAUGAAAAAGUAAAUUUGAAUAUAUACAAAAUCUUAUGCCACUUUUCUCAACAAUAUAAAAAUUCUUCCCUUUCAUUAAGCACUUCUCUUUUAAUAAAGAAAACAAAGAAAACUACUCCACGUGGUCAACCGAUUUAUAUUUCUUUAUGAUAAUUUUUAAAAAUAGAAAAAUGAUUGUAAAAUUUUAAUCAACCUUCAAAAUAUCUAUUAUUUUUUUACUAUAAGAGAUAAAUACUUUUUAUUUUUUAUUUAUUUAUGUAAAUUUCUCUUUCCUUUUUACUUUCAUGAAAUAAGAAAAGUUAAAAUCAAGUAUUUACAUUAUUGUCCAAAGUAAAAACAAAACUUAUUUAGUGACAAAAACUAAUCUGUAAAGUCAACUUAUAUUUAUGCCAAAUUAUCAGAUUGAGAUCUCCAUAAGAAAGAUACGAUUUUAAACUUUCCAAUCUUCACAAAAGAAGAAGAAGAAAAAAACUUUAACAUAAGAAAAAUGCUCCCAUUUAAGUACGCUUACAUAUUUUAUUCUACUUUUGACAUUUAUUUAUAUUUAUGUUCAACUCAGUCUUCCAAAGUUUGAAAAUUGAAUUUUCAUAUCCAACUUUCCAAAAUGAAACUUUCUUAUUUUUAUUAAAAAGUAAAUUGAAGGAAGUUCUAAUAAAUAAAAAUUUUGUUAUACUUUCCAAGUUUGAAGUUGAUAUCUAUUUAAUUAUUCAAGUUUGAAAACAAACAUUUUAGUUUUGAAGUUUGAAAAUUAGUUAUAACUUUUAAAUGGUCUAUGAAGUGUCAUGAACCGUUGGUUAACUAAUGAAAAAACAUGAUGUGUUCAUUGAAUGAUGAGUUAGAUAGCUAAUAACAAGUUUUAUCUUAAAACCAAUUGGUAAUUAAAAGAGUAGUCCAUCUAUCUUAUAUGGUAUGCAAACAAAAAUACCUGCAGCGGUAGGUUAUAUAUUUUGGGGUGAAUAAUUUUACUUAUUAAAUCUUUUAAGUACUAAAUUCAAAAUUUCAAUGUAAAAAGAAAAAAGUAUACCUAUACUAAAUUAGGUUUAUGCUGUAAUAAUACUUUUGAGCUAAUAAUUACUACCUAAAUGUAUUUGCUACAUAAAAGUAUGAUUCAUUAAAUGAGUUAAAAAGAAUAAAAUUUAAGAAUUCUUUCAAGUGUUUCGAGUUGAAUCCUUAGCGACAAAAAGAUAUAUUAAAGUAGCUCAAUUUGAUAAUAAUAAUUUCUUUUUAAAGAAAAUUGAAUCAUAUGACAAAAAAAGAAAAAAAGAAUAGUUGAUAGGAUCUCUUUUCUAUCUAUAACAAAUAUGACAAAUAUGAUAAGUAAUUAGAUAUAUUAGAUGGAGACUAGUAGAUAUUAAAAAAGUAUUUACUUCUAAAUUUGCUACUUUUUAUAUUUAGAAAAUGUAAUAACAUGAGUUGUAUUAUCAUAAAAAUAUUUUUGCUAUUUUUGAAAAUGUGCCAAAUUUUUAAUGAUUGAGGAAAUUUAAUAGCCUAGUGUGUAAUAUAGAUUGAAUAAAAGUUUAAUGUGUAAUAAAAUGCAUAAUUAAAUCGAUUGAGUUUCUUACAAAGAAUCUCAAAUGCAUUAAUUUUUUUGCUAUACCUUUCAGACCAAUAAUGCACACAAUUGUGUUGACUAAAUUUUAAAUUGUUUGGAAUUUAUUUAAUAGAAUACUUCAUGGACAAUUCAGUUCAUUUUUUAAAUGGUUAAAAGUGACGGAUUUAAAAUUGAUAUUACAAUGUGGUAAAUUUAAAAUUUGAUUUUUUAUAACUGUUUGAUAACUGUCUUAUAUUACUAAUUAUUUGUUAUAUUUAUCAUAUUUAUAAUACAAAAAAAGAAAAAUGUCAUGAACUGUUUUUUUAUAUAUUUUUAUCAAACUUUACAUGUACGUGUAUAUAGAAGAUAAGUAAACAAAUAUUUAUAUGAUCUUAACAAAUCUAAGAUAUUUAUGACUUUUCUUGAUUUCAUACCAGGAUGAAAAUAUUCAUGUUUAUAUGUAGAUAUAUUAUCGUAAAAUAUGAAAAUGGUAAUUUAUUUAAUUAAAUAAUAUUACUAGUAAUAAUAUCUCUAACUUCACUUAGUUAUUAAUCUAAAUAAAUCUUAAAUUUUGUAACUUACAAACAAAAUAUCUAUAAAAUUAAAAUUAAAAUGAAAAUUACAUUGGAUAACAAAAAAAAAAAAAUUAGAAAAAAAUAUUUUUGUAUAUUGCGAAUAUGACAAAUAUGACAAGUAAUUAAUGAUGUCAAAUGAUUAUCAGAUGAGUAUUAGAUGAUUAUCGAAAGGUUAUUAGACAGUUAUUGCUUUUAAAUUUGAUGCUGAUACAAAUUUAGAAAAUGUUGGGAUAUAGAUUUUAUUAUCAUAAAAAUUUUACUAUUUUUUUUAAAUUUUAAAUUAAAAUCUCAAUAAUUGAUGUGAGCUCUUAUGUUAGAAUUUAAAGGUUUAAUCAUGAUUCUCGUGGUAUUUAAAAAAAGUAAAAUCUAGGCAAGUUGCAAGGAAUAAUUGAAAUUUAAUAAUUUUAUUGAUUCGAUGUAAAUUUGGAUUUUGAUGCUGAAGAAGAGUGUCACAUCUAAUGUGCAAUAUUAUAUAUUUUGAAUGCUAACGGUGUCUAAUAUUUAACUUAUAGACGUAGCUAAUGUUUAAUUGGAAUGGAAAAGCAUUCCAAGUCAUAUGAUAAAGAGAAGUUAUUUUGAAAUUAUUUAGUGUUACAAUAGUUUAAUUUCUUAUUUUUAUAUUUGGUAAUAAUGCACAUGCCACAUUUUUCUAUUGAAAAAAGAGUAUGUCCAAAAUAAUAAUAAUAAAAAGAAUAUUAUGGCCAGAAAGUAUGAUAGUAAAAGUAGCAAUAAAUAAAAUAAGUAAAGUAAAAAGCUGGAUUAUCAUGAAAGUGAAAAUGUAAUUAUACUUUGAAGGUUUUCUGUGGUAUUUUAAAAGUUAUCCACUCCCUUUUAAAAAAAAAUUGCAUCAACCAUCUUAUCCUAGUAAGUCUUUCCUUUCGAUACUGUAAAAGUUUUGUUAUUUCAAAAGAAGUGUUACACACAUUCUUAGGGACAAUCAAUUUUUAUUGUAAAAUUAAAAUUUUAAAUAUAAGUGACAGAUAUAAAACUAUUAAGAAAAAUAGAUGUUUUUAAAGAAAAUUGUAAACUGUUACACAAUUUCCACUAGAUUACACACUUUCUAUUUUUCUCUUAUUUUUCUCUUUUUUUUUUUUUUUGCGAGAUCUCACACUUUCUUCUUUUUAUUAUUUAUAUACACUUACAUAUUCUUCUUUCCCUCGUUAAUAUAUAUAUUAAAUAUUUAAUUUCUAAACAUAUCUUUCUUUACUAAAUUAACUUUUUUUAUUCUAUAUAUUAAAUAUCUCAAUCUUAAUUUUUUAAAUUAAAUUUAUCAUUUUUUAAUUUAAUUUACAAAAUUAUAUAUAUAUAGUGAAGAUUGAAGAUGAGAUAUUUAAUAUAUAUAUAUAUAUAUAUAUAUAUAUAUAUAUAUAUAUAAAGAUUUUAAAAAAAAUUUAAUAAAGAAAUAUAUUUUUAGAAUUUGAAUAAUUAAUAUAUAUAUAUAUAUAUAUAUAAAUAAAAGGGAGAAAAAGAAGAAUUUGUGGUACUCCAUCAUAAUAUAUAUAAAUAAUAUAAAAAGAAAGAAAGUGUGAAGCUAAAGUAUUAUAUAUAUUAAAUAUUUUAAUUUUCAUUUUUUUAUUAAAUUCAUCUUUUUUAAUUUAAUUUAAUUAUUUUAAAAAUUAUACUUAUCUUUUUUAAAUUUUUAAUUAAAAAAUAUAUAUUAACAAAAUAUGUUAUUAAAUAUAUAUAUUAACAAAUUAAAAUAAAAAUAAUAAUAAUUCAGCCAAGAUGAAGCUUACUUUCAAAAUAAUAAUCCCAACCAUAAUUUUUAAUAAAAAGUUAUUAGUUAAGUUUUUCUAAUUUAAUUUGCAAUCAAACCACAAUUUCCAUUUAUCACCUUUAAAUUAUUUUAUUAUUCUUUUUUUUCUUUUGUCAUAAAUAUUAAAUUUUUUAUUCAAUUACCAUAUGAUGAUCAAGUACAUUCCUAGCUUCAAUUGUUAUUAUUAUUAUUAUAAUGUUGGGGUAAGUUAAACUUCUCUUAAUUAUUAUUAUUACUAUUUUAAUUUGUUUAAUAUAUUUUUAGUAACAUGUUGGGUUAAUAUAUAUGUGUGUUUUUUUUUUAAAGAAAUUGAAAAUUGAAAAGAAAUAUAUUAAUUAAAUUAAAUUGAAAAAAGAGAGAAUUUAACACAAAAAGGAUAGAGUGAGGUAUUUAAUAUAUUUAUAUAUAUAUAAGGAAUAAGAAAAUGAAAAAAAUAAGUUAAUUUAAUAAAGAAAUAUAUUUUUAAAAACUGAAUAUUUAAUAUAUAUAUACACAUUAAUGAAAAAAAAAGAAUACGUGGAACCUAUUUAUAUUGUAUAUAAAUAAUGAAAAAAAAUGAAAGUGUGAGAUAGAGCCGAAUAUAUAUAUAUAUAAAAGAGAAAAAUGAAAAGUGUGGAGUCCGGUCUAUGAAAAUUGUAUAUCCCGUCUACAAUUUCAUCUAAAAAUAUCUAUUUUUAUAAAUAAUUUUGUAUUUAUCAUAUUUUGUUAGAUGUGUUUCAAAAUUUAUAUUAUUUUUUAAAAAGUUUUCAAAUAGAAAUUAAACUCAAAAUCAACUUUCCUUUCCUGCAUUUUUCUUUUAUGGAUAUUACAUUGUUAAUAUUAUUUUAAUUUAUUACUAUAUAAAAUCAUCUCUCUUGUAUAUAAUAUUGUUUGCUAUUAAUAUAUUUCAUUAAUAUGAUUUGGCAUUAUUAUAUAUUUCAAUUUGAUAAUAAAAUUCGUUUUUUUUAUGGAGGUUCGAGAGCAUUGGAGAAGGAAAGGGCAAGUUGGGUAUCUUGGGAUUGGGAAAUAUGAAUUAUAUUUUUCUCCACUUGGUUUUAGAAAUUGAAGAGUCCAAGACACGAUGUUUCAAACAAAUAAAAUAUAUAAAAAGAAAAUCUUAGAUACGUGACAGGUUGCACCUAAUCCUAAUAAUGUAAUACCAUAUUUUGUUAUUCAUCCUUUUUUUUAAGUAUCCUUCUAAAAAAUUAUGGUUCGGUAGAAGGGGCCUAUAUGAAAAUUGAGUUAUGGGCGUGCAAUCAAUUAUUCUUAUUAAAAUAUGUCAUUAUUUUAGUCUGUCAAUUGUUAUAGUUAUUUUUGGGAUAGUUUAUUAUAGUCUAAAUUAUUAUAAUCUUAGUUUUAAGUGUAAAUUAUUAUAAUUUACCUGAUCAACCUACACAUGUUACUAACAUCUCAUCUAGUGACAUAUCCACUCCUUUGCUAUACAUCGUCGCGAUAUCUUGAUAAUGUGAAUCACCAAGGGGAGCACCGCCAUUAAAAUUGCAAUGCACAUUAGAUCCCACAUCAGCAAAUUAAGGUCUCCGAACGUGCUUCUGUUGCCAAAGACAUUAGACAGAUCAUCAUAAUAUGGAAAUGAUUUGUGUAGAAGGCCUUUAACUGCAGGAUGACUUUGUACAAACAUAAUUCAGACAAAUUAGUUGAUGAUUGGGAUUAUAAAAGUACAUAAAAUUGUAAUGUGAAAUUAAUACCUUAACCCAACUAUCAAACAACUCUCGUUCUGCGAUGCAUUUCAAGCAGGGGAAGGAGGACAUUCCUCUCCAUUACGAUGAAGCGUAGAUCAUCAUUAACCAAAAUCAUAUUCAAGUUUGACUUCCAUGCCGCAUAAUUUUCACCGGUUAAUUUUUCGUUUUUAAGCAAUUGAAUAAUUGAAAAAGACAUGUUGAAACAAUCAAUUGACUGUAUUAGUUAUCUUUGUCUUAACCCAUUACAUAAAAUAAUCUAAUCAAUUCAACAAAAACAAGCAAUCAAAGAACCCUAAUCAAACAAAUAAUUUAGUUUUUGCAACGAUACUUCAAAAGUUUAGAGCAACAACCACCAAAGGGUGAUCAACUACUCCUCUCUUGAAUUGAGACAAUCUCAACUAAUAACUAAUACCAGAAUAACUCAUGUUCCUAUAGUUCUUAGCUAUCGUUGUUCGAUCAAUAAUUCAUUAACUAACUUAAUUUAUCCCUUAAGUGUGACCCUACAUUUUCAUAUCCUAGAGGUACGCUUCAACAAGCUACCGAAAGGAAAGACAAUUGUUGAAGAUUAACUUAAGAAACUUUAUCCAUUUCUAGAGUUUGCAUUGUUCUGACUUCAACAUUCAAGCCCUCCGAAUGGAUGGUUGUGCUAAAAUGACACGUUGGCGGAUCAUAGAAAUCUUUAGUGAAACCUAAUGGAGGAGACCGUAGGAUACAUUGACACAUGUCCUUCUCCCACUUACUAUGAAUAUUUCCCCUAUUCACUUUGUUAUUGACCCACACAAACACUCUCCGAAGGGAGGCCGCUCUCAGGGUGACACGAAGUCGAAUAUGAAUCUCACGUGUGAACUCUUAGGGACGUGAGAGCUAAAAAUUGAUAUAUCACAUAUAUACCAUUUUUCUUCCACUAAAAUGUUCUAUUAAUUUAAAGUUUGCUGUAUUUAGCUAAAUCCCGGCUAAAUGAAUCGUCUAUUCUUAUUAUAACUAUUAUAAUAAAACUUUACUAUAAACUUUCUAGAUGCAUUAAACUAUUUAAUUUACCUAGUGACAUCUCAUUCUUAAUAGGAAUAAAGUUAAUUCAACGUCAGUUCAUGGUCAGUUUUCAGGUAGGAGGUGUUCCAUAAACCGUCAAUUUAAGUACUCCUAGCCUUAGACAAAACUUUAUUGGUCUCCCCUUAUAACCUUAAAUCCUAUUCACGCUUAAGGUUUCUAUGUGUAUAUUAAACCAUUUAAUUUACCUAGUGGCAUCUUAUGCUAAUAAAAAUAAGAUUAAUUCAACGCCAGUUCCGGCUCAGUUCCCAGGUAGGAGGUGUUUCGUAAACCGUCAACUUAAGUACCUCCAGCCUUAGACAAAACUUGACUGGUGGAGUUCUUUAUGACAUUAUCCUAUUUGUCCUACUUAGUUUCAUUAAAAUUUAAAAAAUAUAAUUAUAAUUCUAUUAGAAUUAAUGUGAUCUUAGGUCUAUUUAAUUUUAAAUAAUUUAAAAUUAAACCAAAUUAAUCCUAAGAUCUUAUGUUUGUAUGCAACUCUUUAUUAUAGGUUGACGGUUUCUAAUUAUCAAAAUUUUAUAACAUUAUAAAAUUAAUUAAUUAAUCCUAUAAUAUGCAUACUAUGGUUUAAUUAAUUAAAAUAAUUUUUUAUUAAAAAAAUAAAUAAUGCAACAUGCUAAACAUUACAUUAAUAUAACAAUUAUAUUAAUAUAUGAAUGUAAUAUACUCGAUGCAAAUUGAUUUUCAUCUUAAUUAAUACAACACAUUAAAAAGAAUAAUGUAAAUCAACCAAGCAUACAUAAGACAUUAAUUUAAAUAUAAUAAAUUAUAUUUAACUAAGUAAUGUCAUGCAUCAUUCUUAUCCAAUUUCAUAUAUUUAAAAUAUCAACGAACUUUAAAUAGCUUAUGAAAUUCAAAAUUAUACAUUAAUACCGUAUAUUAUAACAUUUCUAAUAUAUAAAAAUGCAUGAACAUACUUAGAAAAUCAUGCAACUAAAAUAUAACCCUUAUAUUUGAGAACAGUGCAUGAUAAUUAUAAUUCUAAGGUGAAAUUUUAAAUUAUAUGACAUACUUUACGCACAUAAUUAAUUUAAUCAUACAUAAAAUAUAAAGAUUAAAUAGCAAAAUAGAUCGAAUUUGACAUCUCUAAAAAUUAAAUUAAACAUAAAACAUAAUAAUAGAUUAAAUAGCAAAAUAAACCAGAACCGAUGAUGACCUCGUUCAAAGAUAAAGGAUUAGCCACUGCAACAGCAAUCGGUUAUUGUUCAUCAACACAUGGAAAAUGUAUAUCUUCGUUUCAAAUUUUCCUUUUUUUUUUAAAAAAAAUCAAAUUCGCUACUGCAUCGAAAUCGUCACUUCACACUAACUCUUGUCAUCGAAAGCCAUCGAACGACACUGACUUACAUACUCGAUUAUAGAAUUAAAAUGUCCAAAACAACAUGCCUUUUACAUCAAUUAAAUAAAUGAAAAACUGUAAUAUAAGGUGCCAAAAUCGAACAUCUACUUUGCAAAAACCAUUCAUAAUGCAAAAAUAAAAAUCUCACCUAAACCAAUGCAAAUUUUGAAAUUCCCAAUUAAAAUUUGAGAUGACUCUGAUACUAAUUGAAGGGAUAAAAGUCUCGUGGCAGCGAAAGAUUUUAAAAAAUUAUUCCUCAAAUUAAUUUGAAAAUUCCAAAAUACCAAUACAUUGGCAAAAAUUUAGAAUCAAAAUUCUAAAUAAAAAACUAAGCAUGCUUUUUAUUUAAAAGAUAGAGAGAACUUACUUUUGUUGACGUUUCUAAAUCUGCAGACCACCAAAUUAAGACAUUACCCGUCAAAGACCUUAUCAUUUGAGAUGAGAUUGGUUUGUGAGAACCAAUUGUGAUGGAAAAAAGUUUCGAGGUAUUUGAGAGAAACUCUUUACAUUUUGCACAGUACAAAAACCUUGACUUUUUUUUCUUAAUCAAUUCGUUAAAGAAAUCUGUUUUCUUCUAGAUAUUUACAACUCACUUUCCUUCUUGGAAUAGGAAAAGGAGUAGGAGCCAACAAUGAGAUUCUAUUAUUAAAUCUACUAAUUAAUUAACAAUUAAUCAAUUAGUUAAUAAUUAAUAAUUUAAUAUUUUAUUCAAAUCUUAUUUGAAAGAAUCUUUCCAAUAUCUUAUAGAUUUAUAUUAAUAAAAAUAAAAUUAUAUUUAAUUAAUAUUUCAUUUAAAUCAUAUUUGAAUGAAUAUAUCUCCAAUAUUUUAUAGAUUUAAUUAAGGAAUUUUUUUAAAAAUAAUAGAUUUUACAAAAUAUUUACAACAUAUAGCAAAUUCUAUCACUAAUAGUCAUUGAUAUGUUAUAGUGAUAGAAGACUAUCAGUGAUAAAAUUCAAAAUUUUGCUAUAAUUUGUAAAUAUUUUAAUUUAUUUUUCUAUUUUUAAAAAUGUCCCUUUAACUAAAUCAAAUUUAAUUAAAUAAAACUAAAUUAUUAAUUAAUUCUUCAAUUAAUUAAUAGCUAAAUUAAAUAUCUUAGAUUUAACUUAAAUUAAAAUUGAAUUAUAUUCAUGUUGAAAUUUUUUGUCCUAAAACUCGUAGUUUGUAAAUCAUAUUCUGUUCAAUAAAGUUGUUAUUGAGAAAUUAAAUAUUAUAAUCUUAAAUCCAAUAAAUCAAGUUCCAAGGCUAUUUUUGAAUAAACUUGAACUUUAUGUGUAAACAUAAACGUGGAUCAAGUUCGAGUAUAUAGCCUAAAUAGUCUAUAGUAUAUGAAAUAAAGGUUGGGCGCCUUAUUUAGAGAAACUAUGGAUGCGGCCCACUUUGUAGUACAAACGAGGUGAUCCUAAUCGUUCAUGUAGAGACAUGAAAGUGGGGGCAUCCUAUGUAAAAUGUUUACAUAAGACUGAACCAUGAAUUAGUCAUUUUUACGUUAUAACACCGUUUACUGUUUAAAACUGACUAUCUCAAUUAUUGAUGACCUAGGUAACUUAGUCUUAAUCCUGAGUUAACUAUGAACUCCUGUUCACACGAGAUUAUCCUUAGAUCUGCAUAGGUGAGGGCAGCUCAUCAGCGUUGGCCCAAUAAGCCUCCCAUUUCAGGGGUAAGAUCGGGUGGAUAGCUGGGAACAUAGGGUACAAGAUGGAAUUCACUCCUACCCGCUUUAGGGUUAGUAGAUAGGUUGCUCUCUUAAGCACUGAAUCCAAGUCUUGAACAAGGGGCCCCACCCUCUCAUUGGCCCGAGAGGGAUUAAGUUUAUAGGUUGAACCUUAAACCAAUUGUUCAAUAGUGGAUUAGUGGGACUUAAGGAGCAAGAUGUAAUCUUGGGGGUAAAACGGUAUUUUGACCCAGCCAAGGUUACGAGCAACCUGUGAAGGAUUAACUUACUGAUUAUGGUUUUAUCAAAUGGACACAAAUAUAUCUAUAGUGAGGGGAGUGCAACUACGGACUUUAGUGGAAUGACCCGUUAGUUAACGAAUGUUGAUUAACUCGGUUUAAAAGAGUUUAGCUAGUUAAUCUUGAAUCGUUGGAGCCCAUGAUCUAUAGGUCCAUUAGGUUCCUCUGCUAGCUCAUAUGGAUUAAACUUAGAACAGUGUGAUGAAAUAAGUCGAAUUGUUCGAAUUGGGAGAAGAAAGGGAAACCGACAAAUAUAGUGAUAUAGUCGUCGGUCUUCUAAUUAGAAAUAGAGCUUUAUGUUUUACAUACUAUAAGUAUGAAUGCGGAUUCAUACUAAGAAGCUCGGAAUUGAUGGAAUUGGUCAAAAAUAGUAAAAAGUCAAAAUGUUGACUUUUUGACUUUGAAAAGUCAAACUUUGACCGGCCUUAUAUUCAAAUGUGAUUUGAAUUUUGGAAAAAUGAAUGCGGAUUCAUGCUCGGGAGGUUGGAAUUAGUCAAGACGGACAAAAUGGUAAAAAGUCAAAAUAUUGAAUUUUGACUAAGAAAAGUCAAAGUUUGACUUUUGACUGGAAAUAUCUAAUGACCAUUUUACCCUUGGACUAAGUUAGUGGGAAAAUCCAACAUUUUGUUGGAUAGUCCCACUAACUCUUAGUGGGAUAUGUGGCUAUAUGAGAUAUAGACACCUAGCCCACUAAGUUCCACAAAUUGUUAGUGGAACAUUAGGUGUUGAGAUUUGGCAAAUGAAUUGCAUGCAUUUUUGCAUGUAAUUAGGCUAUAAAUAGAGGUGUUUUCAAAUGUUGAAGGACUUUUGCCUCUUUUAUCAUUUUCAUCAUCUCAACAAAAGAAAAAAGAAAGCUUCCAAUCUCAUUUUAUCUCCAUUACUUUCUACACCAAAAUUGGGUCCCACAACCCAGUUCUUUGUCUAGAGGAUAGUAGUUGAGUACUAGUGGUGGUCUCGGUUAGAAUUGGUAAGAAGAUAUCAAACCUUUUGAAAGCUUCAAAGGUAAUAUUUCUUAAAACCCUAAUUUGAUUAGUUUAUGGUUAUAUGUUAAUUGUGGCAAUUAGGGUAGAAAUUCGAUUCUUUUUCCGCUGUGCAUCACUUAGUUCUAACAAUUCAAAUAUAAAUUUCUCUCAUAACCAAUAAUUUUAAUAUGAAUCCAAUUCAGAUUAAAUUAAUAUUUGAACUCAUUCAAAUAUUUUAUCUCUUAUAAAUUAAUUUUGAAAUAUCAAAAAUUAAAUUUAUAUAAUAAAGUUUGAUAAACUUUAUAUUAUAAUAGAUCACUAUACAUUAAACUAAUUUUUAAAGUAAAUUUGAACAUUUCAAAUUAUAAAUAAAUCUCAUUACCCUUUACGAGUUAGGAAUGGGACCUAAUAGAUAUACAGAUCAGAAGCUACAAUGAUAUGAGAUUAAUUAGCUGAACUGAUUAACCACAUUAAUCAAUAUUCCUUAACUGUGGAUACACUCCACUAAAAACUCACAAUUGAACUCUUCUCACUGUAGAUAUAUUUUUGUGUCCACGGAUAAAGACCAAUAACAGUAAGUUAGUCAUUCACGAGUGUUCGUAACAUCAGUUGGAUCAAUUUAUCGUUUUACCCCUGAGUUACCUCUAAUUGUUAAAUGUUAGUGCUCCUUUAAUGAAUAACCUGUUUAUGGUUCUACCAAUAAACAGAAACCCCUCUCGUGCCAGAGAGAGAAUAGGGCCAGUUGUUCAAGACCUGGAGACAUCAUUUAAGGAAACACUCAUCUACUUACCUUAAAGUAGGAAAUGAGUGAAUUUCAUCUUGUGUAAUUAUGUUUCCAGCUCCCCACUCGGUCUUUUUCCCAAAAUGAUAAGCUUAUUGAGUCGACGAUCUGACCACUCUUACUCAUACAAAUCAAAGGAUAGUCUCUCGCGAGUAGGAGUUCAUAAUACACUCAGGAUUAAGAUUAAGUUACCUAGGUCAUCCUAGUGAAAUAGAAACCUAACUAGUUAACGAAGUUACAUCUAGUGGUUACUGUUUCAAGGUUCAGUCUUAUGCAAACUCAUUGCAUAAGAUACCCUCACUCGUAUGUCAAUUACACGAACGGGCUGAAUCAUUGCGUUUGUAUCAAAUACAAAGUGAGUUGUAUCCAUAGUGUUACUAGGAUUUAAGGUAUCCAGUCUUAAACAUAUACUAUAGACCCUUUAAGCUGAUCUUGAGCAUUGAUCCUUGUAUGUCUCUACAUACUGUUCAAGACUCAUUAAACAACUUAGAAUGUUAGUUUAUUGGAUUUGGGUUAUUAAGACAAAACUAAUAAUAUAAUCAAUAAUAACACUUUAUUAAUAACGAUCGAUGAAUUAUAUUUACAAUCUAAAAGUUUAGGACAUAAAUUCCAACAUUGCGUGUGUAGGCGAUUAAUGAUAUAGACAAUAGAGACAAAAGCAUCUCACCAAAAACGUAAGGGCAUAGAUGCUUGGGCAAGAAGGUUGAGCCCCAUUUUGACAAUAUGUUUAUGCUUUUUUUCAACUAUUCCAAAGGUUAACUUGUGUGUGGACAUUGAUGUCGAAACUUGAUUCCUUUGUCCUUUAAGAAAGAAGAAAAAGAUCAAAAUUCACCACCCCAAUCACUUUGUAUGGUUCUAAUUUUCUUUUCAAAUUUGUUUUCAACAAGGUUUUUGUAUUGAAUAAAUGCAUAAAAGGCUUCUUUUGUUUUUUUGUUUGAGAGGAUAAAUGUGAGUGAAAAGAGUAUAGUUGUCAACAAAAUUAAUAUAGAAAUGAAAACCAAUAGUAGAAGAAAUAGGAGAUGGUCCUCAAAGAUCACAAUGAAUGAGUUGUAGUGGUUGAGAAGUAAAAGAAUUUGAGAUAAGAAAUUAAGCUAUGGGAUUUUCCAUACUGACAAGAAUUGCAUAAAGAAGGUUUUUCAUUAAGGGAAAAAGAAAUAUCCUUUGACUACUGAAUUUAAAAUACGAUGAGAAGUAUGACCUAAUCUGUGAUGCCAUAUUUCUUUAGACACGACAUUAGUAGAUUUAUGAGAACUUUGAGAAGAUAGAUUGGAAGACGCAACAAAACUUUUUGCACUAAGACUAUUUGUAGACUCGAACGACUUCUAGACAGGAGAUGGGAAAGUAAAGAAAAUUUGAACUUUGUCUUUAGAAGGAGAUUAAUGAGGGAGAGAUAGUUAGUAGAGUCCUUUUCUAAGUGUUUCUUGCAGCACCACCUUUCUAGUUUCUUUGUUCUUCACAAAGCAACAAUUAGAAAAAUUUAACAAAAACAUCAUUGUUAGUAGUUAACUUAGCAACACUCAACAAAUUUCGUUGAAUAUGUGGCACAUGUAAAACAUUUUUCAAUUUAAGGGGCAUUUUGAUAUGAAGAAACAUUAAUAUUACCAACAUGUGUUAUGGUCAAUUUUGUUCCAUCACUAACAAUUAAUGAAUAGUACCUUAAUAUUUAGUUUUGAAUUGAAGAUUACCAUAAUCAUUGGUGAUAUGGUUUGUGGCUCCACUAUCUGCCAACCAAUUUGGAUUUGUCACAAUUUCAGAAGUAGCAAUAAAGGGUGUUGUAUUAUUGUUCACCUGAUUGUUGUUUCCUCUUGGAGUGUUAAGUUCCUCUUCAAAACGAUGGUAGCAAACAACAAUUCUAAUGUCAAAGGUUCCACAAAGUUGACAAGUGGGUUUAGAAUUAUUAUCUCUAUGACUGUUGAACCUACCUCUGCCUCGUUGAUUUUGAAAAGUGCCACCACUAACAUUGUUACCUCUUCCUUGAAAUUCAUUGUUGUUAAAGGUAGGGUUGUUGUUAUGAUUUUGAGAGCUAUAUCUUGGAAAACAAUGUUGUUGCUCAUUCUUAACAUUGCUGGUUUGCCUGCUGUAGACAUAAUUUGCACUAGCAUCUCCAAAAUCACCAUUAAUAUUAACAACAUGCUAGGUUGGAGAGUUAUUACCUUCGAUAUCACACACAAUUGGAAUAUAUCCAGUGUCAAGCCCCACUAAGUCAUAGGAGAUUAGAUCAUCUUGAGAAAUUGGUGAUCCUACUAAUUGCAUUUUUUUUUAGGUUUGUUUCAUCAUGGGUAGAUAUUCUACCAUUCUCAUUGUUCCUUUUAUAGUAUUUUGAAGGAUUGAUCUCAAUUGAUUUAUACGGGUUCUGCUAGUUGCACCCAUUGUUUUAAAAAGCCCACUAAGGCGUGCGCCUAAGUCGUCCACUUGGGGCUUAUUUGUGAAAAAGCGAAGCGUUUUCUGAAAACCCGACUUAGGCAUGUCUAGGCUCAAGUCGCAUUAGGCGUGGGCUUCUUUAUAACUAAUGGGCUGGGCUUUAAUUAUAAAAAGAAUAUUAUUAUACAGGUUUUUUAAACCUAUUACGUGAAAGUGAAGAAACGAUCAUUCUUCUCCUGCGUGAAUUUUCUUUAACGCAUACGCACGUCCUCGACUUUUCAUCUACUUCUUCCGUUCCUUUCUGCUUCUGCUUCAAAGAAACUCUGUCACCGGCGCCAACCUUCAACAAAUCUCUUCGGCAAGGUAAAGUCCACCGAAGCACCAUUCUUCUUCUUCACACAAAACGUCAAGGUUUCUUCUUCAACAAAUCUAUUUGGUGCUGACAUUACUUUAUUUUUUGGUGCAAAAACAGAGGAAAAUAGAAGACAAGGAAGCUUCCCAAAAUCAUUACCAUUAUCGGUUGGGAAAUUUUCAAUUUUUUUAACAUAAAUACCUUAUGUUUUUUUUCUUUUUAACAUAAAUAGCUGUUGUUUUUUCUUUAAAAAAAAACUAAAACAGAAUUGCACAUUUAAAUACCUUUUGUUUUUUUUUUCUUUUUAACACAAAUAGUUGCUGUUUUUUCUUAAAAAAAAACUAAAACAGAAGUGCACAUUUAAAUACCUUCUACUUUCUUAAGGUAGAAUUACUUAAAAAAAAAUGAUAUGUUUUUCUUUUGUUAAUUUUAAAAAAUAAUUUGUGAAUACUUAUUUUGAUAACUUAGAUCAUAGACUGUUGAUGAAAGUUCGAGAAAGGAUCCAUCAUGGAAAUAUGGUCAAUUGCAAAAUGACCAAGAUAUAAAUACGUUUGUCUGUGGAUUUUUUUUGGAAAGUAACAAAAGGAGGGAUAUAUAGAAUGAAACAACACCUCGUUGGUGGUUAUAGAAAUAUCACCGUAUGUAAAACAUGUUCGGAUCACGUGAAGGAAGAAAUUAAAGAGUACAUGUCCAAGAAAAAAGAGAUUAAAGAACAAAGAAAUCUGAUUGUGGACAUUGAUGUAGAAGAUUAUGAUAUCGAUGAUGAAGAUGAAUGGAGUGUUAGUGUAAAUAAUAGAGAAACACCAAGUGACCCGAGCUUGAAGAAGCCAAGGUAAAAGGGUCCAAUGGAUGCAUUUUUUACUCCCAACUCAGAAAUCGUGGUUCAAAAUAGUAAGGACAAAGGAAAACAAACUUCGUUGAAUAUGACGUACAAGAAGGAAAUGAUAGAGCAUACCAUCCAAAGAAUUGCUCGAUGGUUUUAUUAUGCAAGAGUGCCUUUGAAUCCUUGCACAUAUGAUAGAAUUACCCCUAUGAUUGAGUCAAUUGGGCAAUUCGAUCCUAGAUUGAAACCACCAUCUUAUCAUGAGUUAAGAGUUCCGUGUUUGAAGAAGGAAUUAGAAGUAACAAAUGAGUUGAUGAGUAGCAAUAAGGCAGAGUGAGCCAAGGUUGGAUGCACUGUUAUGGCUGUUGGAUGGACCGAUUGAAGAAAUAAGACAUUAAUUAACUUUUUAGUUUACAGUCCUAAAGACACCAUGUUUAUUGAGUGCAUCGAUGCUUCAUCUUAUGUGAAAGAUGGAAAGAAGAUGUUCGAGUUACUUGACAAUUUUGUAGACCGAAUUAGAGAAGAGAAUGUUGUACAAGUAGUUACAUAGUGCCUCAGCAAAUGUGAUGGUAGGUAAGAAUGUAGACUACUUACAAGUUAUAACUUUAACUUGUUAGAUUUAGUUAAGUUCUACCCUAAAUUUGUACUUAUCUUCUUUGUUAAUAAGGAGAUUGUUAGAAGCAAAACGACCACAGUUAAUAUAGUCUCCAUGUGCUGCUCAUUGCUUAGAUUUGUUGUUGGAGGAUAUAUACAAGAUCUCUAAUAUUCGCAAAGCAUUGAAAAGAGGCAUGAAGAUUAGCAACUCCAUAUAUGUUCGUCCUGGAUAUUAUUAAACAUGAUGCGACGUUUUUCUAACCAAAAGGAGUUAGUUAGACCAACUAAGACUCAUUUUGCUACUGCCUGCAUUAUAUUAUCAAGUAUACAUCGUCAAAAGAAUAACUUGAGGAAGAUGUUUAUACUUCAGAUGAAUGGAAGGAUAUCAAAUGGAGUAAGGAGCAACAAGGGAAACAAGUAGUUUAGACUCUUCUGUUGGCUAGCUUUUGAACAACAAUUGUUUUCGCUUUUAAAGUAUCUGGCCCACUAGUCCGAGUUCUUAGAUUGGUUGAUGGCGAGAAGAAGCUACUUAUGCGAUAUAUUUAUGAGGCCAUGGAUAAAGCUAAGAAAGUUAUUGCUAAAUCCUUCAAUAAUAAUGAAGAAAAAUACAAUGACGUUUUCACCAUAAUUGAUAAAAGAUGGGAGCUUCAGUUGCAUCGUCCUCUGCAUGCAGCGGGGUAUUAUUUAAACCCAUCAUUAUAUUAUUCUAAUCCUAACAUCCAGGAGGAUGACAAAAUAGUUAAUGGACUCUACUCAUGCAUAACGAAAAUGGUUGUUUCAUUGGAAGUAUAAGACAAAAUACUUGCAGAACUAAGCAAGUAUAAGAGCAAUCAGACAAAGGGACAAAAUAUCUCUAGGUAAAUUUCAACUAAACGAUUACUCAACGAUACUAGCAACAAGCUAUUAUAUUAAUAUAUAUUUUUUUGUUUGUGCCUAUAAAGGAAUGAUGGGAUAAUUUUGGACAAUCAACUACAAACUUGCAAAAGUUUGCUGUAAGAAUUUUAGGUCUUACUUGUAGUGCUUCUGGAUGGGAGCGUAAUUGGAGUGUGUUUGAACAUGUUACCUUUCCUCUCCUUAAGUACAUUGAGAAUGAGAAUCAAAAUUGGUUGAUUCACUGACAACGAAACUUUCUAAUUUUGCAGCUUCAUAGCAAGAAAUGAAAUAGGCUUGCUCAAAGUCGUUUGAAUGAUCUAGUGUUCAUCAAAUACAAUAGAACAUUAAAACGUCAAUACAACCUACGAGAUAUUAUCGAUUCUGAUUGGUCAAUAAAAAUAUAUUUUAAUGCUAUUUCUUUUUUCUUUUUCCUUAGUUUCGCCAAUUUCUCAUGAAAAGUAAAAAGGGGUAAAGUAACUUUUUUUUUAUUAUUUUUUAAAUGGAAGUUUUCUUUUUCUUCUUCCGCAUGUAAAAAAGGAAUAAAUAAAUCAAUCAAAUUCCGAGAGGCUUCAUGAAGUGCUUCUUUAGGAGUUAAACUUCCAUUGGUCCAUAUUUCGAGAAAAAGUAUCUCUUGUUUUUCAUUCCCAUUU